CAGGCCUUCAGGAUGCCCAACGCUCCAUCGAUGCAUCGUUUGGUGACGACUGGCUCUGGCUCUCUGUCCUCGAAGUCCAUCGGGGUGGCAACGUGGAAGACUCCGACACAGCCCUUGACGGCUGGGCUGAAACUCUCGGGGUCACUGAGGUCAGCGGUUAGGAUUUGGAGCCUUUCUGAUGCUCCGGGUAGAUUUUUCAAGAAGCUCAUGUCCCUUUUGCCAUCUGAGCGGAACAAAUCGGUCAAUCGCUUUGCGAAUAAAAGCUCAAACAUCUAAUGGGAAACUGAUGUGUGAGGUUAACUGGAGAUAGCAGCCCAAAAUAAAUUAACCAACAUGACUCAUUCAGGAAACACUCCGAAUUACAGCAUUAAACUUAGCAACGAGAACUGCAAGAAAAGCCGAUUCGAGAGAGAAUGAGUGAAUUCAUAUGUCGGCAUAUGGUACAUGUGCAUCUCAAUCAUAUAAGAGAAACCAGAUCAUCAUUAACCAAUUCAGCUAUCGCUAAUCCAACCCAUCUUUAGUUCAUCUUAUGCCUCCUUAUGCUUGAAGAGGCAGCAAUAAGGGGUGGCUUUCUUAUAAUUCUAUGUCUAAUGACAAUUCCGAUCAGAAUGGAUCCUCAAACGCCCAAAUCGGACAAAAUACAUAGAAAUUUCUCCAUUUGUCGAUACCUCAACUUUCUGCAUAAACAUUUCACAUACACUUAAUCUAACAAUCAAUCUUUGAUCAAGAAAGCUAACCUUAGUAUUGCCAAUAAAUUUGCAGGCAUAGACAGAUCAGAUCAUGUUGGACCGUCAUGUCAACAUGUAUAGUACAAAACAUCAAUCUCAGACUAUACACUUGAUCAGAACUCAUGGCAAGAAUGAAUUUCCAUGUUCAAGCAGGAAGAAAGAAGAAGAGAGACUUACCCGGGUCAGGUCUGAUGGUGGUCCGGACGGAGUAACCAUGUUCAAGGAGCCUCAUGAUGAGCCAUGAAGCUAUGAAGCCAGUACCGCCUGUCACGCACACCGUGCCUCUGUUGCCCUCCAUGGCUUGGAGAAGUGAGACGCUUCAAUUUUCAGGAAGCGUCCAACUUUUUUGAGUGACCUCGAUGUUUUGGCCAGCAGAGCCGGUGCGCUUCUCCACUUAAAAGCGGAUGCAACGCCGCUUACGUCACUUUGAUUUUCAUUUUCAAAAGGGGCCAAAAAAAUAAAUGAGUGGUAACGGAUACAUCUUCCCCGAAAGUCAUCUUUCGAUUUGAAUAAUGAACUCAAUCUAUAUUUCAAUCAUCCAUCGUGGACUUAGUCCUACACCAAUGUGUCCAUAGACAAAUGUCUCUCAACAUUAAAUGCCUAACUUCAAAAGGGGCCAAAAAGAUAAAUGAGUGGUAACGAAUACAUCUUCCUCCGAAAGUCAUCUUUCAAUUUGAAUCAUAAACACUCAAUCUACAUUUCAAUCAUCCAUCGUGGACUUAGUCCGACAUUGAAUCAUAAACACUCAAUCUACAUUUCAAUCAUCCAUCGUGAACUUAGUCCUACACCAAUGUGUGCAUAGACAAGUGUCUCUCGACAUUAAAUGCCUAACACAAGUUGGCUUGAGAUUUUUUUUUUUUUUUGUUUGUGAUCGAGAGACAGCCGAAGAUUACUCUUUAAAAAUUACAGGACUAUUCACCGCAAGCCGCUAUUUAGACGUAAACCCUCGAGGGCUAGCCCAGUAAACCACCCUUGGACCCCACUUAAGUUGCGAAUAUCCGGAGAUUCGAACUCAUUCCCUCAGUAAUGUGAUAGUAAAGCCCAACCAUCACGGCUACCUGUGGGUGGGUCAAGUUGGCUUGAGAUUCAUACCCGAUAAAACUCUAAUUUAUGACUUAAUUAAAGACAAGAUACCCAUUUGCUACUAGACUACCACAUACCCAUUUGCUACUAGACUACCACAUUCGGUGGUGCAACAACUUGACAUAUGUUGGAUAAUAUAUAUAUAUUUCUUAUUUUAACAUCUUAAAUUCUUUGGGAAAAAAAAAGACUUGUUUAACAUGGUAUUAGAGCACAAGUGACAAGGUUGAAUGCUUGGACUCCCUCCCAUGUUUUAUAUGUUUAUCCGUCCUCAAUUUUUCAUUUGAUGUGAUUAUGCACCUAUCUCGUAUUUCAAAUGUAAGUCUUGAUUCAUACACAAGAGAGGGUGUUAAAUAAUAUGGUGUAUCUAUAAUGUUGGCAACCAUCUAAACAACUUAAAAAAUGAUUUGUGUCACUAUCUAUAGAUCUUUUGAUUUCAUAAAAUUCAAUGAAUUCGUCAUUUCAUUCAAGUUUUUCACUCUAUCAUCAAUCAAUAGUUGGACGGAAGCCUUGCAACAUGGCCAGCUAUUAUUUCUUUUUUCUAUGGAGUGUCGGGAUCAUAACAAAUACACAAAAAGAUCUUAACAAUUGUUUGUGAAAAUCAAUUUGCGAUCGACCCUAGAAUAAGUUUUAUGUUUUUCUUUAUUCAUUUCUUCGUGUGAUCUUGCGAUAUUCCAUGCCAUUCAAUAAUAAAUGUAUAACUUGAAAGUACUAAUUUGAACUUUCAUUUUAUGAACAAAAUUUUUACUUUAUCAAUGUUCAUAUUUUUCAUAUGUUUUUAUGACUAGUGAAUUGUAAAAGUAAAUGGCGGUCAUAAUUUUUCUUAAUUCAUUACAAUUAAUUAAUUAAUAAUAUAGAUGAAAUCUAGGUAAAUCUCUAAACUAAUCAUGAAACUUAUGACAAAAAGAUUGGUACGAUUUUAUUAUUAUUCUAACCCCGUAAGAGGACGACCCUCGUCGUGCCUUUCGAUGUGAGUGGAGGUUUCCACAAUUCUCUGUCAAGGUCCUGCUCGAAUGCUGGUGGUGAGCUUGGCGCUCGGUCUCAAUCCACCGAAAGGGACCAUUCAUGGCGAAAAACCUUGCUUUUCGAUUCCUUCCAACUUUUUAUCCGGAGUAGCGCCUGACCGGUGUCAAUCGUUUACACGAUCUUUAUCCUCACCCCAGCUGUGGUUGGACGAAACGGAAACUGUACUUGCCUCAGUGGGAAGCACGCCUAGUUAGGUUAAUCACUGCAUGUUGACUUUCUUUCCAGUGAUGAAGCAAAGCUACUUUUCUUUUUGUGUCUCUCGUGCGUCCGUCCUCUCGUUUCCCCCACUUUUGCCAUUUGAUCCGCACGCUGGUCCGAUUUCUCUGAAGAUGUGGGUGAUUCUACACUGACCCAGCAGCCGCAUUAGGUCCGUAUAUGGUACUCAUGUUGAUGACAAAAUUUUCUUUUAGAUCACUUCAAUGUCACUUUUUAAAAAAAUAAUCAUUAAGUAUCAAUUCCGAUUUAGAUGGCGGGAAAUUUGACUUGGCCUUAUUUUAUUAACAUUUCCUACUAACGCGACUUGCCAUAAUGCUUCAUUGGCAUUUUAUUCUUUAAACUGUGUCCUUUUCAACUUUUACCCCAAAUUUGAAACCCUAAUUUAAUUUUUCCCCCAAAAUCACUCUUCCUCUCCACAAAGCCACUGCAAAUCGAGGUCAAACUUUUUUCUUUGCUUAUGGUGGAAUGCUCGUGAGACUGUGUUAGUGAGUGAAGAAGGCCAAAUUUCAUUGGUUAACUGAUGAUUACUUGAUUGUGAGAUGGCAAUUUGUAGAGAGCGACUAAGCUACCUGAAAUGGUGGGCACGUGAGCAAGAGGAUGGGGCACAAUAGAGAAACAAUAUUGAGGGGAAUAAAUAUCCGUGCCCUACUUCAACUUUCCCCUAAGAGAUAGCCUUAAUAUCAUAUCGGAUGCAACCAAGAUAGAAUGCCAGAAUUUCUAGGUAUCCUUGGACCGAUUGAAAGCGAAAACAGAAAUAAAAUUUGGAUUGGAGAGUAGGCAAAAAUCGUCGGUGUUCAAGGAGAUACAGUUGAACCAGUGAAGGUGUUGAAAGGACGAAGACCCCUCAUGAGUAAGAUGUAGACGAAAGCUCAACAACUAUACUCCUUUGCUCUUGGGAUAAAAUGUCUCGGCUUUGUACCCUAUUGGAAGAGGGAUCUUGGAGUUUGAGAACAAGGAUGAAAAUUAUAGUCUAAUCCAUGCUUGGAGAAUUCAAAAGGGGCCAUGGAAGACCCCAGCAAUAGUAGUGGGUACACCCACAGCAAUAGAGGCGAAACCUAAUCCCCGAUAGAGAGUCGCUAGGGCAAGACGACCCAUAGCAAUGUGUUUGCCUUGUGAGAGUUAAAAAGCCAAACCCCUCAACUCUCGACCUACUUGAAGAGAAGAAUGGCAAAAAUCAAACUUGGACAGCCAGUAAAGCAGGAAAGCUACAUGCUCUUCAUUUUCGACAUCACCCGUCCGGUGAGCAUAGGUGGUUUAAAAAUGGGUACAAGAAAGAUCGGCAUCUUGAAGAAAAAAGGAGCGAGCCACAAGAUCAACGGCACUGGUGUCAUCGCCAUAUGGACUCAAGCCAGUGAUAGCAUACAAAUCCAGAGGGUUACCAACAUGGGGCCAAAUCUAAGAAAGAAACAAUUGACCGAUGGAGACUAGAAACUUGCUAGGCUCCCUAAAAGUUUAUGGUUAAGCUUCCAGUCAAAGGUACAAAACUCUAAGGCUUUAUCGAUUCGAGCUUUACGCCAUACCUCGUAGUUAGCAUUUUUCAAUCUAAAAUACCAUUCAAAUAAGACAUGAUCGAAAGGAUAAAAUGUCCUAAGCUUUUGAGAAGAGGGACUCAAGACAUGCUCCAAAAGGUGAUCCCUUUGGGAGGCUGGGACACAUGUAGUGUUAAAACUUGGCAUGAUGGGACAUUUAAAUACAAAAAGUUAAGAAAAUGACACUUAAACACCAAAAUCAGAGCAAAAUGGAUCGAUUAAGUGCCAACGGCAAUUGAAGAUUUACUAAAUAUUGCACCUAGAAAGGAAAGGAUCCUAUUGAUGAGAAGAAACUACCUUAAAUAACAAAGACAGGGCUUCAACACCGACAGAAGAAGUCAAUAGAGUACAACAUGCGAAAUGGGUGGCAAAGGAGAUUUGGUAUAAAUUGGUGGUAACCCAUGUGGAAACCAGCAAAAUGAAGAAGAGCAAAAUUAUCUCUCUCACAACUAGUUAGGAUAUGUUCAAUAUGGAUGAGAACAUAUGUAUACUCAUCUAACAAAUACCGUGCAUGAACUACCAUUGCCUGGCAAAAUUUUCGAAAAUGCAGAAUUGAUUCUUUUGUUGGGCAUAGCAUCAAGAUCCUUCUGACUCAUAAAUCACUUCAAAAGUCCUUGAAAUAUUUUCCAGAUUAAUCUAGGAGAGACGCAAUAUACGAGUCACAAGGAUCUUGAUGCUAUGCCAGCCAAAGAAUUAAUUGGAUCAGUGAUGACUAUGAAGUCGAAAAAUGACUAUUUAGGUGGAAACACCAAGAAGAACAUAUCAGUUGCUCAUCACUCAAAUGAGGAUACCAACUCUUCAGGUAACGGUGAUUGAGACUAUCAUACUUCCUAGAAAAGUUCAAGCGUUUUCUCCAAAACUUUAAAGGCAAAAAAGCUAUCACGGAACAACAGCAGAAGCGAUUGACACAAAAAGGACGUAACUUGCUUUGAUUGUAAGAAAGUCGGACAUAUCGAGUUCGACAAUCCUGCUAACAAGAGGAAGACGACGAGAUCAAAGAAAUACAAGGCAAAGAAAUCGAGUUGAAGCAAUCUCCGUAUCUCUAGUGAAGAGGUAAACUCUUGAUUGUGAUGCUUUUUGAUGAUGAUUUUGAUUUUGCAUUUGAAGAAAUGUGUAUUGAAUGAGGGAAAUUGUUCUUUAAAGGAACAAAAUACUGUUUUGAAGAAAGAAAGUAUGUUUUAUGCAAUGUUCCCCAUAAGAUUAGGGGGAGUUACUUGAUAUAGAAUGGAUAAAAAGAGGCUGGAGAUAUUAUUAUUAUUAUUAUUAUUAUUAUUAUUAUUAUUAUUAUUAUUAUUAUUAUUAUUAUUAUUAUUAUUAUUAUUAUUAUUUUGGUAAAGGACUGGAGAUAUUAUUGUCUAUGGUAUUCUACAAAAGUGUAAUAUGAGAAGUUGAAUGUCAAGUAUUGAAAAUGACCCAUUUGUAGUUUAAUCUUACAGCACAUGGCAACAUCGAUAGUGCAUUAAGCAUUAGAAACAAAGAUUGCCGACACUAUUGACAAAGAACAAAACAUGCAUAUGCAGUGAUCAAUGCUAUAAGUGCAACAUACUCUCAGUACUACAACAUCAAAUACAAAAGAACGGAAGUAUACAGUAUCAAGAUUAUUCAUGCGGUUUAAUAUCUCGUGUGUAGCCAACCGAGAGAUCAGUUUUCACAAGCUGUGCUAGAUACAUGGUACACGUUUUCUCGACGUGUUCCUUUAUUUUUUGUCUGCAAUUUUUCUUAAGAGGACUACAUGAAAAUGAACCCAGACAUUUGCCCUGGCCUGCAUACCGAAUUUUGUUGUAUACAUCGACUGCGAUUGAUCUAAAGAAAUCCCUUUUCUUUGCAGCACCAGAUGGCUCCGUCGAACAUGUCCCUAAUCCUGUACUUAUACUCGAAACCGGCGUCCAACAGCUUCCUCGACAAAAGGCUGGCGAAUAUGAGGCCUUUCACUUCCUUCAAGGACCUGCAAGGAUUUGAAAUUUUUUACUUUGACUUCAAGAACAUCAAUAGCGGAUCUGUUAAAUCAUGAAAUGAGAUAUGAGAAGACUUAAUCUAGCGAGGGUAUAUGAAACUCCGAGUAUCUUUUCGAGAGAAACUUGACAUCUCUUUAAGGAACAGAUGUAAGAGUUUUUCUGAUGUAAACUACAUUAAUUAAGAUUGUAAUUUAUCGUUUUACGGGGUUGGUCUAAUAAGAUAAGGCAUAAGGUUUCUUAAUAGUCGAAUAUGGGUCUGACUUAUGUGGGCUAAGUUAGGCCCAACCCGUGAUGAGAGACCCAUCUAAAACUUUAUAAAUAGGGCUAAGAUCCCUCCUCUAACCCUCAUUCUUCCACGAACACUCUCUCACCUCACAUAAGGAAGUCGUGAGGGGCGGUCUCAUCACACUAGGAUCCGAGGACCAUAGAGGAGAAGAACCUCAAAUCGUCAUCAUUCCGCAUAAAGAACGGUGGAUUUUAAAUUAGGUACACAAAUCUUCGUCUACUUCUCCAACAUGUUUGAGUUUCUACUUAAGUCAAUCCUAGGAUGCCGCUUCGACGGCCAACAUUUGGUAUGAGAGCCUCGUAGCCUAAAACUCCAACUAUUGCAUUUGGCCCGUAUUCGGAAAUUUUGUCCAUUGAAACUUGAUUUUGAAAACAUAUUUAGACUUAUCUCAUUGGGAUGAGCAUUUCGAUGGAUGGCACACCUCCGAUGGAGGUCAAACGCACCGCCCAUUAACAUUUCGAAUUUAACCUACCUUUGGACUGUUUUGAUGGUUUUCAUGAUUUUUGGUCCAGUGAAAGUGGAUUUGAUCACUUAUUUGGCUUUUAUUCGUUAAUAUGAACAUUUUGGUGGGUCGUACACCUCCAAACAAGGUUGGACGCACCGCCACAUACCUACAUGCGUUGCCGCGGCUCCAGUGCGUGAUCACCUAAGGCAAUGGGUGACGUCAUCAAUCAUGUCACCUUGCUGACUCGCGCCACUGCCAUACUGUGAUGAUGUCAUGGCUAACGUCAAAGGGCGAUGAUGACCGGCGUUGACCAAGUUGACCUGACCUAAGUUGAUUAGGUCCUGACCCAGUGGACAAUUAACUAGUCUCGAUGGACUAUUGAUUGGUCGGAUCAGUCGAACCGUUGAUCGGUUGGAUCGAUCGAUACUAAGGUACUAGUCAAUUUGGCAUGCUCGCGUGUGCAGCUCACAUGCCACGCAUUCCGGCAGCGCGUGAGGCGUCCUUUGGGACAUGGUUUGCAUCGGCGUACUCAUAUAAAAGUACUCUACACUAUGAUGUGUUUAUUUUAUAUGUUUGAUGAUUUUAUGGAUAUGAACAUGCAUGUGAAACCCUAAAGUACAUGAUUUUUUGGGUAUUUUUGAGUAUUUUUCAUGUAUUUCUCUAUGAUUUUGGAAAUACGUUAUGAACUUGCAUGUGUAUCAUCACAUAAAGAUUGUGUAGAGCAUUGAUUCAUUAAUAAUAUGUAUAAGAUUCAGCAUUAAUGAAUAGAGUAAUGUGAUUAACAUGACAUGUGAUUUUAGUGACAAAUUGCCCCUGUCAUCAAGUCUAAAAUCACAUGUAUAAGAUGAAUGUGAGUCAUAAAAUUUAUAUUACUCGUAUGAGAGAAUUUUAAUGAUUCAAUUGGGUUGUGAUCGUCAAAGUGGCAUGCUUGGUUGAAUUUGAGAAAUAUCGAUAUCAUAUCCUGAUGAGAUGUCUCAUGUUCUAAUGCAUGGUCAUACUCUUAAAUGAGGUGAUUGUGUAUUAAUUUAUAGAGAGAUGCAUGCACAACAUAUAGUUGAGGAGUGACUAACCUUAGCGAACAUACACCCAUAAGUGGUGAAUUCACAAAAGGUUAGAAUAUAUCCUCAUAAUCAUUGUCAUGUGGAGGGUAUACAAUUAUAUAUAAUGUAUUCUGCCUAAAAUUGUUUAUAAGAUGAUGCAUGUAGCUCUCGACAAGUGUACUUAUAAGGUUUUCAAGUUACAUAAUACUCACAUGAUGUCAACUGCAUAUGCUACUUAUUAUUAAGUUACAUUCUCUAUAAUGGCAACUCCGUUGUGAUUGAGAUUCUUAAUGAGUCAAAUUUUAAGUAGUAAAAAGAGGGUUUUUUAUUUGGGACGAAGGUGGUAGACAUUUAUAUUGCUCUUACUAAAAAUAAAUUAGCAAUCUCACUAUUAGCGACAUGGAACUAGAAAGCACUUUUGGCUGCUUAGGAAAAUGGCAAUUAAAUUUGUUCAUUAUCCAUGAGGCAUUCCAUUUAGGAACACUUGAAAAUGAUUUACUAGCUGACUACACUGCUAAAAGGAUGAUGAAAUUGAAAUUAUGUCUUGUCUAAUGCUGAGAUUGGGUUAAAUGCAAUGACUAUUCAACAUAAAGUGAGAUGGUUUUGAUGAUGUUAAGGAUUACGUCCUAAGAAUGGUAGAUUUGAAAUCCAAAAUCAUACUCAUAAAAGAACUCAUGAAACCACUAGUCAUUCUAACAAUUUGAUUGUAGGAUAGCACCAUUUAAGAGAAAUUGUGGCAUUUGCUACUUUGUAGGAAAAAAUGACACAUAAGGAAUAUUGUAAUAAAUAUAAAGCUUGGUUCUCCAAGCUUAAGUAUCACAACCCCAACUCCAUCUUGGAGGUCGAGCUGUAGGGUAUUUUGCGACAUCCCAAGCUUUGUCGCCAUCCCAAAUUCAUUUGCUUCUUAUUUAUGCACAUGCGAAAAGUGUAAACAUACAAUCCCUGACACAAAUAACAUGGGAACAUGAAAUACAAAUAUCACUAACAUACUUCAUGUAUCAUAUAAGUAGUGAUGAUUACAAGCUUAUUUUACAUACGAAAGUGGCUUGGGGUAUCCCUUUCUCCGUUGCAGUGGGUAUUAAUCAAAAUUGGGAACCUUCUUCUUUUACAUAGGGCCGGUAUGCUUAUCUUAGUCCAAAUCCUCGAACGGUUCAUCCAUAUCACUAAGAUUUGGGUGCGGGUUGUCAAACCCGCGAAGAGGUCCUAUCCAUAUGCCCUUGUAUCUCCUAUACCAGGCUUUGAAAUGCAAUGGGACAAGCUCACCCAAGCCAUUUUCUAUCCAUACAACGGAUGACACUUUACAAUAUGUAACAUCAGUUUCUACAUCUAUCACGUCCGUCAUAGUAGUAUAUAUCUUUAUAGGGCAACAAAAAUACACAGUAGCCAUGAUUCUAAGUACCUAUUAAAGAAACAUGGAUGAGUACUUGGAAUACUCAGUAAGUAUAGCCUCUAGCCUUCGAAUAGAACAUUGAUUCAUCAUCAACACUAGUGAAUUAUUUCACGCAAAUCAUUGUGAAGGCAAAUCAAUUGCAAGAUGCAACCAAGCUUCAAGCACAAAUGAAUGACAAUUCUUGCAAUCUUUCGUGCUUAUGAUGCAUGCCCUAAGCUUAUGCACUCUAGCCUUUCUUUCUUGCUCAUGCAUGGCAUGCUUAUUAAGCUUUUCUCUUAUGCUCGAAACUCGAACCCAAGUCUUCUCGGAGCCGUCUUGGGACUCAAACCCAAAUCAAUUCGGGCUUUUAAACCAAGCUUCCUAGAGUUGUCUUGAUACUCAAACCCAAUUCAAUUAGGGCUUUUUAACUGGGCUUAUAGCUUUUUGCCGACUUCUAGGGCUCAAACCCAGUUAAUAUGCUCGAGACUCGAACCCAAGUCUUAUGCCAACCUCUGGGACUCGAACACAAUUCUUGCUAGGAAUCCGGGGACUCAAACCUCAUUCUUAUCUUUUCUUAUCUUUGCUCAAGCACAAAUCCCUUCUUAAGGGUGUAUUCAAGUCUUAUGCACAUGCCAUGAACUAUGCAUUUCAUGCUCAAACAUGAUGCACGUGCCAUGAAAUCAUGAAUUUCUUCAUCAACAACAUCAUGAACGAGCCUAAGCCCAAAGCUCCGCUCGAGUAGCAAGCAUAAAGGAACCCCGCACCAAUCCAAGACGUGAACUCGGUACGCCUCAAUACCGAAUCACAUAUUAUGGCUAUGGGCGAACCUCGACUUAUACCGAACAAAAGCUAUGAACCAUGACUUCAUUCUAGUCAUACAAGAAAUUCAAGUACAUGAACAAGUCAUAGAAUACAUCAAACAUCUAAGAAUCAAUCGACCUACCUUCGACUUGUUUGCAAUAGGAUUUCCUAGAGUUAAAGACGUCUCGAAUGUUACUAAAAGAAAAGAGAAAAUAUACUUACUUGGAUGAAUCUCGAACUAAAGCUCAAACUAUACAAGAUGGGUGGCUUUCCUUGGAGGCUAAAAGAGAGAAAGUGAGCGUGAGAGGAGGGGCAACUAAGGAGGAGGAAUGAGGAGGAAAUGGGAGAAAGGUGGUGGAAAUGAGAAGAGACUCCUCCUAUUUAUAACUCUUGGUGUCAUCAUUACUAAGCCAAGCAGUCUAUUCCUAUGAUCCCAAGUGUCUCACCUAAUUUCCUUGGGUCGCAAGUCUACUUUGCCUCAUGAUUACACCUAGAAGAUGAGUUGGCCAAGCUAAAAGCCUUGCUUGGCAAUCUAAGCUCUUAGGCGUCAUUGAUGAUGGCCCUCUUUUUGCUCUUUCAUUGGUCCACCUAGAUGUCGCAUUCAAUGGACAUUUAAUGAAAUUUGACAAUAAUUGUACUAUAGUUGCCAACUUGGCAAUUCUAGAAUAUUCGGUCAUUAAUGAAGGCUUGUGUAUCACUAUCUAAUUAGUCCACAUAUGUGCCGCAUUUUUCUAGAAUCUUCAAAGAUAUUUUGGCCUCCAUCAUAACUUUUGACUAUUUAAAGAACAACUCACCCCUUCAUUUAAUGAGGGGGUUCUAGGAUUUUCCAUAUUUUGUCUUUUUCUUCAUUAAUAAGGUGAUCUAGAGAAUCCUAUCAUCCAAGUUGGUUCCGAAGCCGAAGAAUGGAUCAUUAGGUACACCUCAAAAAAUCAAAUCACGUUUACCCAAGGUUCGGCCAUCACGUCCCAUAUUUGCCCAAACCGUUCCUUUGGACGGUCGGUCGGCACGAUCGGUUGUCCUUUAAUCAAUUUGAGACCAAUCCUAAGGCUACUCGUGGCCUAGCACUAAGCUAAAGCACUCAUGGACCUUGGAAUUAGUGAUGGAAUAGCCGAGUCUAUCCCUGAGCUCAUUUCGAUCGGUACCUGAUCCAUCGAUAGGGUUCAUGAUCGGUACAUUACCAAUCCAUGAUCGGACAUCACCAAUUCGAGAUUUUGUUCCAAUCACUAAGAAUUAAUAGGAAAUGAUGUAUUUUUGGUUGGAAGAUGAUCGCAUUUGAUCAAUUCAGAUCAUCCGUGUAUCGGUGCAUAACUGGGUAGAAUCACCCGCGACCAAAAACUUCGAUCGAUUAGAUUGACCCAUGACCAUCCACCGAUCCAAAAUCUUCCCACAGCCAAUUCUCAUUAUCAAAAAGUCAUCUUAUGAGCUGGUGAUCAUAUCCCAUUGGUAUGGUCAGUAAAAAAUUCGAGGCCAACAUCUCAACCGAUUCGUUACUGGCCGAUCGGUUGGUUGGUCGGUCGGUCGGUCGGUCGAUUGGAUUAUGAUCAAUCCAUGAUUCCUUACCGAUCAAAUUGAUCGAUCCAUGGCCAAUGGCCCAUGAUCAAUCCUUUUAGGACCUUAUGGCCGAUUCUUACAAGGUUGGAAUCAAGGAUGUUACAGUAAGUCUAGAGUUGAUGAUUCCUUAGCAUUCAUUUAUGGAUCCAACUCCUAUCAAAAGCCUCAUUUGAUUCUUGGUGGCUAGACAAUGGUGUAGCAAAUUAUGUUAUUUGCCAUUAGGGGAUUCAUAAAUCUAAAUAAGCCAAAUCAAGAUAAAUCAUAACUCAUCAUGGGAAACAUUAUUUAAUAUUGAAUUAGUGGGAGAUAUUAUUUUGAUUCUAAAUUCUAGUUUUAACUAUGUUUUCCAUGUCAAAUAAAGUUGGGUGCUACAAUAUGUCAAAUGGAUUAUACUAAUUAUACUAACCUCCCAACGUUAUGUACGUCGUUUAUACAGUUUAAAAUGUUGUUUACAAUAGAUAUUUACCAAAGGAACAGUCUUAUGCAUUGUAGCAUAGACGUCUUGAUCAUAUAUCUAGAGAAAGAGUGAAAAGACUGAUAAUGUUGAUAUUUUGUCUACUCUUAAAAGUUACCUAAAUACUUGUGUAGACUAUUGUUGAAAUAAGAUGAUUAAGAUAAAGAAGUAAAUUGCAGUUUGAAGUCCUAACAUGUUGAAGGUCAUUUACACUAAUAUUGGUGGACUAUAUAUGGUAACAUUGUAUAUAAAUUUUUCAUUUCAACACAGUCAUUAACGACUAUUCUUUUUAUAUUUGAUUAAAGAAAAGUUUGAAUCUUUGGAUAAAUUCAAGUUCUUUUGGACCAAAGUCAGUUGUGAUAAGAUUUAAAGAUUGUCAUAUAUGAUUGCAGUGGUGAAUAAUUUGACAAGUAUAGCAAUGCUGGAUAGCUUAAAAGAUUUUUUUGUCAAAUACUUGGAAAAAUUCUAAGAUGGUAACUUUGUUUAUUAUGCCUGAAAAACUUGAACAAAUUGGUAUGGCCGAAAGGCGUAAUUGCAUUAUAAUGGACAUGAUAGUGAGUAUGAUUACAAUGAUAAUUUAUCAAGUUUUCUAUAGGACAAAACAGUCCAAUAUGCAUUGAACUGCUGUUGACACCUAAAUUUUGAUUAGGUUUUUAAAUUAGGCCUUAGUCUCUUUUAAUUUUUGUUUUUCCUUCGGAUAAUAAUAAAUAAUAAAAACAACAAAAAAAUAGUAAAAACAAAAGAAAGCAAAAGCCCAGCCCCUCCCCUCUUUUUCUCUCUCUUGCGCGGGCCCAGGGCCCAGCCCUUGUUUUCUUGAGUUUUGGCCCGCCCCCCCCCCCCCUUCUCUUCUUCUUCCUCCUGUCUUCUUCCUCCUCAGUCACCUGCAUCUCACGCACGGUGGCCGGCGAUGUGCGCGAAGGAUGGCCUAUGGCCGAGGGGAGUAGGCCGACGUCAGCCGGAGAGGAUAAGAUUCAAGCGCCAUCAAUGCCGAGCACGCUUCGUUGGACAGGUGGCGGAUGGGACGCCGGUUCGGCCACAAGGGUCCGGUCGGCAAGCCAAAGACCGGCGGCCGAGCCUCUCCGUCGACCGGACCUCCUCGCCUAUAAAUAGCGAAGCAUUUCUGUCGUCGAGGGAGACACGAGCGAGCUCCGAGAUCUUCCCACUGAGAGACUUCGGGGGAGGAAUCAAAGAGCAAGCGAGAGAGAACUUGGGUCGCGAGCUCGGCUGACCUCCCACUGAGAGACUUCGGGGUAGGCCGCCGGCGAGCGAGUCCGAGGAGGUUAGAUCUGGCCGGUGGAGGCUCGAAUCUAGCUAGAGUGAGAGACAACCAAGGCUGAGGGGACUGCUGGAGAGAAGAGGAGUCGGAGAAAGCCGCUGUGAGCCGAGCACCAAUUGCGAACCGCGAGAUCUCGACGCUAGUUGCUGCUGCUGUCUCCCCCACGAGCCGCUUCUCCUCCGAAGCUCGAAGAACCAAUGCGAAAUCGAAGUUUCCCUGGUUGUGCUAGUCCGUCGUUGCAGCCGCAACAACCCCCGAUGCCGUCCAGGUUUAAGGGCCGCCGUCAUCGCCACAAGCCGUGCCGCCGUGCCAUGCCAAAGCCGAGAGCAGGUGACGAUGGAGCCCUGCCUACGCCGUCCAUCCAAAGCUCUAAUGGUCGUCGCCUUUGCCAUUCACUGCCGUCGCCGUAGCCACCGUAGCCGCCGUAAUGCUCUCGUUUCCCCCCCCCCUUCGGCGCCGUGAAUUCGCAAGCCCUAGGGUUUGCAAUUUCCGGGUCAUAAAGCGGAUCCGGGUUUGGAAAACGGGUAGGGAUUCCGUGAUUUAAGGGGCGGCGGAAGCCGGGUCGGAUCCGGGUAGGGUUUUCGCCAGGAAGCCGGGUCAUCGGGUCGGGCCGGGUGUCCUCGAACGCCCGACCACGACGCCGUUUCAACAAAACAAAAAAAGGAAAAAAACUGAGUCGUUUUGGGUCGUCAACCCGGGUUGGGCACAACCCAUGGAUCCAACCUGGGUCGGUUUUUAUUUUAAAUAAUAUUUUAAAUAAACAAAUAAUAAAUAAAUAAUUUAUUUUCCAAAAAAACAAAAAUAUCCAAAAUAUAUUUUAUUUUCCAAAAAUAUUAAAAAAUGUUUUGAUUUCCAGAAAUCGAAAAAUAAAAAAAAAUGAUAAAAAUAUUUUAUUUUCCGAAAAAUCAAAAAAAUCAAAAAUAUUUCAUAUUUUCCAAAAAAAUGCCAAAAAUCCAAAAAAAAGCCAAAAAUUCAUGAAAAAGCCAAAAAAAUUCAGAAAAAGCCAAAAAGACUUGUAUUUUUUUUUUCCAAAAAUACCAAAAAAAUCCCCAAAAAUCCCUUUUGUGUCCAAAAAAUUAGAAAUAGACUCAAAAAAUAUUUUUCCUCCCAAAAAUGCAUGGAAAAUCCCUCAAAAAUCCAAAAAAGCCUUAGGGUUUAAACAAGAUUAGGUACCGAAAGGGCAUUAGUGAUUAACUAGUGUAAUCAAGUCCUCGAUCCUAAUUUCUCUGGUUACGCAGGAGUGAGUAUUUCUCCCGAUACUUCACUUGGGUUUCUAAUCAACCCACCCCAAAUCGAUUAGUGGCGACUCCAUUUUAAAAAUUGAUUUACAGGUUAAAAACUCAGACUAUUAAAGUCGUGAAUUGGUGGACUUAGGAGAGUCCGGGCAUAACUAAUUUCAGCCGAACAAUUAGCCUCCUUAGGCGCUCGUACCCGAUUGCGAGCGCCGAAAAAAAAGAGGUCGCGACAAUUUGGCGACUACGCUGGGGAAACUUCGAAGACUUAGGCCAUUUUUGUCUUGUUUAAAUUCUUUACUAACUUAGGUUUUUUUUCUUUAUGCAGGUCAAAAGCUUAGAAAUUUAUUUUAAUUUUUGCUUAAAAUAGAUUAUCUUGUGAUUAUAAACUGUUGUGCAUGCUUUACUGUUUUAAACACUACACAUGGCACACACAACCCGGCCGCCGGACCUGGGCCGCCAUAGGAUUUCUAGGAUGGUGUUAAGAAAGAUACGAUCUUGAACGCGAGACUGCGAUGUAGAGGUUGCCUUUCUUUUCCCCGAAUUUCUUAGCCGAGGUUAAGAGGGUAUGCUGCUAACGCGAGACUGCGACGGGCGGAUACCUUUUUAAUUUCAUCAAGCUUUCUGAGUUAGAAAUCGAGCCGCACGUCCCAUGCGCAUGUCCUUGUGCUUGCCAUUUUAUUUAAAAGCAAAGUGAUUUCUUUACUUUUACUUAGUCUUUUUAUUGGCCCAUGGCAAUUUAGGAUAAGCUUUUCAAAGUCCCAGUCUAUAUGUGAUGGGGAAAGACGAUAUCCAGUUCAUUCCUGCUCCCAAAGCGGAACUCUUCAGAUGGUGGGGUCAAUUGGAUCAGUUUGCCCAAGAGCGCGUGAAAGCCAAAAUCGGUCAUCUCCUAUCGUUGAUUCAAAUCACUGUUCGUCCCAAAGUCAUACAAGCCAUGGCACAUUUCUGGUGCCCAAAGACGACUACUUUUAUGUUUGGUGGGUUUGAGCUAACCCCAACUCUAGAAGAAUACAUCAUCAUCACUGGAAUGCCUCUUAAGAAAAAGCUUGUUAGGCCAUCGACAGGCGCCCUCCCGUGGCGCGGGUUAGCGCGACUUUUAGGAACUGAAAUCCAUGUCAUGAGACAAAUUCUUGAAAACAACAAUAAUACCUGCCCACUAGAAUUCAUGAAUGCCUGUUUUCAAAAUCAACCUAUGACCCAAAAAAGCAAGAUUUUUCUCCUGGCCUUUUUUGGGUUAAUCAUUUUCCCACAUCAAAGAAAUGUCAUAAGUCCUAAGAUGGCAUGGAUAGUUGAUCAGAUCUCAAGGGGGCAAAAUUAUGUCAACAUGAUUUUAACUGAAACAUUUUUGUCCUUUAAUCGUUUUAAAGAAAACACGGAAAAAAUCAUGCGGGUCUCUCCGGAAAUUUUACAAGUCUGGUUCUUUUCUCACCUAAGUGAAUUCCGAGACUUCAUGCGAUCGUCUGGAAUGAAUGAUUUCGAAAAUCCGUUACAAAAAUUUAUGGUUUUAGGACCAUACAUUCCCAAUCAAAGCUGUUUAAAUUGGAUAAACUUCCUAAGAGACCCGGCUCCUAAGGCAUUCCAAUGGUGUGCUGGUUGGUUCUAUGAAAAGAGAGCUCGCUUUGCUUUCAAGCGCCGCUAUCCAAUUCCGUUACUCGACCUCAUCGGUGCCAUUUCCUACUUCCCACAUAGGGUGGAACGACAGUAUUGAGCCCUUCAGGAGAUCCCGCCAUCUUUCAAGAAGAGGGUCCCUCGACUCCUUUUCACCCAUCGAAGUUUUAAAUACACGUUUGAGAUUGACAUUAUUGAGGAAGCAUGGAGCAGGUGCCAUCGCAAAAGGAUCGUGGUACCUGAAGGGCUUAAGGGAGAAGAAAAACCCACCACGCCUCCAUGUCCUACAUCUACAACCAUCGUAUCCUGACAAAAUGGAAGCCGUCAGUCCCUCACUCAAUCAGCGAGAGCAGCCAACACGAGCAAGCAGAGCUCAUGGAGAGGGAUUUGGGAAUGGACUGGAUACACACCUCAGAGCCAGUUCAAGGAAGCAGGCGUCCUCGCAAGAACAAGGCUUCCCGUCGCAUAUAAAUUGGCAAUCCUGUGCCCCUUAGUGUAAAUAGUGUGAAAGUUUUGUCCAAUUGUUUAGGGACUUUUGUUUAAUAUCUAGUAUUUCAUUCUGUCAUUUCAAUUUCAAGUUUUAGAUGUUAGAAGUAUGCGGUCUAUAAAAUCCUCUUUUGAUAAAUAAAAAAAGCAGUUAAACCAUUGCCAUGGGUAAAUCUUUGUUUACUUUUGUGCUCAUUCAUUGUUUUCGCAACAAGCAGGUAAUUAUGAAUCGCCGGCUACCAAUCGCCCGCGAAUGGCCUCAUGCAAUAGGGCCUGAUCAGAAUGAUGUAUAAAAUCGCCUUAUUAACAUUGAAGACGGCGUAGGACAGAUGUCCAUUGUCAUUCGACAACUCUCGAGACAAAUGAAAUCUACUCAAAAUGAGCCCAACACCGUCAUGACACCCGCAAAUUUGCUAGAAAAUAGCCAGUACCAUAGACAGUUUGAAAGGAUCAUGAAAAAGUUAAACCAACUGCGGGAGCAGAAUCCCAUAGACCUGUCCAAUUACGCCAGCAUUGAGAUCCUUGAAAAACUCAAAGCACUUGAAUGCGAAAGGUAUGCUAAUACCUCCCGCCCAGAGACCUACUUGCAGGCCUACCUGGUUCGAAGGAUGAUUCAAUCGUACCAAUCAAGCUUGACUGGCCCUGCCUUGCGAUGGUACAUUGUCAGGAAGAUUAGUCCCCUUAAAACCUGGAGGGAACUAAUUCAUGCUUUUCACCAAGAAUAUGAUAUUGACAUCAGCCCUGACAUAGCCUUGCCCUACGAAGAACUGAUGAUCGCGGAGCACGAGGAACCGUUAGUCGCUAAGAUAGGAGAAGAGCAUGUCAAUGAAGCCUUGCAUGAUAAAUGGGCAGCUGAACAACACCCUGUUACUGGAAAAUUUCCCACUGGGAAAGGCAAGGAGCCUUUGUACGAGAUCAAAGACACAAAGCCUGUUCAAGAUCGGGGCACGACUGGACAACUCCCAAAGCUUACUCCAAGAGCUAGGGUCCAAAGAAUACCAACCCCUAUCAACCUGGAAAGUGAAUCAGACAGUGAAACUUUAAUGUCUCUCACUUCCCUUGACAGAAUCGAGCUGGCAAAACGAAUGGCCCUACUCAAAAGAUCUGGACCAGGGGCCAAGAAAAGAAAGCCUAAGCAGAUCAAUUCAUUGUCUGCCGACGAGCCACCGCACCAAAGCUUCGAGCAUUCCCAAGAAUACAACUUUGAAGGCUACCAUCAUCUAGAGUACAACCCUGAAGACUUCCCAGCCCUAGAAUACAAUCCCAAGGACUUCCAGCAUUAUUUCGAUAAUGAAACUAACGAUUCAUCGUAUAACUGUUUCCUACUCUCACCCGGGGAUGGAGGCCCGUCAGAAGAGGAAGCAUACAUCUUUAUCCGCUACGAUCCUAAUGAAGUGCUAAGCUCGUCCUCUGACCAUGAGGAUAGCUUCAAUACUUCAUCUUCAUUCGGAAAUUUUGACCAAGAAGAAAGCAAUGGGAUAAUCUCGGUAGAGUCCAACUUCCCUGAAACAGAAAAAUUCACCACUACAACGAAUAUGCAGUGGGAAAAUCAGUGGCCUAACCAAGACAUACUAGGCUCGUCUUGCCCUCAUAGGAUCAUGACCCCCAUAGAAAUGUGGAUACCCAAUCUCCGCAAGUAUAAUGGCACGACUUGCCCCGUGGCCCACUUGCAGUACCUCCAUGCUGAAAUGAGUCAGUACUAUGGCCCGAAGUCAUUCACAACUCAGGCCUUCCAAGAAAGUCUUAUGGGGUCUGCAUUACAAUGGUUCAUCACAGCAGAUAUCUACCUCAUGAGAGAUUAGAAUGAGCUGUCUUAUGCAUUCCUGCUUCAGUAUCAAAGCCAGAUUGGGACUGAAGUGCCUUGUCAGAACUUGGUCCACUUCAAAAGAAGACCAAUGGAGGAUUUAUGAGCGUAUGCAAGGAGGUGGGAGGCUUUUAUGAUGCAAACUUACCCUCAACUGGCCGAAGAAGAAAUGAUAAAGUUGUUCAUAGGGACUUUGCCUCGCAAGCAUCGUUGUUGGUUGCAUGGGUUGCACUUCCAUAGCUUCAAUGAAGUGGUCCUCUCAGGCGAAUACUUCGAGUUUGCUGGAGGCGAGGAACUCAAAGGCACUUGAUUUCAGAACCAACACUAUCAAAGCACUCCUUUACACAGGAGUUUUCAUGGGCUUUACUUGUUUUUAUAAUUUCAUGUUUCUUAUCUUGUCUAGUGUGCUACUGUUGUAUUUUCCAUUCCAAGUACUCUAUUGUACAAUUCUAAUAUUUUGUUUUAAGAGCAUGAGGCGGUACUCCAAACCUGCCCGGUGAUGCUAUCCAACCAUGAAAAAUUAUCAUCCAAGAAGAAUACUAAGGGCUGGGCUUCCUCAUGCUUUCUUCCCCCCAAAGAUAUAUACUUUUGAAAACAAAAAAUGUUUUAUUGCCAAAAGCUUUUGUCAAAACAAGAUUAUUAAAUCAUGUUUGUCUUUCUAACUCACUCACUUUGUAUCUCAAAAUAUCAUCCCCAUCCCCCUUGACUUAGUGUGACAGAGGGCAUUUGAAGCUGGCGCAUCAUGUGAACUCACUGAAUUCAAUGACACUUUUCCAAGAAGACAGUGGGGCAAAUAAAAGAUCAUCCCACUUCAAAGAAGGUAAGUUUUAUUCUCUGAAUAUAAUUGUGGAAAUGAUGUCCUCUCUCUUCUAUUUAUAGGAAACGAAAGAUCAGGCGUAAUAGGUACAUGCAUACGGUUAAAAUCAAGCCGUCCCUAGGAGCUCUGUGCACUCCAUCUCGCUCUUGCCCAGCUCCUUCUCAAGCCGGAGCAGUAUCUUCUUCCCUCAACGUGCCCGAGCAACUAAAAGCUACAGUGAGAUUUCCGCCUUCGACAAGCCAAGAAGCGCAAAAAAUGAAUUUCUUCUCUUCCUUUGAAUUAACCACUGUCAACAGGGAGGAAAUUUAGACAGUUGAGACAGUCUCUAGCCCCUUAUUUCAAACGAUGACUAAGGGCCUAGAAACCUCACUUCGUGCUCCAGACGCAUGCUCUCCCAAGAAGUAAUUGCCAUCAGAGAAUUAGAGGUUUUGAUUGUCCACCUCAGAUUCCGUAGAAGCUUGAAGUACAUGACUUUGCUCAAUGCUACUAAUGGUAAUAUGGUCAAAGACAAAAUUCCACAGAAGGAAGGCGUUGCAAAUCAUCAAUCGUGUACACAGGGCCAUAAAUGAGGAGGGCCAAUCGAAAGAAAUGUUGAACUGUGUCAAAGACGAAGAGGCUGUCAUCAGUACAUCAGUAUACAGAAAUCCUUAGGAAUCAACAAAUACAAACUCUGGGGAAGGGUGACUUUGUAUCGUUUCCAAUACCCCCACCAUCUGAACUCACUUUUGACAUAUUUUCUCCUAUUGACAGGAAGCAUAGGAUUCAAGAAACAAGCUUAAUGGUUAAUUUGGGCAAAUCAAGUAACCCAUAUCGAUUUACCUAGCUCGGUAUGAAAGGACGUGUCGUCCAGGAGCCGGUUCGGUUAAAUGAAAAAAGAAGCGUCCUAUGGACACCGUCGGCACCUCUAGCCAAGUGGUAUCCGGGAAGAAGCAAAAUGGUCCGAAGUCGGGGGUUCGAAUCCCUGACGCGGCAGUUAGCCACUUGGUAAAAAAUUAAUAAAAAAAAAGUUUGCUUCUCUUGCGCUUGCAAAUUACGAGAAAGCAGGUGACCUAACGAAGCAAGGGACAUAGGACUUCGUGUCCCCAUCUCACUUCAGGUUCACCCAAUCGUCUGCAAACCAGUGAAGGGCAAAGUUGUAUCGAUUCCAGUUAUUCGACUCUUGAAAAAGUUCAUGACUAACACAUUCCCUCUUGUUUGUUCAGGAUCGCCUGACUGUCAAAAGCAAAGAUAACAAAUCAAUGAGAGGCAUGACAAACUCUCCCAAGCAAAAUGGCGUCUCAAGUAUUGCCAAAGCAAAUGACAGAGAUCCUUUAGGCCUCAACUCACAUUCGAUUUUGGCCAGACUAAUUGAUCUACUUGUACAUCUUCUCUUCUGCAGGGGCAAAAGCAGAGAUGCCCUAUUAAAUCCCCAACCCCGGCUGAUCCUUCAUGUGUCAUAUCCCUAACCAAUAGGGACAACUAUCGACACCCAUUUGCGAAUAACCCUUUUUGAUGUUCAAAAGUUAACAUAUUUGGAAACACCAUUAUGUUAACUCUUAAAGUUGUCAAUAGGGUCUUUUUCGAGUCAAAACCAUUCACUUGUUUUGAAGAGUUCAAACUCCAUCAUAUUCAAAAUGUUGCAUGUCAUUUCCAGAUGAAUUAUGCAUGAUGAUUUUGUCUAUUUAAGUCACUGAUUCCACUAAGGAUUAUCAUAAUAGACAACUAAGUGAAGAAUGCAAGAUUAAUUGAGCAUGCUGGAUGAGGCAUGUCAGAAUGAUGACAGGCAAGCCAUAUCCUACACACAGUCCCCCAUCUAUACACUUGUGAGUUGAGUGCAGAAGAUUCCAUGGCUGCAGGGUAAAGAGUUCUCUCGCGAAUGGUACNNNNNNNNNNNNNNNNNNNNNNNNNNNNNNNNNNNNNNNNNNNNNNNNNNNNNNNNNNNNNNNNNNNNNNNNNNNNNNNNNNNNNNNNNNNNNNNNNNNNAGAGGCAUUCCAUCGCUCACCCCAAUGAGCCCCAUACAUUGGUGAAACUUCUCUAUACCCCGUCAAGAACAACCCCUUGCACUAGGGCAUAUCAGAGGCGAAGCAGCAUCACAAGGUGAGAAGAGAGAUAGAAAUUUUCUUGCUCGCACUUGCUUCAAUCUUUGGGUGUCUUUAUUGCAUAUGAACACUCGCAUUAAUUUAAGUGCCCUAGAGUCAUGAAGAGCAAUUCUUUCUUUACUCACCUGUAUCUAUUGUAUAACUUAAUUGAGUUUGUAAUUUCACCAUCACAUGGAGGCAAAACAGAAGUUACUGUAAUUUAAGUAGCAUAGUCUAGAGUAGGGGUGUCAAAAAGGCCCAACCCGACCCGACCCGAACACGAAACAUGUAUUAUGCAUGUUUCGUGUUCGGGUCGUGUUUGGGUAACAAAUAUAAAACAAGCAAAACAAAUGUGUUUCGGGUUGGGUCAGGUUCGAACAUUGUUCGACCCGAAACAAGUUUUCUAAAGUCCAAACACGCCAAAACCCAAAAACACAAACGCUUUAGGCUUUAGGCUUUAGCCCCAAACACGAACAGUCGAACACACCUCAAGCAUUGAAGGCUGAAAAACAUACCUCGUCGGCUCCGCCUUCUUCUCCGACGAGUGCGCCUUCUCGUGGAGUCCGAUGCCGCCCUCUAAUCGACGCGCCUCCGCCUCGCCGUUGCCGUCGCCACCCCUCGCCUCCGCCUCACCAAUGCCAAAACCCUUGCCACCGCGUGCGGCCGACCAUCGUCGACAGCUUGGGGACUGGGUUCGCUCGGCGAUCAUGACGCUCGCGUCUCGCCUCGUUUCCAAGUCCCGGCAGGUGAGGAGCCCCCCCUCCAGAUCCACGCGCCUUCCCCCCUCUCGUCGCUCGUCAAAUGCCAUCUCAAAUUUUUGCUCGAUGGCGCUCAACAUUGGCCGUGGAGAUCGGGAAUUUUGCGUUUCGCAAAGUCGCCACUUUCCGCUCGGGCGAUUGUUGAUGAUUGUCUGUUGCUCUUCAUUGCGUGGCGAUUUAAUUCGGCGAUUGUGUUUCUGUGCGCUUGAAUUUUUAGAUUCUUGUAUUAAGGAAAUUGCUUGUCUGAUGCAUUUAUUUGUCUAUGAAAUUCUUUGGGUUCAGGUUAAAAGUUAAGCUGAAGCAGCUAGCUGAGCAGUAUGUGCUUUCUGAACAACAUCAUGAACAGGAGGUAAAGUUCUUUAAAAUUGAUUCAUGGGUCUUUCUUGUUCGAGCANNNNNNNNNNNNNNNNNNNNNNNNNNNNNNNNNNNNNNNNNNNNNNNNNNNNNNNNNNNNNNNNNNNNNNNNNNNNNNNNNNNNNNNNNNNNNNNNNNNNUACGUAGCAGUGUUUCAGUAUCUCAUAUCACCCUCGAUUCUGGGGCCGGAACAGUUUUGCUGUGAGAUUCUCAAUUAUGGAUUGACAAGUUCUGGAGAAUAGAGUAACGUAUAUUUGUUUUCCUGUGGAUCUUUUGGUCUCUUCAUAUGUGUGGAAGCAGCUUUGCUUGAUAUGUGCACUCAUUGUGGGAGGAUGGUGGCUGCUGGAAAAAUGUUCAAACGAUGGCCUUUUGAGUGGGAUAGCUCUAUUAUUUGUACUUCUAUGAUAUGUGGGUAUGCACGUAAUGGGCUGCCGGAUGAGGCAAUAUCACUAUUUUGCCAUUGUAAAGUAGAAGGGAGCAUAAUUCUUGCUGAAAUUGCAUCAAUUUCAAUACUUGGUGUUUGUGGAACUUUAGGGUCUGAUAGGAUGGGUGAGCAAAUUCACUGCCAUGUUCUUAAAUUUGGAUUAUUUUCAGAUUUAGAGGUAGCAAAUGCAUUGAUCGGUAUGUACUCAAAGUGUUGGAAUAUGGAUGCUGCUAAAAAAGUCUUUAACAUUAUUGGAAGCUUUGGACAUAAAAGGUUAUCUUUUCACUUGAAGAUCCCAUGUGGCCAAGAACGAGUCUUUGGUCUUUAGGGUGGAUUUGGCCACUACAGUGAGGUUCAAGAUCAUGGUUUGGAAGACCAAGAGGUAUAAGGUAAUAGUGGUGGGUGCUAAUGUGACUCUCAAUGAUCAGGCUGCUAAGAACACCGGCAAGAAGGACAAGGAUGUCAAACUAAAGUCUGGGGUGGGUAAGAAUUUAGGGGGUUGUUGCUUUUGGCAGGUGGGGACUUUUGUUGUUGCUUUAGCUUUGAUUUUGCUUGACUAAGGGCUGAGUUGGACUCUUCCUUGUGUGAGGAAGGUUGAGAAUGAGAUUAAUUUUAUGGUAUUCCUGGAUAGUGGGCAGUGCUGAUUAUUGUUUGCAUUAGAAAUGAGUGCUGGUUAGCAUUUGGAUUAGAAAUGAUAUAUUUAAUGGAAGAGGGAAAAAAAUCAUUGUUUUGGGAUGGUUUCGUUGAAUGAAGAUUUGAAUGAAUCAUGGUGUUUGGUUCUUAUGAUAUGUAGUCCUUAUCCUUCAUUACAUUGAGUUCUUCGGGGUUGUUCAGAUUCCUGGUCUUUGCAAACAGAGUGAAUUUUGUUUGCCUUCUUAAAAACUGGUAUAGUCCUACUAUGAAGCUCAUCUUUUAGAAGAACAAGAUGUGAUCAAAGAUAUCAUUCUGUCUGUGUUCUACUUUUAGCGAUAGUGGGAGCUGCUGCUCUGUAAUUUGAUCAGAGAGUAGUAGGCAGUAGGCACCGCCACAAAGAGGAACCUCUAUCUGUUGCUAUAUUAGCCAAAAGGAACAUUUGCUACUGUCAAUGAUACAAAGUCAUAAAAUCUUCCUAGUUGAAUAAUAGCUUGUUGCCUAUCAGGUUUUUAAUCAUCCUAGCAAAUUCUGAAGAAAGGAGAAGAUUGCAUAUUUUACUCUAGAAAGUAAAACCCUUUUCAGCAUAUUUACCGAGCUCACCAUACCUUAUGAAUUCGUGGGCAUUGGCAAGAAGUGCAGCUUUUCUUAUUUCCGAUUCUCUAGCAUCUUCUUUUCCAAUUGUAUGAAUGUAUUUCUUAAACAUUUACUUCUAUCCAACCCCAUUUUAACUUCUUUCUUUUCCCCACAUGCAUAUGCUUGUGCUCAUUUGUAGAAGAUACAUUCAUUUGAGGCCCGCCAAAAGAAAAAAGAGACAAAAAUCAAUCCAAUGCUAAAAAAUAAAGAGCCAAGCCGAGGCUUGCAAUGUUUCGUAAUAACGUAUAACAGUUGCGAUAAGUCACGAACAACAAUGAAGAUGAAUGCCCCCAUUCGACUUUCACCCGAGAAAAAAAAAAAAAGUGACAACCCGGAAACCCGACCCGACCCGACCUGAAUUUCCUAUGCCAGUUUAAUGUGUUUCGGGUCAGGUCGGGUCGGGUCAUAGUAUGUGACCCGUAUGUUUCGGGUCGGGUCGGGUAACAUCAAGACCCGACCCAACCUGACCCGUUUACACCCCUAGUCUAGAGCGCUAGCUGAAGAUGAAGACUCAAGAGUCUAACAACAGUGUCAUGAUUGAACUUGCCUAGGCUAGUUUCUCUAACGACAAGAAUGAAAAAACAGGGGCAUAAAAAAGCAGUGUACCUGGUAAAAGUAAGGUCAAUGCCCAUAAAUGAAGAACUAGAAUAAAAAUAGGGGCAUGAAAAAGCAGUGUGCCUAGUAAAAGCAAGGUCAAUGCCCCCCAGUCAAAAAUACAGCCAAGAAAAUGUUGUUGUUGUGGUCCACAGAACCUCCAUUUGACAGUGAGAAGAAAGACUGGUGACAAAUGCCAAGGCAAUCACCAGCUUUCAUCCUUUUACACAUAAAUCAAGCCUACGUUACAAUCCCAUUGUAAAAGUCUCUUCAGACUAGGGCACUUCAAUUAAUGUAGGAUUUCAUGUGUACGUAAGCAUCGCUCGAAGAAAUACGAGCAAGAUUACUCUAUCUCUUUUCGCAGGACUCUUGACUUGCAAACCCAGAGAUGAUCGUGCAGUACUUCGUUCAUGAGCCUUGACCUUGACGGUCUCAUUUGAUGAGCUAUUGACCAAGUCUUCAUCAUAAUUUCAACAAAGACCUCUCACAUUGGUAAAGUCGUACCACUUGCGAGAAUACUCAGACCCCUGCUGACAUGAUAACAGUGAGAAGUGUGGUCCUUAUAAAUCCUGCAUCAAUGGUCAGGAUAGCCUUUUCCAUGAGAAAGAGUGGAAAGUCCUUUCAGAUUGAAAGUCCCUCAUCUGGCAUGCUCAAGACAUCUACAUUUGGAAUGAAGGUUGUCUUUCAAAUUUUCCCCAGUGGAAUUCGGAUGAUGCCAAAACUAACAAAAUUGUCAUGCAUGAAUCCCAUUUAAACUCAUGAAUUUACUGCAUAUACAAUCAUGUGUGCAUAUUGUGCAAAUAGCAGACAUACACUCAGAGAUAAGAGAUAUUGCCAGGUAAGCAUAUCCAUGUCCCCAUUUGUCUUAAAGUACCUAUCACUGUCCAGGUACUCUCUUCUUGACACUCGACCUAUUCGAGUCAUCCCUUGAGUUUGGGUUCUUGCAAUUGUCUUAGUAUCCCAUUGUCUUUGAGUACCCACCACUUGCCGGGUACUCCCUCUUAACGACACUCAACCUGUCCGAGUUGUCCUCAGAGUAUUGAUACUUGCGACUGUCCAGGUAUCCCUUUAUUUUUAGGUACCUCCCACUAUCUAGGUACCCUCCUAUCAACACUCGACCUGUUCAAGUCAUCUUCGGAAUUUAGAUGCUUGAGACAAACCAAGUAUCCCAUCAUCCAUGAGUGUUCAUCACUGUCUAGGUACCCUCUUAUCGACACUUGACCUAUUCGAGUUGUCCCUCAGAGUAUUGAUACUUGUGACUAACCAAGUAUCCCUUUUAUCAUUGAAUACCUACUGCUAUUUAGGUAUCCCUAUUGUCUUUGAGUAUCAGCCACCGUUCGGAUACUCCCUUUCCCUGACACUCAACUUGUUCGAGUUGUCCCCAGAGUAUUGAUACUUGUGACUGACCAAGUAUCCAUUUAUCUUUGAAUACCUAAUGCUGUCUAGGUAUCUCCAUAUCAUCAAGUACCCACCGCCGUUCAGGUACUCCCUUUUCAUGACACUCAACUCUCUUGAGUUGUCCCCAAAUAAUAGUAUCUGUUCAAGCAUUCCACUGCUUUAUGUGCCUGUGCCUGCCCAAGUAUGUUUUCUUACACUUGGACCAGCCUGAGUGGUCCCAGAUCGUAUCAUCAAAUACUUGUGUUCAUCCAAGUAUUCCAGUACUUUGUACACCUGCGGCUACCCAGGUGUUCCAACCCUUUUGAGUGCCUACGGCCUGGAUGUGUCAUCCAGGAGCCAAUUCAGAGAAUAAUUGACUUAACAAAGCAAGGGACAUAGGACUUCGUGUCCCCAUCUCACUUCAGGUUCACCCAAUCAUCUGCAAACCAGUGAAGGGUAAAGUUGUAUUGCUUCCAGUUAAUUGACUCUUGAAAGAGUUCAUGACUAACACAUUCCCUCUUGUUUGUUGCAGGAUCACCUGACUGUCAAAAGCAAGGAUAACAAAUCAAUGAGAGGCAUGACAAACUCUCCCAAGAAAAAUGGCGUCUCAAGUAUUGCCAAAACAAAUGACAGAGAUCCUUCAGGCCUCAAUUCACCUUUAAUUUUGGCCCUGUUGAUUGAUCCAUUUUCAACUUCUCCUCUGCAAAAGGCAAGAGUAGAAAUUCCUGAUCAGAUCCCCAAUCCCUGGCUGAUCAUUCAUAUGUCAUGUCCCUAACCAAUAGGAGCAAUCUAUCGACACUCAUUUGUGAAUAACCCUUUGUAAAUAACUCUUUUGAUAUUCAAAUUUCAACACAUUUGUGAAUACCAUUUCACCAAGCAAACACCCUUAAAGCUGUUAAUAAGUUUUUCUUGAGUAAAAACCAUUCAUUUAUUUUGAAAGUACAAACUCUUUCGCAUCAUAUGCUGCAUGCCUUUUUCCAGGUGAUUUUUGCAUGAUGAUUUUGUCUGUCUAGAUCAUUGAUUUUGCUGAGGAUUAUUAGAAUAGACAGUUAAGUAGAGAAUACAAGAUUAAUUGAGUAUGCUGGAUGAGGCGCGUCAGAAUGAUGACAGGCAAGCUAUAUCCUACACACAGUCCCCCCAUCUAUACACUUGUGAGAUGAGUGCAGAAAAUUCCAUGACUGCAGGGUAAAGGGUUCUCUCGCGAAUGGUGCGAUAACCAAAAUAGUGAGAGGCAUUCUAUCGCUCACCCCAUUGAGCCCCAUACACUGGUGAAAUUUCUGUCCUACCCCUGUCAAGAACCACCCCACACUGGGACAGAUCACAGACGAAGCAGCAUCACAAGGUGAGAAGGGAGAUAGAAAUUUUCUUGCUUGCACUUGCAUCAAUCUUUAAGUGUCUUUAUUGCAUAUGAACGCUCACGUUAAUUUAAGUGCCCUGGAAUGACGAAGAGCAAUUAUUUCUCUAUGCACUUGUAUUCAUUGUACAACCCAAGUGAGUCUAUAAUUUUACCCUUACAUCAAGACAAAGCAAAAGUUAUUGCCAUAGCCUGAGCGCUAGCUGAAGAUGAAGACUCAAGAGUCUAACAAUAGUGUCAUGAUUGAACUUCCCUAGGCUAGUUCCUCUAACGACAAGAAUGAAAAACAGGGGUAUAAAAAAAAAAAAGCAGUGUACCUGGUAAAAGCAAGGUCAAUGCCCAUAAAUGAAAAACUGGAAUAAAAAUAUUGGCAUGAAAAAAAAAGUGUGCCUGGUAAAAGCAAGGCCAAUGUCCCCCAGUCAAAAAUACUGCUAAGAAAAAGUUGUUGUUGUGGUCCAUAGAACCUCCAUCUGACAAGAAAGACUAGUGACAAAUGCCAAGACAGUCACCAACUCUCACCCUCUUACAUGUGAGCCAAGUCUAUGUUACAUCCCCAUUGUAAAAGUCUCUUCAGACUAGGGGCACUUCAAUUAACGUAGGAUUUCAUAUGUGUAUAAGUAUCGCUCGAAGAAGUACGAGCAAGAUUACUCUAUCUCUUUUCGCAGGGUUCUUGACUUGUAAACUCGGAGAUGAUCGUGCAACAUUUUCGUCCAUCGGCUUUGGCCUUGACGGUCCCAUUUGAUGAACCGAUGACCAAGACUUCAUCAUAGUUUCAACAAAGAUCUCUCACAUUGGUAAAGUCGUACCGUUUGCGAGAAUACUUGGACCCCUGCUGACAUGAUGACAGUGAGAUAGUGUGGUCCUUAUAAAUCCUGCAUCAAUGGUUAGGAUAGCAUUUUCCAUGAGAGCGAGUGAAAAGUCCUUUCAGACUGAAAGUCCCUCAUCUGGCAUGCUCAAGACAUCUACAUUCUAAAUGAAGGUUGUCUUUCAAAAUCUUCCCCAGUGGAAUUCGGAUGAUGCAAAACUAACAAAAUUAUCACGCAUGAAUCUCAUUUGAACUCAUGAAUUUACAACACAUACAAUCAUGUAUGCAUACCGUGCAAAUAGCAGACAUACUCUCAAAGAUAAGAGAUAUUGCCAGGUAAGCAUAUCCCUAUCCACAUUUGUCUUAAGGUACCUACCACUGUCUAGGUACUCUCUUCUUGACACUCGACAUAUUCGAGUUGUCCCUUGAGGUACGAUGCUUGCAACUGUCUUAGCAUCCCAUUGUCUUUGAGUACCGGCCACCGUCCGGAUACUCCUUUUUCCUGACACUCGACCUAUUCGAGUUGUCCCCUGAGUAUUGAUACUUGUGACUUACCAAGUAUCCCCUUAUCGUUGAAUACCUACUGCUGUCUAGGUAUCCCUAUUGUCUUUGAGUACCGGUCACUGUUCGGAUACUCCCUUUCCCUGACACUCGACCUGUUCGAGUUGUCCCCAGAGUAUUGAUACUUGUGACUGACCAAGUAUCCAUUUAUCUUUGAAUACCUAAUGCUGUCUAGGUAUCUCCAUAUCAUCAAGUACCCACCGCCGUUCAAGUACUCCCUUUUCAUGACACUCAACUUGCCCGAGUUGUCCCCAAAUUAUAGCAAAUGUUCAAGCAUUCCAUUGCUUUGCUUGGCACCGCCGUCCAAGUAUGCUUUCUAGCACUUGGACCAGCCUGAGUGGUCCCAGAUCAUAUCAUUAAAUACUUGUGUACAUCCAAGUAUUCCAGUACCUUGUACACCUGCGGUUACCCAUGUGUUCCAACCCUUUUGAGUGCCUGCGGCCAUCUAGGUAAGCCUUGUGCUACACUCAAGUUUAUGUUGCCAGGAGAUGGGAGACCUUCACGAAUAUGCGAGGCACGCCCUCGAUAUUCCCAAUUACCAGGAGGUGAGAGACCUUCAUGAAUAUCCAAGGUACGUCCUCGAUAUUCCAACUACCAGCAGGUGAGAGACCUUCACGUAUAUGCAAGACCCAUCCUCGAUAUUUCCACACGAAUAUCUCAAGUACGUCAUCGAUAUUCCAUGUACCAAGAGUUUGUACCUGUGAUCGUCCAGGUACCCCUUCGAUACUUGUGAUCAUCCAGGUAUCCCCCAAGAGUUUGUACUUGUGAUCAUCCAAGUACCUCUUCGAUACUUGUGAUCAUCCAGGUAUCCCCCAAGAGUUUGUACCUGUGAUCGUCCAGGUACCCCUUCGAUACUUGUGAUCGGCCAGGUAUCCCCCAAGAGUUUGUACCUGUGAUCGUCUAGGUACCCCUUCGAUACUUGCAAACGUCCAAGUAUCCUCUAAGAGUUCGCACUUGUGAUCAUCCAAGUACCCGUCCAUUGCCUAUGAUUAGCCAAAUGCCCCUUUUUGAUGCCGGCAAAGGCCCAAAUAUCCUUCAGGUUAGUACUUGUGAAUAUCCAGGUACUCAUUGAUAUGCCUGUGAAUGUCCAGGUAUCUUCCAGAAUCGAUGCCUUGAGAAAGGUCGGCGCAUCCUCCCGAGAAAGGUCGGGUUCCAACUGGUGUCUUCAACAGAAGUCAGACACUUAACAAAUCGAUGCCCUGAGAAAGGUUGGCCUAUCCUCCCGAGAAAGGUCGGGUUCCAACUGGUGUCUUCGACAGAAGUCAGACACCCUACAAAUCGAUGCCCUGAGAAAGGUCGGCACAUCUCCCGAUAAAGGUCGGGUACCAACUGGUAUCUUCGACAGAAGUCAAACACCCCACAAAUCGAUGCCCUGAGAAAGGUCGGCGCAUCCUCCCGAGAAAGGUCGGGUUCCAACUAGUGUCUUCGACAGAAGUUAGACACCCCACAAAUCGAUGCCCUGAGAAAGGUUGGCGCAUCUCCCGAGAAAGGUCGAGUACCAACUGGUGCCUUCGAUAGAAGUCAGACCCCCAACAAAUAGAUGCCCUGAGAAAGGUCGACGCAUUUCCCGUCAAGGCGAUCGAAGAAAGGUUCGGGUCCUAGACAAACAACUUAUUGCUCUAACAAGCAACCGAAGAAAGGUUCGGGUCCUAGACAAACCAACUUAUUGCUCUAACAAGCGACCGAAGAAAAGUUCAGGUCCUGGAAAAGCAAUCUCCUCAUGCAGCAGGUAAAAUGACGCCUUGAUACUUGCCAAAGCUCGGGGUUCACACCCUAUCUCACUCAGGUAAGUAACUACAGGUAUCUUCUUAUUUGUCUUAGUAUGUGUAAUGUUAUAUUGCUCAUUUUCUGCAAAGGACACUAGGUCUUAAAUAAGAUAUAAUCUACUGCAUAUGAACAGACAAAAUUUAGGUAUAAGUUUGUCUUUGAAUGCAACCUCUGCGAACUCACCUUCAAAGAGGGGCAGCUAUUGAUACAUAAAUUUUGAUUGGGUUUUUAAAUUAGGCCUUAGUCUCUUUUAAUUUUUGUUUUUCCUUCGGAUAAUAAUAAAUAAUAAAAACAACAAAAAAAUAGUAAAAAUAAAAGAAAGCAAAAGCCCAGCCCCUCCACUCUUUUUCUCUCUCUUGCGCGGGCCCAGGGCCCAGCCCUUGUUUUCUUGAGUUUUGGCCCCCCCCCCUCUCUUCUUCUUCCUCCUGUCUUCUUCCUCCUCGGUCACCUGCAUCUCACGCGCGGUGGCCAGCGACGUGCGCGAAGGACGGCCUACAGCCGAGGGGAGUAGGCCGACGUCAGCCGGAGAGGAUAAGAUCUCAAGCGCCAUCAAUGCCGAGAACGCUUCGUUGGACAGGUGGCGGAUGGGACACCGGUUCGGCCACGGGGGUCCGGUCGACAAGCAAAAAGACCGGCGGCCGAGCCUCUCCGUCGACGGGACCUCCUCGCCUAUAAAUAGCGGAGCAUUUCCGUCGUCGAGGGAGACACGAGCGAGCUCCGAGAUCUUCCCACUGAGAGACUUCAGGGGAGGAAUCAAAGAGCAAGCGAGAGAGAACUCGGGUCGCAAGCUCGACUGACCUCCCACUGAGAGACUUCGGGGGAGGCCGCCGGCGAGCGAGUCCGAGGAGGUUAGAUCCGGCCGGUGGAGGCUCGGAUCUGGCCGGAGUGAGAGAGAACCAAGGCUGAGGGGGCUGCUGGAGAGAAGAGGAGUCGGAGAAAGCCGUUGUGAGCCGAGCACCAGUUGCGAAUCGCGAGAUCCCGACGCCAGUUGCUGUUGCUGUCUCCCCCACGAGCCGCUUCUCCUCCGAAGCUCGAAGAACCAGUGCAAAAUCGAAGUUUCCCCGGUCGUGCUAGUCUGUCGUCGACGCCGCAACACCGCCCCGAUGCCGUCCAGGUUUAAGGGCCGCCGCCAUCGCCACAAGCCGUGCCGCCGUGCCGUGCCAAAGCCGAGAGCAGGUGACGAUGGAGCCCUGCCUACGCCGUCCAUCCAAAGCUCUAAUGGCCGUCGCAUUUGCCAUUCACUGUCGUCGCCGUAGCCACCGUAGCCGCCGUCACCGCCGUCGCCGCCGUCGCCGUCGUAAUACUCUCGUUUCCCCCCCUUCGGCGCCGCGGAUUCGCAAACCCUAGGGUUUGCGAUUUCCGGGUGACGAAGCGGAUCCGGGUUUGGAAAACGGGUAGGGAUUCCGUGAUUUAAGCGGCGACGGAAGCCGGGUCGGGGUUCGGGUCGGAUCCGGGUAGGGUUUUCGCCAGGAAGCCGGGUCGUAAAGCCGGGUCGUCGGGCCGGGCCGGGUGUCCCCGAACGCCCGGCCACGACGCCAUUUCAAAUAUAAAAAAAGAGGAAAAAAACUUAGUCAGGCCUGCGUCGCGGGCCCGUCCGCGUUUUGGGUCGUCGACCCCGGUCGGACACAACCCGUGGAUCCGACCCGGGUCGGUUUUUAUUUUAAAUAAUAUUUUAAAUAAACAAAUAAUAAAUAAAUAAUUUAUUUUCCAAAAAAACAAAAAUAUCCAAAAAAUAUUUUAUUUUCCAAAAAUAUUAAAAAAUGUUUUAAUUUCCAAAAAAUUGAAAAAUAGUAAAAAAAAAAGGAUAAAAAUAUUUAAUUUUCGAAAAAUAAAACAAUCAAAAAUAUUUCAUAUUUUCCAAAAAAAUGACAAAAAUCCAAAAAAAAACCAAAAAUUCAUGAAAAAGCCAAAAAGACUUGUAUUUUUCCAAAAAUACCAAAAAAAUCCCAAAAAAUCCCUUUUGUGUCCAAAAAAUUAGAAAUAGACUCAAAAAAUGUUUUUCCUCCCAAAAAUGCAUGGAAAAUCCCUCAAAAAUCCAAAAAAGCCUUAGGGUUUAAACAAGAUUAGGUACCGAAAGGGCAUUAGUGAUUAACUAGUGUAAUCAAGUCCCCGAUCCUAAUUUCUCUGGUUACGCAGGAGUGAGUAUUUCUCGCGAUACUUCACUUGGGUUUCUAAUCAACCCACCCCAAAUCGAUUAGUGGCGACUCCAUUUUAAAAAUUGAUUUACAGGUUAAAAACUCAGACUAUUAAAGUCAUGAAUUGGUGGACUUGGGAGAGUUCGGGCAUAACUAAUUUCAGCCGAACAAUUAGCCUCCUUAGGCGCUCGUACCCGAUUGCGGGCGCCGAAAAAAAAGAGGUCGCGACAACUGCAUUUCUACCAAAGAUUUUAUAUUGACUCGUUUGAGCUAUGGACUGGACAUGAACCUAACUUGAACCAUCUUAAGGUUUGGAGUGUCAUGCAAAAAUUAUGUUAUAGAAUCCAACAUUGAGUAAGUUGAAUUGUAGAAACACUCAAAGUUAUUUCGUAUCUUACCCAAGUCAUUUGAAGGGAUAUCGGUUUUAUAAUCCCAAUGGAGGUACAAAAAUUAUGGGAUCACAAAUAGCGAAGUUUCUAGAAUUCAACGUAGCUGCAGAUGAUAGCUGCUUUUAGACUAUUAAAGAUAAUAGUACGGUGGAGACCACUGUGUAUUUGUCUUUACCUAUACAAAUAAUUAUGGAGUCUUCUACACGACAGACUAAGCUUGUGAGGUUCAGGAUACUAUUAUUGAUACAAUUCCUAAUGAAGUUUGUCAAGCCUCUCAUGUGCAAAAUGAAAUUAUUGCAAUAGCUCCACUUAAAAGAUCUAUUAGUGAAAAGUGUUCAGUUAUACCACUGGACUAUAUAAUAUUUAUGUGAGAACAUGACUAUAAUAUACGUUGCAUGGUUGAUCUAGUGACUUACAUAUAAAUGUUGUUUCUUAUCCUCAAUCAAAUCUGUGAUUAGAUGCGAUGAAAGACGAGAUACAAUCUAUAAAACAUGAUAGUACUUGGUAGCCUAUUGAAUUGGUUGAAGGUCACAAGCCCAUCUAUUGUAAAUGGGUUUUAUGAGACUAAAAAUAAAUUUUAAAAGAAAUAUUGAGAAGCUUAAAUUCAAGCUAGUAGAGAAAGGUUUCACUUAGAGAAAAUGAGUAGAUUAUGAACGAAUUUUUCUCAGCCUUUUCCAAAAACUAUUUCAGAGUGAAUAUGGUAUUAACAUAAAGUUACAUUAGAUGAAUGUUAAAACUCUAUUUCUCAAUAGAUACAUUGAUAAAGAAGUCUAUAUUGUAUAACUCAAAAGUUUUACGAAAGAUGAUUUAGGUAAGUUUGUGUGUAAACUGAAAAGCCUUAUACAUGGUAUUAUGUAAGUUUGUCGAUAAUGAUACUUGAACUUUUAUAGCAUUGUCACUUCAUUCAAUUUUGUUGAAAAUAAAGUAAAUCGAUGUAUAUACUAUAAGGUUAGUGGGAGAAAAUUUAGUUUUCUCACAUUUUAUAUAAACAAUAUCUUGCUUGUGAGUAAUGACAUUGGAUUACUACAUAAGACCAAGCAGAUGUUGUUAAGGAAUUUUAACUUGAAAAACCUUAGUGAGCUUUCUUUUGUCCUUAGUAUUGAGAUUCACAAGAAUUUUUCUUUCCGUGUGUUAGAUUUAUCUCAUAUUGCAUAUGUUGAUCGUAUUUUAGAAAGACUCAAUAUACAACAUUAUGAACUAGAAAUUACUGGUAAUAAAGUGAGUCAUUGCAGUAUCCUCAUUCAGAUUUUAGGAAAACCCAAAUGAAGCAUACAUCUUAUGCUAGUGCACUUAGAAGUAUCAUGUAUGCUCAAGUUUACACUAGGCUAGAUAUUGUUUUUGCGACAAAACUUCUAGGCAUAUAUCAAUCAAGUCCAUGACAUUAUCAUUGAAUUACUGCCAAUAAGGUUUUGAGAUACUGUUGACACCUAAUAUUUUAGAAAGUAAUAAAUAAAAUAAAACAUUUGGUUUUGAAAAUCUUUUUUGUUGAAAAUAUAUCCUCAUUUCAAAAUUAAAAAAAAAAAUAAUUGUUGUGUGAUUUUGGAGCCAUUUUUUUUGUUAAGAGGUUGAGUGAAUAUCUUACUUGCAAAAACAACUUUGAGUUUUCCUCUAUAAAUAAAGGAUGCAAGGCUUCAAAACUCGGGGGUGGGGUCGAGGAAGAGAAAAUAGAAAAGGAGAAAAGGAGAGCUUCGUUUCUUUAGAGAGGAAAAGAGAAAAAAAAAAAAGUAAAAAAAAGAUGCAGAAAGUGCAGAGAGAGACAGAAGGAGGAGACAUGAAAAUGACGUGAGAGAGAGAGAGAGAGGUCAGAGCAGAAAAAAAAUGAUGAACAACUGUUCAUCUUCCUCGUGAGUUCCCGUUCGGCAUCCCUGCUGCCCACUUCAUCCGCGCCGCCGAGCUGCCGCUGCCGCUCCUGCGCCCCACACCGUUGCCGUUCCACCGGUCAUCCGAAGUUCUGCCUUGCUAGUGUUGAUCCACGAAGACGUUGUUUCCUCUGCCCUGUCCGCGAUCUACUAGUCACCACCGGUCCGAGAUCUGCCAUUCUGCCGUGCCUCUGCCUCGACGUGCCCUUGACGUUGUUGUCCACGCCCCACUGGUUGCCACCCAUGCAACUGAGUCGUCGCUCCGCUCGCUCGAUUGUCUGCGUGUUCACCGUUGCUAUUGCUACCUCCGUCUUCGAUGCCAAUAGUCGCAACCCAGCCUCUUUCGCUUGCUGCUGUGUUCGCAGUGCUCCACCUGCAGCCUAUUCGCCGUCGCAGCUCCCCUCUGUCGAACCACCACCAUGCUUCCGGGAGCUCUCCCCUGGUGCUCUGCCUCAACCUGAAUCAGUCCCAGUAGUCCGAUGCCCCUACACCCGACAUUGCUGCUCCUCUGCUCACUACCGCACGCCCGAACAGAGCCACUUGUUGCCUCCCCUGUUUUGCUGCAGGUCCGGUUACUGCCCAAACCUCACCGGAGCUCCGACAGACAGCCCCUGUUCCGAACGACGACCCAUCACCGAACCACCAUUGCAGCUCGGCCACCAUUGCUUCCUCGCCAUUCCUCAAGUCAACCGUGAGUUAGACUAGGUAAAUUUUUAGAUAUUCGGUUUCAUAGUUUUAUUUUAUUUUUAUUUUAUUCUAACUUGAUUUGUUUUAAUUUAUUCUAACUUGAUUUGUUUUAAUUUAUUCUAACUUGAUUUGUUUUAAUUUAUUCUAACUUGAUUUGUUUUAAUUUAUUUUUAUCAUUAUCCGAUUAGGAAAUUUUUCAUAUUAAGUCAUAAUAAUAAAAAAUAUUGAGCCGCGAGACGUCAGAUUAGAUUUUUGAUUAUUUCGACUUUUCAUGGCAAAUUCAUGAAUUGCUUUGCAUCAUUGAGAUAAUAUGUCAUUGAUUUACAUUGAUAAAUUUUCAAUAGGACAUAUAUUUUGAUGUGUUAUGUUAUUUGCUCUCACAUAUCAUGCAUCAUAUGUCAUAUCUAGGAUUUAGGUAUUUAGGUCCAUAAACAUUUCAUGUUUAAAUCAACGCAUUUUAAUUUUUAAAAUUCAUAUAAAAUUAGGAUAAUUUUCCUUUAAUAAAACCAAAACAAAAAAGAACAAAAAAAAUGUUAUUUAGGUUAUAUAGAUUUCAUAAUGUGCACACCACAUUUUGCGCUUUAAUUAGUGGGUCAUAGGUUAAUGUUUUAAUGUUCCCGUUGUAUAGUUUUUAAUAUAAAAAAAAAAAAGCCAAAGAUUAGUAUUGCAUCAUUAUGUUGUUUUUCUUAAUAAGAAUUAUUAAGUCAUUUAAAAAAAAGAAAACACAAAGGUUAUUUAUUUGGUUAGUUAAUAGGUUAGUUCAUAAUUAAUCCCAUUCUAUGUCAUCAUUGUUAGUGUAGGUUGCAUAUGUGUAAUAAAAAAUCAUUAAAAAAAUCAUAAAAAGAACAUGCAUAUAGAAUUACCACGUCAUACAUCCCAUAUCAUGUAGCACAUGCAUAUUUAGGAUUAUGUAAAUUAGAUUGCACACAUAUUGUACUGAUUCGGAUCAUGUCAUAUAAAUUGCAUCUCACAUGUCAUUAAAGUAAAACUCAUGCAUAUCAAAUUUAAAUUAAGAUUGCAUGUAAUUAACAUUUUUUUUAAAGAAAAAUAAAAAAUAGGUGUCAUUUCAUUUAGAAAUCAUGUUUAGGGCAUGCAUUUUUAUUAGCAUUGCUGUAAGUUUUUUUUUAGAGAGUGGACCUUAAUGAAGUUGGAGUUUAUAAUUUCUUACAAUAUAUCACUUCGGUUGAUUGAAUGUUAUUUUAUUGAUUGUGCACCCGUAUGACCACCAUUUACAUGUUAAUAGCUUAGAUUAAAAUUAAUUAAGACUACGUGCAAAAUAUUUUUGAAAUUAAAAUGAAAAGGUGCCGAAAGGGCGUUAGAUUAAUCUAGUGUAACCAUGUCCCCAGACUUAUUGAAUCUCCAGUUCGCAAAAGUAAGGUAUUCUCCCAUACUUUACUUGGAUUUCUAAUCAACCCUAAUUGGUUAGUGGCAGCUCCAAAUUGAGUAUAAUUGCAUGUUUAAGGGGUUAAUUUCUUAGUAUCAAGUCGCGAUUGGUAAGACUUGGGAGAGUUCGUGCCAAGUCUUUAGACUUAGUAAUCCAUUAGCCUUCUUUGAGUAAUUCACCCUCGGGAAGGUCGCGACAGAUACUGAAAAUGACAAGAAAACUAUAUGCUAAUAAACAUGUUUAGGAUCUAGAGCUAGUAAGAUAUUGCAAUGUAGAUUUUAUGUAAGGAUGACAAGAAGUCGACAACAAAAAUAUAUCUUUAUAUCAGCAGAAGGUGUAGUAUUAUGACAAAGUAAUAAAUAUGAAUCUAUGUUAUCCUCUACCAUAUAAACGAAAUAUGUAGGAUGCUUUGAGUAAUUCACCCUCAGAAAGGUCGCGAUAGAUACUGAAAAUGACAAGAAAACUAUAUGUUGAUAAACAUGUUUAUGAUCUAGAGCUAAUAAGAUAUUGAAAUGUAGAUUUUAUGUAAGGAUGACAAAAAGUUGACAACAAAAAUAUAUCUUUAUAUCAGCAAAAGGUGUAGUAUUAUGACAAAGCAAUAAAUAGAAAUAUAUGUUAUCCUCUACCAUAUAAACGAAAUUUGUAGGAUGCUUUUUAGUUGUUACUCAGGAUAUUUAACUUCGGAACCUCAUUAAGGAGUUGACCAUUUUUGAUUUUAUGAAUAGACUCAUACGGUUAUAUCGAGACAAUAACUCUUUGGUGUUGUUUAUCAAUAACAAUAAAGGUCUUGAGGGGUCUAGAUAUGUGGUAAUCAUAUUUUUUUACUAUAAAGAAACGAUACAGAAUGAUGACACUACAAUUUAGCAUAUUUUCACAUAUGAUGUGGUUAUAGACCCACUAAUUAAGGACUUUCGCCCUUGUGUACUUGAAUGACACAUUAUGAACAUGGGCUGAGAAGUCUCAUUGGAUGUUGCUAUUUAGUGGGAGUUGUCUUGAUUUCGCUCUAAUAAAGCUUAUAUAUAUUACACAUUCAAUAAAGUGUUCAUGAAUGUGUGGUCACCAUAUUAAGUUGAUUAUAUGUAAUGGAAAUCUAAAGGUAUUAUGUAAGCAUUGAGUGAAGGCUUGGGGCAUCUGGUUAUCAGCCUUGAGCAUAUGUCUUGAUUACACAUAAAUAAAGGUUAAUCAUAAAGAUAAGAUAUAUGUGAGUUCAUUAAAACCAUAAAGAUAUUCUUUAGUGGCACAUCCGAUUUUUUGUGACACUUAAGGUAAGAGAAUAGUGACCGACAAAGGAGAUGACACAUAAGGUAUUAUUCUUUAUGAGAUGUUAUUCGUUUGCCAUACAACCAUAUUGAAUCCAUAUCAAUAAAGUUAAAAGCACUCGUGAUCAUAGAAAGCUCUGUGUGAAUACAUGCAAUUACCACUAUGAUUCGGUGUAUGAGACAUUAUGAGAUAGGAUUGACUAUUAAGAAUUAUCACUAAAACAACAUAAAAGUGCGCACAUACAAUACAAUCUCAAGUAAUAUAGCCCAAGUGAGGGUAUGUAAGAGCUUUCUUAAUAUGGGCUUCAUUAGUUGAGAUUAUAAUUUACCGUUUUACAAAGUUGGUCUAAUAAGGUAAGGCAUAAGGUUUCUUAAUAGUCGAAUAUGGGUCUAGCUUGUGUGAGCCAAAUUGAGCCCAGCCCAUCAUAAGAGGGUUUGUCCAAAACUCUAUAAAUAGCGGUAAGGUCCGUCUUCUAACUCUCAUUUUUCCAUGAACACUCUCUCACCUCACAUAAGGAAGUCAUGAGGGGCAGUCUCAUCACACUAGAAUUUGAAGGCCAUAAAGGAGAAGGACCUAAGCAUCGAAUCGUCGCCAAUCCGCAUAAAUAACGAUGGAUUCCAAAUCAGGUACGCAAAUCUUCAUCUACUUCUCAACAUGUUCAAGUUUCUACGUACGUCGAUCCUAGGAUGCUGCUUCGACAGCCAACAACAUAUGUACUGCCCCUUGGCAUCGAGGUGCUCGAAGAGGAAGAUGUGUGCUCUCACCACAUCAUCCACAUGAACAGGAGAUAUUUUGAGGAGAAAAGGGUAGUCAUUCUCAUUCCCCGAUAAUUUCAAAUGGGAUUUAUUGCAGCCAAAUUAAGAUUUUAGAAAGGGUGCGUCAUCGAAAUGAACAUGAACAUAUGCAUCGAUGGAUAAUGAUAGUCUUGUCUUCCUUUGGCUUAUAUUUGAUAUUUAACAAAGAAACGUUGUUAAAUUAUGGAAUUUCCACAUCCAUUUGGUGACCAAAUCAACCAAACUAUAAAAUAUUAAUAUUCUAAGGAUAUUUGGUGUGGAAAUCGGUUGAUGCACCGAUAUUUGCAGCCUAUAAAUAGGGGCUAGUGCUCCAUGUGCGUGUGAGUUGAGUGGUAGAGUGUAGUAGAGUGAGAGGAAGAGGGUGACGUGAGAAUGUUCUGUGUGGGGUCCGUGUGUGGCGUGAGCAGAGAGACGAGAAGAAAGUAGAGAGGUCCAACAAGUCGAGUGAAGAAGAGAUUAGAGAGAAAAGAGAAUAGUCCGUCCGUGAGAGUGAGAAAAAAUUGUGGGUCUUUGUACUCGAGUAUUGUAGGAGCUAAUUUGCACUGAGUAUGGCACGUGAUGUGAAAAAAUAUUGUAAUAAUAAAACUCAUAUUUUGUGAGUUAUAUUUAUGACACGUUUCCGCAAAACUCAACGUGUACAUCAUGGGUCUUCCUUCUUUUAUUGAUUAAGCUUCUGGAGCAUUGCAUCCGUCACUCCUUGUCGGACUCAUUGACAAUGUGAUGGCGUGCACAUGCCGAAAAAUCGUACAUGGGCGGUGUUUUAAAACGUUGGGAAAAGGUUUCAUAAUCAAUUUGCAUCCUCUCUUUUCAACAAUGACUUCAAAUUGCAUCUGUCAUCCAGUGCUAUUUUUGUCCAAUCUGUCUACCAAAUUAUCAUUUCCUUUCCGGAAUAUAACAAAAGACGGGGAAGCUUGGACACAUGUGAAAAUCGAGCAGGAGACAAGCCCACAAAAUGAACCUGAUACAUAUGAUUAAUGUGAUUCGGCCGGGUAUGCCUACUCCACAAUGAAAGAUGGACAAGAUGUUCAACUAUGAUCAACAAUAGUAGAUCAAUUUCGUGGUCACGAUUACAUGAGUAUAAAAAACUGUGAGGCAGAUCAAUUUUCACGGGUCGUGCUAGAUACAUGGUACACGUUUCCUCAACGUGUUUCUCUGUUUUUGUCUGCAUCUUUCUUAGAGGAUUAUAUGAUACGAACCCAGGACAGAUCAGUAACAGAAAUAGGUCUCACUGGAUGGCAUGAUGCCAGUUUAUUACUUUGAACAUUACUAUGUUCGGCCUGAGGUACCGAAUUCUAUCAUAUGCAUGGAACAGAGAUUGAUCUAGAGAUAGCCCUUUUCCUUGCAGCACUGGAUCGCUCCAUCAAACAUGUCCUCGAUCCCGUACUUAUACUCAAAACCGGCAUUCAAAAGCUUCCUUGACGAAAGGCUGGCAAACCUAGGGCCUUUCACUUCCUUCAAGGCCCUGAAAGGAUUUGAAAAACUCUGCUCUCAGUUCAAGAACAGCAAUAGUAGAUCUGUUAACAUCAUGAAAUGGGAUACAACAGGACUUACUCCGGUGAGGGUAUCUGAAACUCCGGAUAUCUUUCCGACAGAAAUUUGGACAUCUCUUCGAUGGUCAUCGUGGCCGAGGAACAAAUGUACCGGCCCUUGGCGUCAGGGUGCUCAAAGAGGAAGAUGUGCGCUCUCACAACAUCGUCCACAUGCACGAGAGAGAUUCUGAGGAAAAUACUGUACUCGUUCUCGUUCCCUGAUAAUUUCAGAUGGGAUUUUCCGCAGUCAAACUAAGACUUAAAAGAAGUGUGUAUCAUUGAAAUAAACAUGAAGAUAUGGGUGGCACGGCUUAUAGUCUUGUCUUCCUUUGUCAUACAUUUGACGUUGAACAGAGAAACGUUGUCAAAAUUGUGGAAAUUAUGCAUCUCUUUGGCGACCAAAUCAAUCAAACUGGUCAUGAAUUUUACUAUAGUAUGUAAGGUGUAUACCGGCAAGUUAUUGCAAAAUCUAUCUAUCAUAUUGACCAAUAUUACUUAUACCCCCAAUUAUGUGAGUCUCACAUGAUCAACGGUCUAGAUAUAUUUCACAUACCUAAUACCAAAGCCAGCGAAUUCCGGACAGAUGAGGCAAACUUGGGACAAAUGAACGGUCCGUGGACGAAUGAGGGAACAACCGUCACCACUUCCAACCCGUGCCUCUCUCCAAACUCGAGAACUGCCUUCUCGGUCAAUGUCUUUGAGAUUGCAUACGAAGAUAGAAACGUCGUGAUUCCUCUUAUGGAGUCAACAUCGCUCCAAGAGUCCUCGUCCAUUAUAUCGGCGCCGGAGUUGUUAAGUUGAACAGCUGACGCACUCGAGGUGUACACAACACGCUUCACGGUCUUGGAGUUCAGGCAGGCCCUCAGGAUGCCUAACGCUCCGUCAAUGCAUCUUUUGGUGACGACUGGCUCUGGCUCUCUGUCCUCAAAAUCCACCGGGGUGGCGACGUGGAAGACUCCGACACAGCCAUCAAUGGCUGGGCCGAAACUCUCGGGGUCGCCCAGGUCGGCUGUGAGGAUUUGGAGCCUUUCCGAUGCUCCUGGCAGAUUUUUCAAGAAGCUGAUGUCUCUAGUGCCAUCUGAUCAGUACAAAUUCGUCAAUCGUGUCCCAAUUAAAAGCUCAAAUAUUUAAUAGGAUAUGGAUAUGUCCUGUUAAUAAGAGAAGCCGAUCUAGAGAAAAUCAGCUGAUACAACAUGGCUCAUUCAGGAAAUAAUCUGAAUACACCAUAAAACUUGUCAAUAUGGACUGCAAGGAAAGCUGAUUCAAGAGAGCGUGAGAGAGUUCAUACGUAGAACAAGAGCAAGCGAUUUUGUCUUAGCCACCUAGGCAUAUGGAACAUGUUCAUAUCUGAUCAUAUAAGAGAAAUCUAAUCAUUAUAAACCAAGUCUAUCGCCAUUAAUUUAACCAGUAUUUAGUCAAUCUUAUGCUUUCUCAUGCAUGAAAAUCGGCAUAUGAUCUAUGUCCGACUGUAAUUCCGAUCAAAAUUUUUCCUCGAUGCCCGAACCGGACAGAGUAUAAAAAAUUUCUGCAAUAACUAACGCCCAAACCCUUUCCUCCUUUAUUUCUCCACAAACACAGACCAUUUGAAACGCAUACGUAUUGUGCGUGCACAAACAGAUCAGAACAUGUAUGGACUGCACAGAACAUCGGUCAAAAGAACUUUACACUGGACCGGAACUCAUGCCAAUUUCCAUGUUCAGGCAGGAAAAAAGAAGAAAGACUUACCCGGGUCGGGUCUGACAGUGGUCCGGACCGAGUAACCAUGUUCGAGGAGCCUCAUGACGAGCCAUGAAGCUAUGAAGCCAGUACCGCCCGUCACGCACACCGUGCCUCUGUUCCCCUCCAUAGCUUGGAGAAGUGAAGAGCUUCAAGUUUCAGGAGGCACCAAACUUUUUCGAGUGACCUUGAUGUUUUGGCCAGUAGAGUCUGCUUGCGUCUUCCUUACAAAGGACGCCACGUUGAAAAGGAGGGUGUAACCAAUUCAUUAAGCUUUCCCUUGAAGAGUUAACAAAGAUGAUAAUGUCCGAUUUGAAUGAUAACUGCCCGGUUUACUUUUUUACGAUAUGUCGCCCCCGUAGCCUAACACCGAAGUGUCGGAUGAAAAGAAAUCAUUCUACAUGAGGUAAAAGAAUGCCUAAGACACUAGCUAUUCAGAUAUUCGCUCACGUAACUUGAACUUUUGACCAUGUUAAAGACAAGGCGGCUUCUCUACCACUAGGCUACCAGACCUGGUGGUACAACACCACGCCUUAUAUGCGAAUUUAUCUAUUCUACAUUUUUUGGGUGGUCAACCUAAUAUAAGCCGCAUUAUAUAUAUCAUUUAUAACCUAAAUUUUCAUUUAAAUCAAAUAAAUAACCAAGUCCAUCACUUUGAUUAUGAAUUUAUCUAAAUCUAUUGUAUAAUGUCAAUUCAAUCCUAAAUUUUUCAAUUUGGUCAAUUUAAUUCUAAAUCUUUUGACGAUUUACCGAUAUAAUUCUUUUAGCUAAAUUUGGUUGGAAAUAACUAAUGUGGAGGCCAAUUGUCCUACGUUGCACAGUUAGGAUUGUCUUAUAUUGCACAGCCGACACUAAAGUUGACGAUUUUUGCAAUCUUUAAAAAAUAUAUAUUUUAUUGCAUUCAUUUUAAUUCUAUUAGUACCUGGAAAUAUUUAUAACAUAAGUUGUAUGCCCUAGCUCAUCCUGAAGGAAGAACUUCUCAUUCAAAAAAACUUUUAGCUCCUUUUGGGUCAAAUGUUUGAUCUUGUUAUUUUUUUAACUUCCCGAUCAUCCUUUCCUUUUCUUUCUUUUCUUCUUUUUUCCUGUUUUUCUCCUACUGUUUAAGGCCUUUGCGAUGGCUACGAAGGUCACUGAGGGCUCGUGGGACCUUGCUGACCACAAUGAGGGUGUCACAGUCCUCGCCUAAGUCUAGAUGAGGUGAGGGCAGGUGUGCCAUACUAUAGUUCCUUGCGGUCAACCUUUCCCCCGCUUGGAUUGGCUUAAACCCUUACCCAACAACCUAUGCUGGUCAGUUGAGACCCUAGACCGACGAAGGAAAAUAGGAAAAAAAGAAUAAAUGGAAAAAAAAGACAAAAAUUCAGAAAAAAAAAUUACAAGAAAAAUUAUAAAAAUCAUCUACUCACAUAAAAUAUCUAAAAUCCAAGUCAGUGAUUUCAAGCUAAAAUUAAUCAGAAAAAAUAUAUUAAUAGAUUGUAAAAAUAUUUAGGAUAAAAUUAAUCAUAUUGAAAUAUUUAAAAUUGAAUUCAUCAUCGUAUAAUAAUUUUAAGAUAAUUUAGACAAUUUUUUUGAAAUCGAUAUACAUACUUGGCAUUCUAGAAAAGGACGACCAUCUUGCUUUUCAACGGGUAGGGAAGGAUGUCUUCCAUUGUCCUGCUCAAACUAUUGGUGGGGGUUGGCGCUCCGUGUCAAUCCAACACAAGAGGGGCCCCACAUACUGAAGACCCUAUUACGUGUCAACAUUCUAUCAAAUUUGGACUUUUUGUUAAAGAAGUUGCACUUACUAUUAUUGCCCGACAUGUGUCAGUCAUUCACACGGUCUUUUCCUCUUACGAUAAAACUUUUGAAAACUGUGUCGCCCUGACUGGCAGCCCCCAAUAAUUCACACGUAAAGAAAUGAUUACUGGCAAUCUUUUUUCACAAUAAGCUAUUAUUUUGAUAAUAAUCCAAAGAUUAUAAUCUCAGUAAAGUCCAUUUAUGCAUGCGAUCUUUGUCGACAUUCGCUGGUGGCGUAGCGUUCACGAAAACCCAUUGAAGCAUUGGGGUCGCUAUCCUCCGACCACCUACCCACGCACGAGGAUCAUGAUUAGCGGAUCCGACUCCAGCCACUAUCAAUAAAGCAGAGUGGCCAGGUCAAGAUCCGGAUCUAUCCUCGACGGGCUCAGUGCCGGGGCCUGGGUAGAGCCGUUUAGCACACGGUUCCGAGAGAGGAGGAACUCUGCGAAGUACAUAAUCGACUUCAUCGUGCUCGACUCAUGUAAGACAUCGAUGAUAGACCAUGCAAGUUCAUUAUACAACGUGCAUACCGUGCAUAAGUACAUACAUAAGUAUCCCUAGAUCAGAAAAAAGCCGAGAUCUGAACGAGUUGGGAGCACCUUCAAACGUAACCGUUUUCUCUGCAGCUCCGAAUAGCUCCAUCGAGCAUGUCCUCCGGGCGAUGCUUGAACUCGAAGCCAAUGUCCAAGAGCUUCCUCGACGAAAGGCGCGGCAUCGAAUAACCUCUUAUUUCCUUGAGAGCGCUGAAAAUUUAAAAUGCCCUCUUCGUUAGUGCCAAACCAAUGGUAUUGCACAACCUUUUUAAGUACUUAGAAUUUUCGAAAUAUACAAACAUUGGCAAUUCAUAGAUUUGCAUACAAUUUCGACUUCGAAAUAAAGAAAACGUAUAUUCGAGAAUUCUUGAAGAGGAACAUGAGAACUGAAAAACCUUACCUCGGCGAUGGCACCGGAAGUUCCGGGAACCUCUGGGAGAGAAGCUCGGCCGUCUCUUCGAGGGUGAUCACGUCGGAAGAGCAGAUGAACCUGCCUUUGGCCGGAAGGUGUUCGAAGAGGUAGAUAUGCGCCCUCGCCACAUCGUCUGGAUGUACCACCGAUGUCUUGGAUAAACACACAUUCUUAUAUGGGUUUGCGUCUCCUGCAAUAUAUUAAGGUGCAUUAAAACCCGAAUUUCGCAUUUUAACUCGAAUGAAUAAUCAAAAUUCGUGCUCGACACUAGGCCGAGGCUCUUUCACCAUCCGACUAAUUCCUAUCAACGCGACGAUUCCUCAUCACCCGCACCGAGAAAUGAUCUAGGAGUGGCCCGAAGAGAAUGCGCAAGUGUAAUGCAAUUCGAUUGUCAGGUCCAUACCCAAGACCAUGGCCAGCGCUAUGCCAAUUGAGGCCGGAAGCUUGGGGCAAAGGAAUGGGCCAAUCAUGAAGGAAGGAACCACCACCACCACAUCCAGCCCCAUCCUCGCCCCGGCAUCGAGAACCGCCUUCUCCGCCAGCGUCUUGGAGACCAUGUAUGGCCCCUCAGCCGUCUUCAGUCUCCUGACCAUUUCGACGUCAGUCCAGAAGCCCUCGUCCAUGGUCUCUGCGCUGGUAGCGUUCCCGUGCACGGCGGCGGAGCUCGACGUGUACACCACCCGCCUCACCGUUCCAGCGCUCGAGCAUGCCUUCAGGAUGCCGACCGCCCCGCGGACAGCUCUCUCCGUGAGGACGGCCUCUGGCUCCCGGCCGUGGAAGUCGAUGGUGGCGGCCAUGUGGAAGACGCCGACGCAGCCCUCGAUGGCCGGGGCGAAGCUCUCGGGGUCGCUGAGAUCGGCGUGGAAGAUCUGGAGGCUUUGCGGCCCUUUCGCGAGGUUUGUCAGGAAGCUGAUGUCCCUCUUGCGAUCUGCAUGCCAGGGAAACACAGAAUUCACUGAAAGAAGCAAGCAAACAAUCUCGAACACAUCCGUGUACCCAAGCCGGAUCGAGUCACGAUCCGCCGUGCUUACCCGGGUCAGGACGGACGGUGGCCCGGACCGAGUAACCCUUCUCGAGGAGCCUCAUGAUCGUCCAUGUAGCCAAGUAUCCAGUCCCGCCCGUUACACACACCAUGCCUUUAUCGCUCUCCAUGAACGACUCUCUCUCUCUCUCUCUCUCUCUCUCUCUCUUUCCCAAGCUAGCUUGUGAUGGAAAUGGUGCUUUUUGAUCUCUCUUUCCCAAGCUAGACUGUGAUGGAAAUGGUGCUUUUUGAUGCUACUGGAGAGAGGCGGCCGACAGUAGCCAGGAAAGAAUGUUAGAUAUUUCGUCGCAUAUGUAACAGGGUUUGUGGACAUUCAUUAUGAGAUCCUGAAGUAACUCGCUUAAGAGUGUUCGCUUUGGCCAAUUCCGUGUCGAGCUUCGUGGUUGUGUCCUUUAACAAACGGGGAAGCAAUUUCUCAGAGGAGGUUACCUAUCCUGGAAGUGCCUUAAUUUGGGCUGGCUUAACUUUGAAGUUUCAAAGCAAAUCUUAACAUUAUAUCAAAAAACGCCUCUGUAAGUUAGUUUUUACACGUCUCAAAAUAGCUUUCUCCUUCAUUCAAUACAUAAUUUGAUUCAUUCAUGCACCAUUCACUAUCCUAGAAGCCUAUCAUGAGCCAUUCAUUGUCUAGGCCUUCUAGCCCCAGCAACUACUCCCCACUCUUAUCGGACCGAGUUGUUAUGUUUAUAAUGUAGGAUCCAUUAUCAUUAUUAUUAGAAGAUUUAAAUUUACAUAUAGAGAAGAUUGGCAUUCGCUCUGACGGAUGAUGACCACUCCCGUUCCCCUUCCCCUUCCGCAUACGCAACCAUAUGGAAAGCAAAGGACCCCCUUGAAUAGUUUGCAAGCGAUAGAAUCGAAAAAUCGGAGCCUUUACUUAGUCUAGAAUCGCCGUGAAGACCGGAAAUUUGAAGACCGAGCACUAGUACACCAGUCAUUCCGGCACGGUCAAAAUACUAAUUCCUAGAUGAACGGAUUUCAACUUCAUGCACGGUCGGAUCAUAACAUAACAGUGUUGUGAAUAUGUUUCAAAUUUGAGUCCGUAAUGAAAUCGGACUAAUGAGCAUACGUGAACUUGACCACGUGCAAGUCAGAGUAGCGCAUGUGAANNNNNNNNNNNNNNNNNNNNNNNNNNNNNNNNNNNNNNNNNNNNNNNNNNNNNNNNNNNNNNNNNNNNNNNNNNNNNNNNNNNNNNNNNNNNNNNNNNNNNNNNNNNNNNNNNNNNNNNNNNNNNNNNNNNNNNNNNNNNNNNNNNNNNNNNNNNNNNNNNNNNNNNNNNNNNNNNNNNNNNNNNNNNNNNNNNNNNNNNNNNNNNNNNNNNNNNNNNNNNNNNNNNNNNNNNNNNNNNNNNNNNNNNNNNNNNNNNNNNNNNNNNNNNNNNNNNNNNNNNNNNNNNNNNNNNNNNNNNNNNNNNNNNNNNNNNNNNNNNNNNNNNNNNNNNNNNNNNNNNNNNNNNNNNNNNNNNNNNNNNNNNNNNNNNNNNNNNNNNNNNNNNNNNNNNNNNNNNNNNNNNNNNNNNNNNNNNNNNNNNNNNNNNNNNNNNNNNNNNNNNNNNNNNNNNNNNNNNNNNNNNNNNNNNNNNNNNNNNNNNNNNNNNNNNNNNNNNNNNNNNNNNNNNNNNNNNNNNNNNNNNNNNNNNNNNNNNNNNNNNNNNNNNNNNNNNNNNNNNNNNNNNNNNNNNNNNNNNNNNNNNNNNNNNNNNNNNNNNNNNNNNNNNNNNNNNNNNNNNNNNNNNNNNNNNNNNNNNNNNNNNNNNNNNNNNNNNNNNNNNNNNNNNNNNNNNNNNNNNNNNNNNNNNNNNNNNNNNNNNNNNNNNNNNNNNNNNNNNNNNNNNNNNNNNNNNNNNNNNNNNNNNNNNNNNNNNNNNNNNNNNNNNNNNNNNNNNNNNNNNNNNNNNNNNNNNNNNNNNNNNNNNNNNNNNNNNNNNNNNNNNNNNNNNNNNNNNNNNNNNNNNNNNNNNNNNNNNNNNNNNNNNNNNNNNNNNNNNNNNNNNNNNNNNNNNNNNNNNNNNNNNNNNNNNNNNNNNNNNNNNNNNNNNNNNNNNNNNNNNNNNNNNNNNNNNNNNNNNNNNNNNNNNNNNNNNNNNNNNNNNNNNNNNNNNNNNNNNNNNNNNNNNNNNNNNNNNNNNNNNNNNNNNNNNNNNNNNNNNNNNNNNNNNNNNNNNNNNNNNNNNNNNNNNNNNNNNNNNNNNNNNNNNNNNNNNNNNNNNNNNNNNNNNNNNNNNNNNNNNNNNNNNNNNNNNNNNNNNNNNNNNNNNNNNNNNNNNNNNNNNNNNNNNNNNNNNNNNNNNNNNNNNNNNNNNNNNNNNNNNNNNNNNNNNNNNNNNNNNNNNNNNNNNNNNNNNNNNNNNNNNNNNNNNNNNNNNNNNNNNNNNNNNNNNNNNNNNNNNNNNNNNNNNNNNNNNNNNNNNNNNNNNNNNNNNNNNNNNNNNNNNNNNNNNNNAUUUUAUAUUUUGGAUCCUCUUUUCUUUUUUCUUUUUUCUUUUUUCUGUGUAGCAUGGCCCAGGGUGGCAUGUAACAAAUGAAAUGAACUAAGUUUUCAUGGAUUGAAGUUCAGUGAGGUCAAACAAAAGAAUUUUUGGGAGUCAUAUUAGCUACUUAACUCUCUUUUAGCAUGACCUAAGAUUAUAAACAUCUCUAUUAAAUUUGCGCAAUUUGUGUAGUCUGAAAUAAACAAGGAGAAAAAUUCUUCUCGCCCCAUUUUUUUGUCUAUCCUCUAACCGAUUAUUGCAGCUUACCCAUUGCCCCAUGCUUCCUCCACGACCCCCCAAGACCAUCUCGACAGCUACCGUUUCCGAUAGCUUCCUCCGCCUCGAUAAAAUAUUCGAUGGUUCCAUAGCGUUUACAUCAACUGCUGGUCAUGUUGCGAGUAUUUUUUACUCACGUCCGCUUAUAAAUUGACUCGUGUUUGUUGAUGUGGAUGGGAAAAGACAAUUAAAAUAUGUUUCUACUUCCACCGACCAUGAAAGUCGGACGAGCCGCCUCGCGUUUGUUUUUUCUUUUCGCCUUUUGAGGUCAUGGAUGAGCAAGGCAUGUGGUCAUGAUUGGGAGCGUCACCGGCCAGCCAUGAUAGCAGCAACAUCAAUAUGGACGAGCAAGGCUAGAGAGUAAUGUCCAUGCUCGACCAUUUUGUUUGGCCAGAUCCGGUCAGCUCUGUCAUCCCGGACCUUGGACAAGUCGCCGUCGCCAAGGUCGCAGAUCCGGACCAUCAACAAGUUCCAUCCUUCUACCUUGGUUGGGAAGACGGAACCAAGGGGCGAGUUCCUCCUUCUCCAUGGCGAUGGAGCUCUUAAUGGGCCUUCGAGAUCACUAGCCCUUCGAGUUGGAUGGCACCAUCCCGUCGCACCAUCUGCGCCCCUUAGCGGGCGUCGCUCGUGAUCAGCCUAAGCCACUCGCCCCGCCGUGUUGCUUGUCCAGAUAUGGCUUCGCCCAUGGCCACAAACCUUGCUCAGCAUAGCUCACGAGGCGGCUCAUCCACAGACUGCAGCUCGUCCAUGGCUACGAACCCUUGAUGACGAACUCGGAAUUCCAGCGGCCGUGAUCAGUAAACAAGCGCAAGCCUGGAUGGCCGGACAGCGCUCUGUGGAUGGAGGAGGAAGAGAGGAGUCAACGUCCACAUGUCAACCUAAAAUCGGACCCGUCAGCAGCUAUUGUGGCGCUACGAAAUCACUUCUUAGUUUCUCCACCUUUGUCCAACAUGCGAUAGAUCUCUCUCUCUCUCUCUCUCUCUCUCUCUCUCUCUCUCUCUCUCUCUCUCUCUCUCUCUCUCUCNNNNNNNNNNNNNNNNNNNNNNNNNNNNNNNNNNNNNNNNNNNNNNNNNNNNNNNNNNNNNNNNNNNNNNNNNNNNNNNNNNNNNNNNNNNNNNNNNNNNNNNNNNNNNNNNNNNNNNNNNNNNNNNNNNNNNNNNNNNNNNNNNNNNNNNNNNNNNNNNNNNNNNNNNNNNNNNNNNNNNNNNNNNNNNNNNNNNNNNNNNNNNNNNNNNNNNNNNNNNNNNNNNNNNNNNNNNNNNNNNNNNNNNNNNNNNNCCGGACUGAGAAUCAAGAUAAUAUUUAGUUUACAUUUUAUUUAUUUUUUAAGAUAAUAUAAUAAAAAAGUAUAUUUAGUUAGUCAUGUUCGUUUGAUCCAGUUUUCCCUUGGAAUUAGAAACCAAACCGCCACUCCUAGAAAUUGAACCAAAUCAGUCAAUCUAGAUGAUUCCCAAUUAGGGCGGUCCAUUUUGCACACCUCUAUCUCACACCGUCGAGAUCUAGAUGAGAGCAAUGUCCAUUUGUCUUGUUGGCAAAAUCUAAUGCCUCCAUCCCUUGGACGAGUGACAAUGCGCACAGAGAGAGAGAGAGAGAGAGAGAGAGAGAGAGAGAGAGAGAGAGAGAGAGAGACUGUUGCGUGGAGAGGGAGAGAAGGGCAUCGACAGUUGCUCAAAGAAGAGGGGAGGGAGAAAGGCAAAGUCAGCUAAAGUUUGGCGAAACCAGCGGCGAAAUAAUACUGUUAAUCCAUCAAUUUUGACCAAGUUAUCGCUUUUAAUUUGUUUAUUAUGAUUCUUCAAUUACUUUUCAUGUUCAAUAUAAUUUCUUAAACUUUUGAAUUUUUAAUCUAAUUUCUCAACUUCCUUAUAAAGUCAAAUCAAUCAUUUAGUACGAUUCAGAAGUUUUUGUAAGCGAGUUUUUUUUAAUAUCUUUUCAUUUCAGUAGUUUUUCUCCAAAAAAAAUUAAUAAUAUUACAUUACUUUGUGCCUUUUUGGUUUUUAUGAAUAUCACGAUAACUCAAUCAAAAUCUUUAUAAUUGUGAAGUGUAGCUAAUAAUCUCUAAAAUAGUAAAAUUAGAAUCCCAUUUGAAGCUGUGUUACAUUGGUAUUCCUAUUAUGUUAUUUAUAUAUGCUUUCAUAUUGACAUCUAUAAAUGAAAUUGAUUUAUCUGUAGAUAUAUGUAUUUGUAUUAAUCUAAAUCGUGUUCUUUAAUAAACAAAUAAGGAACAAGAUAUAAGACACUGAAAAUUUUAUUAAUUUGAAAAAUGAGGAACCUUGUUCUUAAAAGUGAUUGACUACGAAGUAGCGAUACCAUCCGGGAACCUUUGUAUCAUGUGAACACUUUGACACAUGUCUAACAUUUAGUCAACAGGUAUCAAAAUCAAUUUUCCCGAUACCCUUUGACACGUGAGUGGAAUUCUAACAUCUGUGUUCCGAAUUAUAAUACGCAGUUCUAACAAGCAUGUGAUCAAUUUUUUAAAUUUUUAAUAAAUGAUGGGUCAAAAUAUAAAUAUGUAAAAAAAAAUUAAGAAAAACAUAAUCUUUGUUGUAAAAUAUUGCGUUGCGAAUAUAUAAUAGAGAAGAGAUUGAGAAUAGAAAGCAAGUGAACACUAGAGAUAAUAGAGAAAGCCAGAUAUUUCACUAUAUUGUAAUCGUUGUUCUAUUGUACAUCAAAACUAAACUCCUAUUUAUAAGAGAACAAGAAUGUACUUAUUAUUAAUAUCAAUGUAUCGAAUGAUACAUGUACUGGAUAAGGAAAAUGAACAUUCAUUGUAUAGGAAGAUGUACUUAGAAUAUAUGAUACAAAUGUAUCAUAAUAAGUACAUUAGAUAAGAUGAAUAUAAUGAAUAUUCAUUCAUGUAUUUUAUAACACUUUCCCUUGAAUAUUCAUUGUAUUUAUUAUGAAUGUGCGUCGAAUGAUACUGCCUCAUUAAAAACCUUAGGCCGGAAAAACCCAGUGAGACAAAAACUAGACAAAAGGGAAAAAGAGUGCAGAGCAUAAACUUUAUGAUCUCUCCCUUUUAUGGAUGCAUUAAUUGUCUUAUUAAAAACUUUAAGUCGGAAAAACCCUGUGGGAAAAAAUUGGACAAAAAGAAAAAAGAGUGUAAUGCAUAUAUAGCCACUGCAGCGGCUAAUCAAUCUUGCAUCUUGUGAACUUGCCGCAUAUCAAUGCUGCAAUGCAUAAUUCAUAAUAUCUCCCCCUCAAUUGAGCCAUGUAACCACUGCUGGGGCUAAUCAAUCUUGCAUCUUGUGAACUCGCCACAUACCAACGCCAUAUACUAAUUUCUCAAAACUUGAUGUUGGCAAUGAUUGGGUAAAAAGAUCUGCAAGAUUAUUUAUAGAUAGAAUCUUUUUAACAUCAAUUUGUCGACUUUCUUGAAGUUCAUGAGUAUAAAAAAAUUUCGGCAAGAUAUGCUUGGUCCUAUCACCUUUGAUAUAUCCUCCCCUGACUUGUGCAACACAAGCAGCAUUAUCUUCAUAAAUUAUAGUGGGAGAAUUUGUAACCGAUAUUAAGCAACAAGAAUUAUGAAUAUGUGUUAUAACGGAUCUUAACCAAACACACUCUCUUCCAGCUUCAUAUAAAGCAAUAAUCUCAGAGUGGUUAGAAGAUAUAGCUACUAGCGAUUACUUCGUAGAAUGCCAAGAAAUAGCAGUGUCGUUAUAACAAAAUAAAUACCCGGUUUGAGAGCGAGCCUUAUGUGAAUCAGAUUUAUACCCAGUAUCAACAUAUCCAACUAAACCAGAGUUAGUGGAAUCCUUGAAAUAAUAUAAUCCCAAAUCUAUGGUUCCUCGGAGAUGACGGAAAAUAUGUUUAACUCCAUUCCAAUGUCUCUGAGUUGGCUCGGAACUAAAAUGUCCCAAUAAAUUUACCGCAAAAGCAAAAUCCGGUCUUAUACAUUGUGCCAAGUACAUCAAAGCCCCAAUUGCAUUGAAAUAUGGUACUUCGGGACCAAGUAUCUCUUCAUCAAAUUCUCUAGGACGAAAUGGGUCCUUUUGGGGAUCUAGAGACCUGACAACCAUAGGGGUGCUCAAUGGGUGAGCUUUGUCCAUGUUGAAACGUUUAAGCAAUCUUUCAAUGUAUGCUGAUUGAUGGACAAUUAUUCCAUUUGCUUUAUGAUCAAGCUCUAGACCAAGACAAAGUUUGGUUUUACCCAAAUCUUUAACUUCAAACUCCAUUUUCAAAUAUUCAGCAGUUUCAGCUAACUCUUCUGGAGUUCCAAUUAAAUUUAUAUCGUCGACAUAAACUGCUAUAAUAGCAAAUCCAGUUUCUAAUUUCUUAAUGAACACGCAUGAGUAGAUAGGAUCAUUCUUGUACCUUUCCUUAAUUAGGUACUCACUUAGGCGUUGAUACCACAUGCGACCGGAUUGCUUUAACCUACAAAGGAUCUUUGCAAUUUUAUUGAGAAUAAAUUGCGGGGAGUGCAUGCUUCAGACAUUUUGAAUCCCUCGGGAAUUUUCAUAUAAAUAUCAUAGUCUAAUGAAUCAUAUAAAUAUGCCGUCACAACGUCCAUAAGACGCAUUUCCAAUCUUUCAAAGAUUGCUAGGCUAAUGAGAAAACGAAAUAUAAUCAUAUCCAUCACAGGUGAAUAUGUCUCAUUAUAAUUAAUCCUAGGUCUCUAGGAGAAUCCUUGGGCAACGAGUCGGGUUUUAUACCUGACAACCUCGUUUUUCUCAUUUCGUUUUCGGAUAAAUACUCAUUUAUAUCCAACGGGCUUUACAUUAUCAGGGAUACGAGUUAUAAGUCCAAAAACAUCUCGUUUAGUUAGGAAGCUAAUUCAGCUUUAAUUCAUUCCUCUCACUUAGGCCAAUCUUGCCUUUGACGACAUUCAAUAAUAGAUUGCGGCUCACAAUCAUCAUCCAUAAUUUUAUGAGCAACUGAGAAUGCAAAAGCAUCAUCAAUGAUGAUUUCAUUUCGAUCCCAAAUUUCAUUACAAUAUGUAAUGGAAUUCUCGGUAUUCCCAGAGCUAGUGUUCCUUUCAUGGGUUUGCGCCUCUUCAGGGGCAAUAAACUCUUUUGGAGUAAGCACAACGCCAGGCUCUUCUAAAGCGGAUUCCUAAUUCUUUCCCUUUCGUUUUCGAGAGAUAAUAUCUUUUGAUCCUAUCGUAUACCACACUUCAAGUGCGCAAGUAAACAUGCAAAGGUGACAUUGCACGUAGAUAAUAAGCAAAUAUGGGACCAUCUACAGGAUGCGUCCACUAGUACCAUAAAAUAUCGAAAUGGUCCAUUUUGUGGUUGUAUUAGUCCACAAAUAUCACCAUGAAUUCUUUGCAAGAAUAAAGGAGAUUCAAGAUUAACCUUUGUUAUAGAAGGUUUGAUAAUGAGAUUUCCUUGUGAGCAAGCCUCACAAUUAUAAUCUUUGGAUAGCAAUAUCUUUAUAUCCUUUAAAGGGUGCCAUUUUGUAUUUUGAAUUAUUAUACCCAUCAUUAAAGCGCCAGGAUGACCAAGGUGAUCAUGCCACAGUCCAAACUGAUCAAGACUUACCAAUCUCCAGGAUGUGGUGGCGUAAGUUUUAACAGCCUUAAUCAUGACACAAUACAAACCCAUAGAAGAAGCUUCUAACUUCUCAUUGAUGGUCUUCAGGCCCAUCUUAUAAGAGGAAAUGCCAAUAUAUUUCUUAUAUAUUUCAUAAACAGUCUCAAUACGGUACCCGUUACGGCGUACAUCUUUAAAACUGAGCAAAUUCCUUUUGGAUCUAAUGCUUAGAAAUGCAUUCUCAAUAUGCAGGAUGGUGCCAUUUGGCAAAAUAAUUAUGGCAUUCCCAAAACCAUCAAUAAUUGGAACAGAACCUGAUAUUGUAUGGAUUUGUUUCUUACGCAAUGUCAUACUCGAGAAAAAGUGUCUACUACAAAAUAUAGUAUGUGUUGUUGCAUUAUCAAACAAACAAACGUCUUUUUUUUUUCUCGGUAUUUUCCAUUUGCAUUUAUAUUGACAACUUCAGGUGUCAAGUAUCAUAAAAGUUGCAUAUUAAUUAUAUAGUCGAAUAAAAUUUCAAAAAUAAAUAUUAUAUAAAGUUCAUAAGCAUUUCAUAACCAUAUUAAAUAACAAUAAAAAGUAAUACAUUUAAAGCGAAACAACAUAAAAUUCGAAAUUCAAAUUAUCAUCCACCACUCUGAUGCCUCAUCAAAGUAAUCAGAGGUCCUCAAAGAAAUCAUAGACAUCCAAUGAUGCAUUUGUUACUUCAGGAGCAAAAGGAGUCCCACCAACGGAGAUAUUGUUGGCCUCAACAAUGGUUAUGGUUAGGAUUGAUUUCAAUGGCAUGAGAUUCACCACGCUUGCCCGUAUUCUUUAAAGAUGCCUGGUAUAGAUCAACAAAAUGUUUUGGCGUACAACAGUUACGUGACCAGUGCCCAGUCAUGCCACGGCGAUGAUAAAUACUUUCAUUAAUCAUAUUUUUUGGCUUCUUUUCUUUGCCAUGAUUCAGGUCAAAGUUUGAUUUCCUAGGGCGGUUAAAUUUCUUGCCAUCCCUUCUAGGAUUAUGUUCUUGCCUGCGCUUAUAGCCCUUCAAAUGGCCAGUAUUUUUCUCAAAGUUAGCAUGUGCUUCAGGCAAUGCUUUUGAGCUAGCAGGUCUAAGAUCAUGAUUUUUUAGCAGCAAUUCAUUAAUUUGCUCGGCAGUAAGAAACACAAAAAUUAAUUCAGAGUAUGUGGCAAACUGACGCUGCCGAUAUUGCUGUUGCAAUACAAUAUUUAAAGCAUGGAAGGUGGAGAAAGUUUUCUCUAACAAUUCCGCAUCAGCGAGUUUGAUACCGCAUAACUCAAGCUGAGAAACGAUAUCAAAUAAAGCAGAAUUAUAGUCAGACACUAAUUUAAAAUCUUACAGUCUAAGAUUUUGCAAUCAUAUUGUGCUCGAGGGAGGAUAACAGUUUUGAUAUGAUCAUACCUAUCCUUCAACCUCCUCCACAAGAUAUGAGGAUCUCGAAUAGAUAAAUAUUGAGUUUGCAGACUCUCAUGCAAAUGACGGCGAAUAAAAAUCCGCGCAUUUGCUUUAUCCUUUUCAUUUGAGGUUCCAUCCUCUGUAAUUGUAUUAGCGAGACCUUGCCAUUGGAGGUGCAUUUCCAUGUCAAGGCACCAUGAUAAAUAAUUCUUUCCACUCACUUCCAGGAUGUGGAAUUUGGGAUUUUCAAUAUUUGUCAUAAUCCUUGCAAAAAUAAAUCCUUAAAUUAAUUAAAAGAAUUUCCAAAUAUCCACCGCUAUUUCAGGAGCAGAAUAAUACUUUUAGAUUUGAAAUUUGGCUUUGGGCAAAUAAAAAUAAAGAAUUGAUAGAAGAAGAUGAAGUAUAAGUUGAUUAAUAAAAAUAACGUGUUGUAAAAUAUUGCGUUGCGAAUAUAUAAUAGAGAAGAUAUUGAAAAAAGAAAGCAAGUGAACACUAGAGAUAGUAGAGAAAGUCAGAUAUUUCACUGUAUUGUAAUCGUUGUUCUAUUGUACAUCAAAACUAAACUCCUAUUAUAAGAGAACAAGAAUGUACUUAUCAUUAAUAUCAAUGUAUCGAAUGAUAUAUGUACUGAAUAGGGGAGAUAAACAUUCAUUGUAUAGGGAGAUGUACUUAGAAUAUAUGAUAUAAAUGUAUCGUAAUAAGUAUAUUAGAUAAGAUGAAUAUAAUGUAUAUUCAUUCGUGUAUUUCAUUCAUUCAUGUAUUUUCUAACAAUCUUCUCUUUUUUUCUCUUUUCUUAUAAGUCUCACUUCCCGUGACACGCAAUUCAUCCUUAAUGUUUAUUUUUUCUUUUCUCUUCCGACACGCUCUGACACGUAAGUCUCGGACGUGAAUUGCUAUUUUUUUUCCCUCCAAAUUUUAUGCAUUAUUAGAAUAUAAUUGAAUUUGUCAAAUUGAAAUAAUGAAUAAUAUUAACAAAUUACGAAUUAACGUUAUUGGUGUAAAUUCAUUCUACACUCUUUUUUUAUUAUAUAUUUAGUUUUGAUUUUAAUUAAAAUAAUCAUAAAAAUAAUAACUUAUCAUGUAUAUAUAAACAUAUACAUUUAAUAUACACCGUGUUUCAAUGUGUCGAAAUUCUUUAUUUUUGGAGAAUCAAUGUGUCAACAUGUCAGGUCACACGUGUUGUGUUAGUAUCAAUACUUUCUUGAAGAAUGAAAGUGUGUUUUCAGUAGUACUCCCAAUAGGAAAGGGAGAGUUGCUUGAUAGAGCAUGCAUUAAAAAAGACAGUGGAGAUGUUAUCGAUUUCUUACAGUACAUGGCAACAUAGAUGGUGCAUUAAGCUUCGGAAACAGAAAUCCUCAACAAUAUUCACGAAGAACAAAACGCACAUAUAUCAUGAUCUAUGCUAUAAGUGCUUCUGUUCUCAGUACUGCAAUAUCAAAUGCACAAGAACAGAAACAUACAGUACCAAGAUUAUUUAUGCGGUUUGCUAUCUCCUAUAUGGCGCUCGGAUAAAUUAGUUUUCACAAGCUGUGCUAGAUACAUGGUAUGCAUUUUCUCAACAUGUUUCUCUAUUCUUUCUGCAUUUUGUUUAGAGGACUAUUUUCAGCCAAGGUCAGAAAAGAAAUAGGUCAUACCAUUAUACGGCAUCAUGUCCACUUUCUGCUACUCUGAACAUUCCGACGUUCGGCCUGACGUACUGAAUUCCGUAGGCUUCGGCUGAUCUAGAGAUACCCCUUUUCUUUGCAGCAUUGGAUGGCUCCGUCGAACAUGUCCUCGAUCCUGUACUUAUACUCAAAACCGGCGUCCAACAGUUUCCUUGACGAUAGGCGGGGGAACCUGGGGCCUUUCAAUUCCUUCAAGGACCUACAAAGAUUUGAAAAGCUUUGCUUUCAGUCCAAGAACAGCAAGAAUCCGUUACAUCAUGAAAUGGGAUAUAUCAGGACUUACUCUGGAGAGGGUAUCUGAAACUCCGGGUAUCUUUCCGAGAGAAACUCGGACAUCUCCUCGAUGGUCAUCGUGGCCGAGGUACAAAUGUACCGCCCCUUGGUGUCGGGGUGCUCCAAGAGGAAGAUGUGUGCUCUUGCCAAGUCGUCUACAUGCACGAAAGAUACUUUGAGAAGAAGAGAGUACUCAUUCUCGUUCCCUGUUAAUUUCGAACAAAGUCAAUCUAAGAUUUGAGAUUCUUUGUAUCAUCGAAAUGAAGAUAAACAUAUGGAUGGACAGAUUAUAGUCCUGUCUUCCUUUGUCAUAUACUUGACAUUGAGCAGAGAAACGUUGUCAAAUUAUGGAAUUCUGGUAUCGUUCUGGUGACCAAAACAAUCAAAUUGAUCAUGAAUUUGACUGCAGUACCAAAGGUGUAUCACGAAAAGUUAAUGUAAAAUCAAUAGAUCAUGGAGAUCAAUAUUAUAUGAACCAUAGUUUCUCUGUAAAUUUCACAUGAUCAACAGUUCAGAUAGACUUGACUGACCAUAUAUAUAUUGAUCGUAUGAUAUUUUCUCACGUAUCACAUUACCUAAUACCAAAGCCAGCGAAACUCGGACGGAUCCAGCGAACUUGGGGCAAAUGAAGGGCCCGUGGACAAACGUGGGAACCACCGUCACCACUUCCAGUCCGUGCUGCUCUCCGAACUCAAGAACCGCCUUCUCAGUCAAUGUCUUUGAGAUUGCGUAGGAAGAUCCAAACCUCCCCAUUUCUCGGAUGGACUCAACAUCGCUCCAGGAGUCCUCAUCCAAUAUAUAGGCCCCAGAGUUAUUAUAUUCAAUUGCAGCCGCACUCGAAGUGUACACGACCCGCUUCACUGUCUUGGAGUUCAGGCAGGCCCUCAGGAUGCCCAAUGCUCCAUCGAUGGAUCUUUUGGUGACGACUGGCUCUGGCUCUCUGUCCUCGAAGUCCACCGGGGUGGCAACGUGGAAGACUCCGACACAGCCCUUGAUGGCUGGGCUGAAACUCUCGGGGUCACUGAGUUCAGCGGUUAGGAUUUGGAGCCUUUCUGAUGCUCCUGGUAGAUUUUUCAAGAAGCUCGUGUCCCUUUUGCCAUCUGAGCGGAACAAAUUGGUCAAUCGCCUUGCGAAUAAAAGCUCAAACAUCUAAUGGGAAACUGAUGUGUGAGGUUGACUGGAGAUAACAGUCCAAAAUAUAUUAACCAACAUGACUCAUUCAGGAAACACUCCGAAUUACAGCAUUAAACUUAACAACGAGAACUGCAAGAAAAGCUGAUUCAAGAGAGAAGGAGUGAAUUCAUAUGUAGAACAAGAGCAAGAGAUCAUCAUUAACCGAUUCAGCUGCCCCUAAGUCAAGACAUCCUUUGUUCAUCUUAUGCCUUCUCAUGCUUGAAAGGGCGGCAAAAAAGGGUUGCUUUUCUUAUGGUUCCAUGCCCAAUGACAAUUCCGAUCAGAAUCGAACCUCAAACGCCACGAAUCAUACAAAAAACAUAGAAAUUUCUCCAUCUGUCGACACCCCAACUUUCUGCAUAAACAUUUCACAUGCACAGACCGUUCGAAACACAUGAGCAGUCCCAUACACUUAAUCUAUACGAUCAAACUUCGAUCAAGAGCGCUAACCAUAGUAUUGCCAAUAAAUUUGCAGGCACAGACAGAUCAGAUCAUGUUGGACCGUCGUGUUGACAUAUACAGUACAAAACAUCAAUCUCAGACCAUACACUUGAUCAGAACUCAUGGCAAGAACGAAUCUCCAUGUUCAAGCAGGAAGAAAGAAGAAGGGAGACUUACCCGGGUCGGGUCUGACGGUGGUCCGGACGGAGUAACCAUGUUCAAGGAGCCUCAUGAUGAGCCAUGAAGCUAUGAAGCCAGUACCGCCUGUCACGCACACCGUGCCUCUGUUGCCCUCCAUGGCUUGGAGAAGUAAGACGCUUCAAUUUUCAGGAAGCAUCCAACUUUUUUGAGUGACCUCGAUGAUUUGGCCAGCAGGGCGGGGGCGCCUCUCCACUUAAAAGCGGAUGCAACGCCGCUUACGUCACUUUGAUUUUCGUUUUCAAAAGGGGCCAAAAAAAAAAAAAUGAGUGGUAAGGGAUGCAUCUUCCCCGCUGAAAGUCAUCUUUCAAUUUGAGUAAUAAUCACUAAAUGUACUUUUCAAUCAUCCAUCGUGGACACAGUCCUAGACAAAUGAGUCGAUAGACAAGUGUCUCUCAACAUAAGGUUAUAUCCUAGACCAAUGAGUUUCUUCUGCUUGUCCGAUCCCCCCGGAUUCUUAAUUCAAUUUCGAGCCUUCCUCCUUCGAUCCCUCGGCUCCUUCUGUCGCUCGCCGAAUCCGCACGCUGACGUCGAUGGUUCCCUCCACGUCGUCGCGUAGCUCAUCAUGAUCCUCGCCGGCACGCUUCGUGCCGUUUCGACCCCACCCGCGACGCGGACGCUACCGGGCGCCUGCUCUGCUAUAUAGCGGGUCGCCCCGCCACUGUGAAAGCUGGAGGCCCCAGGGGAAGUGAUGGAUUCCGCAGAUUCUCGCCCCGAUGAGGAAGCUCCGUUGGUCGUCGCCGCCUCCGCCGAGGCCUCGCCGGCGGCGGCGGCGGCUCCGUCGCCUCGGGGGAGCCAUGUCCGGGACGUCCAUAUACUGAGCUGCGGGUUUCUGCUCAUCUUCUCGGCCUACGGGGCUGCUCAGAAUCUCGAGAGCACCGUGAACACUGUGAGUUCCGGUUUCGGCGACGUUUCCGUUGAAUCGCGGGCUCCAAGUUCGCAUUUUUUACUUCCCCGGGAAAGAAUUGAGAGAAAUCGACGAUCGACAAGUGAAAACCUAGUAGCAGAAUCUGGACUUCUGCGUCUGAGCUUGCUUUUAGGAAUUGUUCCUUUUUUUUUUUUUUCUCGUUUCUUACUUCGUUUGACGUUGCGUUUUGGUUUGAUGAGUUUCUUGAUUUUGUUGCAGACGGAUAAUAUGGGCGUGGGAGUCGAAACCCACUCUUGAAACUUACUCGUCCCCACCCCAUCCCCUGAGAAUGUGAGGAUUUGAACCCAUCACCUCUCCCUUCCAUGUUAGAAGGAUGGCUACUGGGCAAAUCCCAGUGAUUUACGAUAAAACUCUAAUUUAUGACUUUGUUAAAGACAAGGUACCCAAUUGCUACUAGACUACCACAUUUGAUGGUGCAACGACUUGACAUAUGUUGGAUUAUAUAUAUAUAUAUAUUUCUUAUUUUAACAUCUUAAAUUCUUCGAGAAAAAAAUAUUUGUUUAACAUGGUAUUAGAGCACAAGUGAUGAGGUCAAAUGCCUAGACUCCCUCCCACAUUUUGUAUGUUUAUCUGCCGUUGAUUAUUCGUAUAAUGUGAUUAUGCACCUAUCUCGUUAUUUUAAAUGUAAGUCAUGAUUCACACACAAUAAAGUGUGUUAAAUAAUAUAGUGUAUCAAUAUAGUUGGCAACCGUUUAAACAACUUAAAAAAAUUUCAAAAGAAAAAAUGAUUUGUGUCACUAUCUAUAGAUUUUUUUUUUAUUUCAUAAAAUUGAAUGAAUUGGUCAUUUCACUCUAGUUUUUCAUUCUAUCACCAAUCAACAGUUGGAAGGCAGUCUUACGACAUGGCUAGUGAUUAUUUCUUUUUUCUAUAGAGUGUCGGGAUCAUAACAAAUACACAAAAAGAUCUUAAUAAUUGUUUGUGAAAAUCAAUUUGCUGAUCGACGAUAGACAAAACAAUUAUCCGACACAUUAAAAUGCUUUAAUGAUAUAGAGUUGUGGGAAUCAAGAUGUCGUGGCACUAUACUAUACCAGUAAUGCCAUUCAUUUUGUGGAAUAUGUUCACCCAAUUAAGCGAUAUAAUUGUUUGCCUCGAAUAAUGAACUUGUUACCAAGACAAUUUGAACUUCUCUCUAUACAUAAAUUUAUAACCCUCAGAAAUUCUCAUUUGAAUCAAAGAAACCAUGAACACACGCUAGCAAAAUCAUUCAUGGUUCGACGAAGAGAUUUGUACGAUUCCAUCAUUACCGCGUCCCGAAAGAGGACGACCCUCGUCGUGCCUUUCGAUGUUAGCGGAGGUUUCCACAAUUCCCUGUCAUGAUCCUGCUCGAAUGCUAGCGGUGGGGUUGGCGCUCGGUCUCAAUCCAACGAAGGGGACCUUCCACGGCGAGAAACCCUACUUUUCAGCUCCGUUGAACUUGCUAUCCGGACCAGUGCCUAACCGGUGUCGAUCGUUUACACGAUCUUUAUCCUCACCCAGCUGUGCUUGGAGGGGGCACGCCUAGUUAGGUUAAUCAGUUCAUGUUGACUCUCUUUCCUGUGAUGAGACAAAGUUACUUUUCCUUUUGUCUUUCUCGUGCUCUCGUCCUUUCCUUUCCCCACUAUGGCCGUUCGAUCUGCACGCUGGUUCGCUUUCUCUGAAGAUGUGGGUGAUUCUACACUGACCCAGCAGCUGCAUUAGGCCCCUGCGGUAGCGCCAUUAGCAGUUGGACGUCCCUAUUAGAAAAAGACUCGCAUAGCAUCCGUUUCCACUUCCAGUAAUUGCACUCCCUUAUCUGCACUAUGUUCCUUGAUCAUCACGCAAUACACUUCCAGCUCCCAGGUGCACCUAUCGCUCCUACGACUGCACCAUCAGUAUUGAGCUUGUGCCAGCCUCCCCCCCGUCUUCCCAACCCAAUUCUUAUGUGCAGACGCAUCACCAAUGUGUGUCCGACAUUAGCACAUUAGCACCGAUCCAGUCCCUCAGGCUAAGAUCAUAACUAUGGUGAAGGGGAGAAGGAGCAUCAAUGUGAGCCCAACAUUCAUUGAGGACAUAGUGCUAACAUUCAAAUCUCUUCUCGCCAGAGUGGAUCUCGUGGCAAUGCUGUACGUGGCAUUAACGAAAUGAAAAAUCGAAUGCGAGGAACAGCAUCCACUUUCCACGCACAUCUCCAGUCUUCUUCCGGCUUUCUCCAAGCAUCCAAACCUUCAGCCAAAUGAUAAACAGCGUUCAAAGUAAAGCGCCAGUCCCUAGAGAAACUCCAACCGAAUUCAGAGUGCCCCUUGCCCCUCUUCCGAUCUGGACUGCCUUAUCAUAUUCGGAAUCUCGUUAGGAAGGGAUAAGAGAGUCUAGAAAAGUCCCAAACUCCCGUAGAAAUCAAACAAGUCCUUCACUUUCAACUCCAAAUCACUGACACGUCGAGGCUCAAUUACUAGAUCCCCUAAUGGACCAGACCCUGGUCAGAUGUCAAGUAGGCUUUCCAACUAGUGAGCCUAGUCCGAGCCUUCUCAAUGAUGAACCCGAAACGACAAGAACUAACACGAUCUGUAUGCAAAGUAAAUCCCGACUAGCAACACCAAGACAACCCAAGCCAUCUGUGGAGAUCGUCAUAAGCAGCAAUAGCAAUAAUACCAGAGAGUUAAAUCACGAUCAUCAUAUCAUAUCUCCAGAAAAGAAGACCUCGGAUUUACUGAAAAUUUAACCUUUUUCCCAGAAUCCUCACAGAAAGACUUGACAGUGUCUACGACCAAUUGACAACCAACCUCAGUAGCCUCUCCAAACGGAAAACAUUCCGCCAGUAAAGAAAAAUUGCGAGAAAGCCAAGGCCCCUCUCAAGGCCUUCAUCGGCUUCCAAUUGCCAUUGCGACAUUCCUCUGCAAAUAAAUAGCCUAGUAUUUCCAUAUAACGGAUAAACAGGUAAAGGGUAAAUAAGAUCACCUUGCUUUAAUCCCUACACGGCGAGAAAGGACAUAGCAUACCACCGUUCAUAAAUGAUAGUGGUAGAAGCAGUAGUGAUGCAAAUCGCACCUGUAUUCGAGAUCGAUUUUGACAGCAAAGGAACCGGUCCUUCGCUUCCGUAUGUUGCAUCAUAGAACAUCAUCAUGCGUUCACCUCCCUCGGGGAUGAAGCUAGCCCAGCAAGGACUAAUGAUAUCAUCAAGAAAAAGGCCUUAAGCGCCCGAUAAAUGAGCAAAGCGUUCCUAAUUUUUCCAGUUCAUCCCUUUUAUGAAGGCAAAACAUAAAUUUUAUAUUUUGGAUCCUCUUUUCUUUUCUUUUUUUCUGUGUAGCAUGGCCCAAAGGUAGCAUGUAACAAAUAAAAUGAACGAAGUUUUCAUGGAUUAAAGUUCAGUGAGAUCAAACAAAAUAAUUUUGCGAGUCAUAUUAGCUACUUAACUCUCUUUUAGCAUGACCUAAGAUUAUAAACAUCUCUAUUAAAUUUGUGCAAUUUGUGUAGUCUGAAAUAAACAAGGAGAAAAAUUCUUCUCGCCCCAUUUUUGUCUAUCCUCUACCCGAUUAUUGCAGCUUACCCAUUGCCCCAUGCUUCCUCCACGACCCCCCGAGACCAUCUCGACAGCCACCGUUUCUGAUAGCUACCUUCGCCUCGAUAAAAUAUUCGAUGGGUCCAUAGCGUUUACAUCAACUGCUGGUCAUGUUGCGAGUAUUUUUUACUCACGUCCGCUUAUAAAUUGACACGUGUUUGUUGAUGUGGAUGGGAAAAGACAAUUAAAAUAUGUUUCUACUUCCACCGACCUGUAACUCGAACGAGCCACCUCGCAUUUGUUUUUUCUUUUUGCCUUUUGAGGUCAUGGAUGAGCAAGGCAUGUGGUCAUGAUUGGCAGCGUCACCGGCCGGCCAUGAUAGCAGCAACAUCAAUAUGGACGAGCAAGGCUAGAGAGAAAUGUAAUGGGAGAAUGGUAAUAGUUCGAACAAUAUCGAAUCAACGCAGUGUAAUAAAAUAAUCUCACAUCUUAUGUAAACCUAAUAGGAAUCGAUAUGGUAGAGUAAAAUAAAUACCAAGCACGCGAACACAGGACGAUUUUUUUACGUGGAAAACCUCCUUGAUGUGAGGAGAUAAAAAACCACGGGAUUGGAGUCCACCUGAAAAUCUUCACUAUCAAUAAAAUUGUUCUUCUCUAGCAAAUACUAGAGGUACAUAGCAGCAAACACCUCAAGAACAUAAUUCUUGGCAAUACACAUGAACUUCACAAGAGAUCAAGGAUAAAUCUGACCAAAAACGUAGGUUUUGAUCAAUCCACAAAAAACCUGAUGUAUGGAGCUUCAAAUGAAAAUCAAACCGUUCAGAUUCAAUUAAAUUGCGCCACAAACAUGCUGACAAAAUUUCAGCUCAAUCGAACCACGAAUCGACCUCCAACGCCAGCUUGAUGUAAAUCAGAUAUUGCCCAAAACCCCAGAUUUUCUGCUUUCUCUUACUCUUUCCUUUUCUGCUACUACCUCUUUAUAUAAAUAGUGAGAAACCCUAUUUCUUCAUAUAACUUAUUAUAUGGACUCAAGUCCUUUUUGGGCUUGCAACUCAUUGGGCUUCCUCCACAUAGGAGUGAACCCAGCUAACAAAUCUCCCCAUCACGACAAUGUGGAGGGAUUCACUAUCCCUACUAUCAAACGGCAAUGUUCAAGCUUCUUUCUUGGUACAGUCUUCGUCAUCAUAUCAAAGCCAUUAUGAUCUGUAUGAAUUUUCUCAAGUUCCAACAACUUUUCAUCUAGAACAUCCCUUAUCCAAUGAUAUCUAACAUCAAUAUAUUUUGAUCUAGAAUGAAAAGAUGAAUUCUUACCAAGAUGAAUUGCGCUUUGAUUAUCACAAAAUAGCACAUACCUCUUUUGCUUGAACCCAAGUUCUUCUAAGAACUUCUUCAUCCAUAACAUCUCUUUACUAGCUUCAGUCGCUGCAAUAAAUUCAGCUUUGGUUGUAGAAAGUGCAACACACUUAUGCAAUCUUAACUUUCAUGACACAGCUCCACCCGCAAAAGAAAUCAAAUAACCAGAAGUAGAUUUACGAGUAUCAAUAUCUCCUACCAAGUCGGAAUCUGUGUAUCCAACUAACUCAAGUUUCCCGGUCCCGAAACUGAGUUUCAAAUUUGAAGUUCCCCGAAGAUACCUCAUAAUCCACUUCAAUGCAUUCCAGUGCUCUCUGCCUGGAUUUGAUAAAUAACGACUAACAACGCCAACUGUGUGCGCCAAGUCUGGGCGUGUACAUACCAUCGCAUACAUUAAGCUUCCUAAAGCAUAUGGAAUACUUUCCAUAUCUUUCUUUUCUUUAUCAGUCGUAGGACUUUGCAUCAUAUUUAACUUAAAGUGGGUAGCAAGAGGAGUACUAACCACUUUAACCUUGUCCAUGUAAAAUUUCUGAAGGAUCUUCUCGAUAUAUUUCUCUUGCGACAAAAAUAACUUCUUAGCAUCUCUGUCUCGGGUAAUUCUAAUGCCAAGAAUCUGCUUCGCCGAGCUCAAGUCUUUCAUGGCAAAAGACUUGCUCAACUGUUUCUUCAAUAACUCAAUUCUUGAAGCAUUAUUGCCAACAAUCAGUAUAUCAUCAACAUAAAGCAAGAGAAUAAUAAAGUCAUCAUCAGAAAUUUUUUUGACAAACACACAGUUAUCCGAGGAAGUCUUCUUAUAGCCUUGUUCUGUCAUAACUGACGCAAAUUUCUUAUACCACUGCCUCGAUGCUUGUUUUAGGCCAUAGAGACUUUUCUUCAAUUUGCACACAUAAUCCUCUUUCCCUUUCACUUUGAAACUCUUAGGUUGUUUCAUGUAUAUCUCUUCCUCCAAGUCACCAUGUAGGAAGGCCGUUUUAACAUCCAUUUGCUCAAUUUCUAAAUCUAGGCUAGCUGCCAAGCCUAGUACCACACGAAUAGAAAAUAUUUUCAAUACCGGAGAAAAUAUAUCAUCAAAAUCAAUACCCUUUCUCUAACCGAAUCCCUUAACAACCAAUCUAGCUUUGAACCGUGGUUGUAAGGUAUGUUCAUCUUGCUUCAACCUAUAUACCCACUUGUUCUUCAAAGCUCUUUUACCUUUAGGUAACUUCACCAAUUCAAAAGUAUGAUUAUCAUAAAGUGACUGCAUCUCAUCUCGCAUAGCAUCGAACCAAUUACUUCUGUACUCAUCUUCUAUUGCUUCCGCAUAGCACUCUAGUUCACCUGCAUCAGUCAAUAAUACAUACUUAUCUUUAGAAUACCUGAUGGAAGGUCGUCGGUCUCUAACAAAUAUCUGGACUAGAACAUCCAGUGGAAUAUCUAAUUGAGUCUCUGGUUCAGGAAUAGUAUUAUCUACUUCAACAUGUUCAGAAACAUGUGCGUUAUUUGGAACAUUGACUUCCUGCUGCUCUUCAUCAACUUGUGUAGGAAUAUUUGUAAGAGGAACUGGAUCUAAAUCAACCAGAUUAUUACUAACCUGUGAUGCUGAAAUCAUCUUUGAUUUCUCAAUAUUUUCUAUUGUUUGAUCUUCUAUAAACACAAUGUCUCUGCUUCUUACAAUUUUCUUUUCAAGUGGAUCAUAAAAUUUGUAGCCAAGCAUAUCCUGUCCAUAACCAAUAAAUAUGCACUGUCGUGUUUUCACAUCAAGUUUAGACCUCUCAUCUUUGCAAAUAUGCACAAAUGCUUUGCACCCAAAUACACGCAAAUAAUCAUAAGAAACUUCUUUGCUUGUCCAAACUCUAUUAGGAACAUCAAACUCUAAAGGAACGCAUGGAGUAAGAUUUAACACAUACACGACGGUCCUUAAAGCCUCACCCCAAAAGGAUCCAGGUAGUUUUGAUUGUGAAAGUAAGCAUCUUACCCUUUCAACCAGUGUUCUGUUCAUUCUCUCAGCUAAGCCAUUUAACUGAGGUGUCUUAGGAGGUAUCGUUUGAUGUUGAAUACCUUGUUGUCCGCAGUAUUCAUCAAAAGGUCCAAUAUACUCUCCCCUGUUAUCAGUUCUGAUGCAUUUCAAUUUCUUUCUAGUCUAUUUUUCAACUGAAGCCUGAAAUUGCUUAAAAGCAUCUAACAUUUGAUUUUUAGUUUUCAAGGUAUAAAUCCAAAUUUUCCUUGAAAAAUCAUCUAUAAAAGUAACAAAAUAAAGAGAGCCACCAAGUGAUUUUGUUUUCAUUGGACCGCAAACAUCAGAAUGCACUAAAUCCAAUAUACCUGACUUUCUUGAAUGAGGGGAGCUUUUAAAUGCAACUCUAUUCUAUUUUCCUGCUAAACAAUGAGCACACUUCUUUAGCGCUGAACUUUUCAAUCCUGAAAGAAGCUUCUUCUUGGCCAAUAUUGAUAAACCAUUCUCACUUAUGUGACUGAGCCUCUUAUGCCAUAACUCAGCUGCAUCUUCGCUAUCUACUGCAUUAAUUUUGUCUGUAGACAACUUUGCUUGCAUAAUGUAUAAUGAAGAAUUCACCUCUAGCCACAACAAGAGAACCUUUGGUAAGUUUCCAUUGACCAUUACUAAAGGUGCUGCAAUACCCCUCAUCAUCCAACUUGCCUGUAGAAAUUAAAUUCAAGCGGAUAUCAGGUAUAUGUUUAACAUUAUUCAAUACUAACCUUGUGUCAUUGUUGGUUUCUAGGCACACAUCACCGAUGCCUACAGCUUGAGCUAGUCCAUUGUUUCCCAUCUUCACAGAUCUGAAGUCACCUGACUUGUAUGAUGUAAAGAAAUCCCUACGAGAUGUAGCAUGAACAGAUGCAUCACUAUCAAUUACCCAAUUGGUCUCAUGAGAAACAAAAUUCACCACAUCACCAUCAAAAAUAGUGAGAAAGUCUUCUUUAAGUGCAACGACACGAUUGUCAUCACUGUCAUCAUCACUUUUCUUCUCUUUACCUUUCUCCUUUUAAUUCUCCCUUUUUAACUGGCGACAAAACCUCUGAAUAUGUCCCUUCUGAUGACAAUAAUGGCACUCAAUAUUAGCAAAUUUAUUAUACUUACCUCUGCUCUUGUCUCGACUUUUAUCUCUAUUUCUCGGACCUCGAGACUCACUUCUCCCCAUUUUCUCAACAACGAAGGCAUCAAAAUGUGAAGACGACGAUCCCUGUGUCUUCCUUCUCAUUUCUUCAUUCAAAAUACUUCUCUUGGCUAAAUCCAUGGUAAUUGUACCAUCUGGGGCAGAAUUAGACAAAGAUGUUCGGAACGUCUCCCAUGAGUCCGACAAAGUACCAAGCAACCAUAGUGCUUGUAUCUCAUCAUCAAACUUGAUUCCCAUCCAACUGAUUUAUAAUUCCUUGAAAAGAAUUUAAAUGAUCAGUCAAACAAGUACCAUCAUGAUAUCUCAAAGCCAUAAUCUGUUUUAUAAAAAAUAACUUAUUAUUCCCAGUCUUUCGAGCAUAUAACUGUUCGAGCUUAUCCCAUAAACUGCGUGCAUGUGUUUCAUCAAUAAUAUGGUUCAAAACAUUAUCAUCUACCCACUGCCUGAUAUAACCACACACUUGACGAUGAAAUAUAGACCAUUCAACAUCAGUUUUAUUCUCUGGUUUCUCCUCAGCAAAUACAGGCAAAUAAAAAUCUUUCACAUAUAAAAGAUCUUCCAUCUUCCCUUUCCAGAUAUGAUAAUUUGAACCAUUCAGUGUAACCAUUCUACUAGUAUUCAUUUCCAUUGUUUAACACAAGGCAGAAAAAUCAAGUAAUAACCUAUUGCUCUAAUACCACUCUGAUGGGAGAACGGUAAUAAUUCGAACAAUAUCGAAUCAACGCAACGGAAUAAAAUAAUCUCCCCUCUUGUGUAAACCUAAUAGGAAUCGAUAUAGUAGAGUAAAAUAAAUACCAAGUACGCGAACACAAGACGAUUUUUUUACGUGGAAAAUCUCCUCGAUAUGAGGAGAUAAAAAAACCACGAGACCGAAGUCCACCUAAAAAUAUUCACUAUCAAUAAAAUUGUUCUUCUCUAGCAAAUACUAGAGGUACAUAGCAGCAAAUACCUCAAGAACAUAAUUCUUGGCAAUACACAUGAAUUUCACAAUAGAUCAAGGAUAAAUCUGACCAAAAACACAGGUUUUGAUCAAUCCACGAAAAACCUGAUGUAUGGAGCUUCAAACAAAAAUCAAACCGUUCAGAUUCGAUUAAAUUGCGCCACGAACAUGCUGACAAAAUUUCAGCUCAAUCAGACCAUGAAUCGACCUCCAACGCUAGCUUGAUGUAAAUCAGAUAUUGCUCAAAACCCCAGAUUUUCUGCUUUCUCUUACUCUUUCCUUUUCUGCUGCUACCUCUUUAUAUAGAUAGUGAAAAACCCUAUUUCCUCAUAUAACUUAUUAUAUGGGCUCAAGUCCUUUUUGGGCUUGCAACUCAUUGGGCUUCCUCCACAUAGGAGUGAACUUAGCUAACAAAAUGUCCAUGCCCGACCAUUUUGUUUGGCCAGAUCCGGUCGGCUCUGUCUCCCGUCGCCAAGGUCGCAGAUCCGAACCACCAACGAGUUCCACCUUCUACCUUAGACGGGAAGACGGAACCAAGGGGCGAGUUCCUCCUUCUCCAUGGCAAUAGAGCUCUUAAUGGGCCUUUGAGAUCACUAGCCCUUCGAGUUGGAUGGCACCAUCCCGUCACACCAUCUCCGCCCCUUAAUGGGCAUCGCUCGUGAUCAGCCUAAGCAACUCGCCCCGCCGUGUUGCUUGUCCAGAUAUGGUUUCGCCCAUGGCCACAAACCUUGCUCAGCAUAGCUCGUGAGGCGGCUCAUCCACAGACUGCAACUCGUCCAUGGCUACGAACCCUUGAUGAUGAACUCGGAAUUCCGACAGCCGUGAUCAGUAAACAAGCGCAAGCCUGGAUGGCCGGAUAGCGCUCUAUGGAUGGAGGAAGAGACAAGUCAACGUCCACAUGUCAACUUAAAAUCAGACCCGUCAGCAGCUAAUGUGGCGCUACGAAAUCACUUCAUAGUUUCUCCACCUUUGUCCAACAUCCGAUAACGAAAUCACUUCAUAGUUUCUCCACUCUCUCUCUCUCUCUCUAUGCAUGCGCAGGCCAGAGUGCACAGAGGCUUGAUUACCAUUGACGGGACUCCUUCAAAUCUUUGCAUCAGGCAAGCUUGGAGGGCGACCCAAAAUUUACAUAGACGCCUCCACGGCAAGAGGGUUCUCAUAGGGUAAUCAGUUUCCUGUAUGUUCCAAUUUCCUAAAAGAAAACCGAACCAGGACCGGACUGAGAAUCGGACCACACCUUCCAAUCCGGUAAAAUCAGUUACUUAAUUUUUCCUAUUACUUAGAACUGGAUCAAGAUAAUAUUUAGUUUACAUUUUAUUAAUUUUUUAAGAAAUAAUAUAAUAAAAAAGUAUAUUUAGUUAGUCAUGUUUGGUUUGAUCCAGUUUCCCCUUGGAACUAGGAACCCAAUUAGGGUAUUUUGCACACCUCUAUCUCACACUAUCGAGAUCUAGAUGAGAGCAAUGUCCACAUGUCUUGUUGGCAAAAUCUAAUGCCUCCAUCCCUUGGAUGAGUGACAAUGCGCAGAGAGAGAGAGAGAGAGAGAGAGAGAGAGUUGCGUGGAGAGGGAGAGAAGGGCAUCGACAGUUGCUCAAAGAAGAGGAGAGGGAGAAAGGCAAAGUCAGCUAAAGUUUGGCGAAACCAGCGGCAAAAUAAUACUGUUAAUCCGUCAAUUUUGACCAAGUUAUUGCUUUUGAUUUGUUUAUUAUGAUUCUUCAAUUAUUUUUCAUGUUCGAUAUAAUUUCUUAAACUUUUGAAUUUUUAAUCUAAUUUCUCAAUUUCCUUAUAAAGUCAAAUCAAUCAUUUAGUGCGAUUAAUAGGUUUUCGUAAGCGGGUUUUUUUUAAUAUCUUUUCAUUUCAAUAGUUUUUCUCCAAAAAAAAUUAAUAAUUUUAUAUUACUUUGUGCCUUUUUGGUUUUUAUGAAUAUCACGAUAACUCAAUCAAAAUCUUGAUAAUUGUAAAGUGUAGCUAAUAAUCUCUAAAAUAGUAAAAUUAGAAUCCCAUUUGAAGCUGUGUUACAUUGGUAUUCCUAUUCUGUUAUUUAUAUAUGCUUUCAUAUUGACAUCUAUAAAUGAUAUUGAUUUAUCUGUAGAUAUAUGUAUUUGUAUUAAUCUAAAUCGUGUUAUUUAUUAAACAAAUAUGGAACAAGAUAUAAGACACUGAAAUUUUUAUUAAUUUGAAAAAUGAGGAACCUUGUUCUUGAAAGUGAUUGACUACGAAGUAGCGAUACCAUCCGGGAACCUUUGUAUCAUGUGGACACUUUGACACAUGUCUAACAUUUGGUCAACAGGUAUCAAAAUCAAUUUUCCCGAUACUCUUUGACACGUGAGAGGGAAUUCUAACAUCUGUGUUCCAAAUUAUAAUACGCAAUUCUAACAAGCAUGUGAUCAAUUUUUAAAUUUUUUAAUAAAUGAGGGGUUAAAAUAUAAAUAUGUAAAAAAAAAUUUAAAAAAAAAAGAGGAAAAAAGAAAAACAUAAUCUUCUCUUUUUUUUCUCUUUUUUUCUAAGUCUCACUUCCCGUGACACGCAAUUCAUCCUUAAUGUUUAUUUUUUCUUUUCUCUUCUGACACGCUCUAACACGCAAGUCCCAAACGUGAAUUGCUAUUUUUUUCCCUCCAAUUUUAUGCAUUAUUAGAAUAUAAUUGAAUUUGUCAAAUUGAAAUAAUGAAUGAUAUUAACAAAAUAUGGAUUAACGUUAUUGGUGUAAAUUCAUUCUACACACUUUUUUUAUUAUAUAUUUAUUUUUGAAUUUAAUUAAAAUAAUCAUAAAAAUAAUAAUUUAUCAUGUAUUUAUAAACAUAUACAUUUAAUAUAUACCGCGUUUCAAUGUGCCGGAAUUCUUUAUUUUUGAAGAAUCAAUGUGUCGGCAUGUCAGGUCGCAUGUGGUGUGUUAGUAUCAAUACUUUCUUGAAGAAUGAAAGUGUGUUUUCAGUAGUACUCCCAGUAGGAAAGGCAGAGUUGCUUGAUUGAGCAUGGAUUAAAAAAGACAGUGGAGAUGUUAUCGAUUUCUUAUAGCACAUGGCAACAUAGAUGGUGCAUUAAGCUUCGGAAACAGAAAUCCUCAACAAUAUUCACGAAGAACAGAAGGCACAUAUAUCAUGAUCUAUGCUAUAAGUGCUUCUGUUCUCAGUACUGCAAUAUCAAAUGCAUAAGAACAGAAACAUACAGUACCAAGAUUAUUUACACGGUUUGCUAUCUCCUAUAUGGCGCUCAGAUAAAUUAGUUUUCACAAGCUGUGCUAGAUACAAGGUACGCAUUUUCUCAACAUGUUUCUCUAUUCAUUCUGCAUUUUGUUUACAGGACUAUUUUCAGCCAAGGUCAGAAAAGAAAUAGGUCAUACCAUUAAACGGCAUCAUGUCCACUUUCUGGUACCCUGAACAUUCCGACGUUCGGCCUGAUGUACUGAAUUCCGUAGGCUUCAGUUGAUCUAGAGAUACCCCUUUUCUUUGCAGCAUUGGAUGGCUCCGUUGAACAUGUCCUCGAUCCUGUACUUAUACUCAAAACCGGCGUCCACCAGUUUCCUUGACGAUAGGCGGGGGAACCUGGGGCCUUUCAAUUCCUUCAAGGACCUACAAAGAUUUGAAAAGCUUUGCUUUCAGUCCAAGAACAGGAAUAAUCUGUUACAUCAUGAAAUAGGAUAUAUCAGGACUUACUCUGGAGAGGGUAUCCGAAACUCCGGGUAUCUUUCUGAGAGAAACUUGGACAUCUCCUCGAUGGUCAUCGUGGCCGAGGUACAAAUGUACCGCCCCUUGGUGUCGGGGUGCUGGAAGAGGAAGAUGUUUGCUCUCACCAAGUCAUCUACAUGCACGAAAGAUACUUCGAGAAGAAGAGAGUACUCAUUCUCGUUCCCUGUUAAUUUCGAACGAAGUCAAUCUAAGAUUUGAGAUUCUUUGUAUCAUCGAAAUGAAGAUAAACGUAUGGAUGGACAGAUUAUAGUCCUGUCUCCCUUUGUCAUAUACUUGACAAUGAGCAGAGAAACGUUGUCAAAUUAUGGAAUUCUGGUAUUGUUCUGGUGACCAAAACAAUCAAAUUAAUCAUCAAUUUGACUGCAGUACCAAAGGUGUAUCACAAAAAGUUAUUGUAAAAUCAAUAGAUCAUGGAGAUCAAUAUUAUAUGAACCAGAGUUUCUCUGUGAAUUUCACAUGAUCAACAGUUCAGAUAGAUUUGACUGACCCUAUUUAUAUUCAUCAUAUGAUAUUUUCUCGUGUAUCGCAUUACCUAAUACCAAAGCCAGCGAAAUUCGGACGGAUCCAGCGAACUUGGGGCAAAUGAAGGGCCCGUGGACAAACGUGGGAACCACCGUCACCACUUCCAGUCCGUGCUGCUCUCCGAACUCAAGAACCGCCUUCUCAGUCAAUGUCUUUGAGAUUGCGUAGGAAGCUCCAAUCCUCGUCAUUUCUCGGAUGGACUCAAAAUUGCUCCAGGAGUCCUCAUCCAAUAUAUCGGCCCCAGAGUUGUUAUAUUGAAUUGCAGCCGCACUCGAAGUGUACACGACCCGCUUCACCGUCUUGGAGUUCAGGCAGGCCCUUAGGAUGCCCAACGCUCCAUCGAUGGAUCUUUUGGUGACGACCGGCUCUGGCUCUCUGUCCUCGAAGUCCACCGGGGUGGCAACAUGGAAGACUCCGACACAGCCCUCGAUGGCUGGGCUGAAACUCUCGGGGUCACUGAGAUCAGCGGUUAGGAUUUGGAGCCUUUCUGAUGCUCCGGGUAGAUUUUUCAAGAAGCUCGUGUCCCUUUUGCCAUCUGACCGGAACAAAUCGGUCAAUGGCUUUGCGAAUAAAAGCUCAAACAUCUAAUGGGAAACUGAUGUGUGAGGUAAACUGGAGAUAGCAGUCCAAAAUAAAUUAACCAACGUGACUCAUUCAGGAAACACUCCGAAUUACAGCAUUAAACUUAGCAACGAGAACUGCAAGAAAAGCUGAUUCAAGAGAGAACGAGUGAAUUCAUAAUGUAGAACAAGAGCAAGAAAUCAUCAUUAACCGAUUCAGCUGCCCCUAAUUCAAGACAUCCUUAUCUCAUCUUAUGCCUUCUCAUGCUUGAAAGGGCGGCAAAAAAGGGUUGCUUUUCUUAUGGUUCCAAGCCCAAUGACAAUUCCGAUCAGAAUCGAACCUCAAACGCCCGAACCUGACAAAAUACAUAGAAAUUUCUCCAUCUGUCGACACCCCAACUUUCUGCAUAAACAUUUCACAUGAACAGACCGUAAACACAUGAGCAGUCCCACACACUUAAUCUAUACGAUCAAUCUUCGAUCAAGAAAGCUAACCUUAGUAUUGCCAAUAAAUUUGCGGGCACAGACAGAUCAGAUCACGUUGGACCGUCGUGUUGACAUAUACAGUACAAAACAUCAAUCUCAGACCAUACACUUGAUCAGAACUCAUGGCAAGAACGAAUCUCCAUGUUCAAGCAGGAAGAAAGUGUUAGUAGUAUUAUGCCCUAUAUUAACUUGUUUAUUUAAAAAAAAAAAAAAAAAGCUUCAUGCAUGUGCACGAAUUCGUGCACAUGCACGAAGCGUANNNNNNNNNNNNNNNNNNNNNNNNNNNNNNNNNNNNNNNNNNNNNNNNNNNNNNNNNNNNNNNNNNNNNNNNNNNNNNNNNNNNNNNNNNNNNNNNNNNNNNNNNNNNNNNNNNNNNNNNNNNNNNNNNNNNNNNNNNNNNNNNNNNNNNNNNNNNNNNNNNNNNNNNNNNNNNNNNNNNNNNNNNNNNNNAGAGUUAAAGAGGGUUGUUGAAAAACAGAGAAAAGAGUUAGUGUGUUUUUUGGUUUUGUUCGAGAGAAACACAAGCGAGAAAUCAGUGAUGCUUUGCUGAAAAUAGAAAGCAAAGUGCAUGCGUGUUCUUUUGUCUUUGAGACACGAGGAAGAGAAACAAUUCUCUCGUUCGGGCCGUGACUAUUAUACACCAAGAAUACGACGGAUUCUUUUCACGUGAUUGCUAGCACGAUCGAAGUGGUGGAUAUCCGAAAGUUCUCCCUUCCGUUCAACGUUCGUUGUUGGUGUGUCUGAACUAGAGGUCCGACGCUUGUGGGACUCGUACUGUAGAACAUCCGAACCGACUUGUUUCAAAGCGCGCUUCUAGAGGUAUUUCAUUUAACUCCCUUUUAUGUUUAGAUUUUUGAUUGAAACGCACAAACAACGCCUAAGGAAAAUCAUGUGUAAAAUAUAUAUUUGUUUCCGCUGCGUACUUUAUGUUAAUAUUUCUUAUACAUGAUUAAUGAAAACCCAACAGAAAGAAGAAGGGAGACUUACCCGGGUCGGGUCUGACGGUGGUCCGGACGGAGUAACCAUGUUCAAGGAGCCUCAUGAUGAGCCAUGAAGCUACGAAGCCAGUACCGCCUGUCACGCACACCGUGCCUCUGUUGCCCUCCAUGGCUUGGAGAAGUGAGACUUCAAUUUUCAGGAAGCAUCCAACUUUUUUGAGUGACCUCGAUGUUUCGGCUGGCAGAACGGGGGGCGCUUCUCCACUUAAAAGCGGAUGCAACGCCGCUUACGUCACUUUGAUUUUCAUUUUCAAAAGGGGCCAAAAAAAUAAAUGAGUGGUAACGGAUACAUCUUCCCCUGAAAGUCAUUUUCCAUUUGAAUCAUAGACACUCAAUCUACUUUUCAAUCAUCCAUUGUGGACGCAAUCCUACACCAAUGUGUCAAUAGACAAGUAUCUCUCGACAUUAAAUGCCUAUGACACAAGUUGGCUAGAGAUUCAUACUCAAUAAAACUCUAAUUUAUGACUUAAUUAAAGACAAGAUACCCAUUUGCUACUAGACUACCACAUUCGGUGGUACAACGACUUGACAUAUGUUGGAUAAUAUUUUUUAACAUCUUAAAUUCUUUGAAAAAAAAAUACUUGUUUAACAUGGUAUUAGAGCACAAGUGACAAGGUUGAAUGCCUAGACUCCCUCCCAUGUUUUGUAUGUUUAUCCAUCCUCGAUUUUUCGUUUGAUGUGAUUAUGCACCUAUCUCGUAUUUCAAAUGUAAGUCUUGAUUCACACACAAUAAAGGGUCUUAAAUAAUAUGGUGCAUCAAUAAUGUUGGCAACCAUCUAAACAGCUUAAAACUUUUUCGAAAGAAAAAAUGAUUUGUUUCACUAUCUAUAGAUCUUUUGAUUUCUUAGAAUUCAAUGAAUUCGUCAUUUCAUUCAAGUUUUUCACUUUAUCACCAAUCAAUAGUUGGACGGAAGUGUUACAACAUGAUCAGCAAUUAUUUCUUUUUUCUACAAAAUGUCAGGAUCAUAACAAAUACACAAAAAGAUCUUAAUUGUUUGUGAAAAUUAAUUUGCCGAUCGAUAAUAGAUAGAACAACUGCCCGACACAUUAAAAUGCUUUAAUGAUAUAGAGUUGUGGGCAUCAAGAUAUCGCGGCACUAAACUAUACCAAUAAUGCCAUUCAUUUUGUGGAAUAUGUUCACCCAAUUAAGCGAUAUAACUGUUGGCCUCAAAUAAGAGAAUAUCCUAAUGAACUUGUUACCGAGACAAUAUGAACUUCUCUCUAUACAUAUUUUUAUAACCCUCAGAAAUUCUCAUUUGAAUCAAAUAAACCAUGAACACACUGGCAAAAUCAUUCAUGGUUUGACGAAGAGAUUUGUACGAUUCCAUCAUUAUCGCGUCCCAAAAGAGGACGACCCUCGUCGUGCCAUUCGAUGUUAGUGGAGGUGUCCACAAUUCUCUGUCAUGGUCCUGCUCGAAUGCUGGCGGUGGGGUUGGCGCUCGGUCUCAAUCCAACGAAGAGGACCAUCCAUGGCGAGAAACCCUACUUUUCAUCUCAAUUGAACUCGCUAUCCGGACCAGUGCAUGACCGGUGUCGAUCGUUUACACGAUCUUUAUCCUCACCCAGCUGUGCUUGGAGGGAGCACGCCUAGUUAGGUUAAUCAGUGCCUGUUGACUCUCUUUCCUGCGAUGAGACAAAGCUACUUUUCCCUUUUGUCUCUCUCGUGCUCUCGUCCUUUCCUUUCCCUCAAUAUGGCCGUUCGAUCUACACGCUGGUUCGCUUUCUCUGAAGAUGUGGGUGAUUCUACACUGACCCAGCAGCUGCAUUAGGCCUCUGCGGUAGCGCCAUUAGCAUUUGGACGUCCCUAUUAGAAAAGACUCACAUAGCAUCUGUUUCCACUUCAAGUAAUUGCGCUCCCUUAUCUGCACUAGGUUCCUUGAUCAUCACGCAAUACGCUUCCAGCUCCCAGGUGCACCUAUUGCUCCUACGACGGCACCUUCAGUAUUGAGCUUGUGCCAGCCUUCGUGGAGGUCACUUCCAAGGAUGAACAGCUCUAUUCCUAGCUCCUCCUCCCCCACUUUUGUUCCCAACCCAAUUCUUAUGUGCAGACGCAUAACCAAUCUGUGGCCAACAUUAGCGCCGGUCCAGUCCCUCAGACUAAGAUCAUAACUAUGGUGAAGGGGAGAAGGAGCACCAAUGUCAGCCCAACAUUCAUUAAGGAGAGAUAGUGCUAACAUUCGAAUCUCUUCUCGCCAGAGUGGAUCUCGUGGCAAUGCUGGUAGUGACAUUAACCAAAUGAUGAGGAACAACAUCCGCUUUCCACGCGCAGCUCCAGUCUUCUUCCAGCUUUCUCCAAGUAUCCAAGCCUUCAGCCAAAUGAUAAGCAUCGUUCAAAGUAAAGCGCCAGUCCCUAGAGAAACUCCAACCGAAUUCAGAGUGUCCCUUGCCCCUCUUCCGAUCUGGACUGCCUGGGUCCAUUACCGUUAUUCUAUAAGCGCUCGGAUAAAGUCGCGAUCCGCCGUGCUUACCUGGGUCGGGACGGAUGGUGGCCCGGACCGAGUAACCCUUCUCGAGGAGCCUCAUGAUCGUCCAUGUAGCCAAGUAUCCAGUCCCGCCCGUUACACACACCAUGCCUUUACCGCUCUCCAUCAACGACUCUCUCUCUCUCUCUUUCCCAAGCUAGCUUGUGAUGGAAAUGGUGCUUUUUUAUGCUACUGGAGAGAGGUGGCCGACAGUAGCCAGGAAAGAAUGUUAGAUAUUUCGCCGCAUAUGUAACAGGGUUUGUGGACAUUCAUUAUGAGAUCCUGAAUUAAAUCGCUUGAGAGUGUUCGCUUUGACCAAUUCCAUGUCGAGCUUCGUGGUUGUCCUUUAACGAACGGGGAAGUAAUUUCUCAUGAGGUUACCAAUCUUGGAAGCUAUGAAACAUCGACACACCUCAAGAGCUUUUGUGUCGUGUCGGACACUUCGAUACAUGUCCGACACUCUCCAACACUUUCGGACACUCUCUGACACUCAGUCAACACAUGUCGGAAAAUCCAACACUUAGUCAACUUUUCUAACACUCUCCAACACUUGAGUCGAAAUUCUAACAUGCGAGUUUCUAACACAAGAUUUUUAUAUUGAGGUCAAUUUUAAAAAUUCAAUAAAUGAGAGGUCAAAAUAUUUUCACACACAAUAAUAAAAAUAAUAAAUGGAGAAAGAAGAAAAACCCAAUCUUCUUUUAUCUUUUGACUCCCACUUCCUGUGAUACACAAUUUUACCUCUUAAGUUUUUUUCAUCAUCUUCCAACAUAUAUAACAUGCGAGUCCAGAAAUAUAGACUGCUUGUUUUUUCUCUAAGUUUUAUGAAUUAUUGAAAUAUAAUUGAAUUUGUCAAAUUGAAACAAUAAAUGAUAUUAAUAAAUGGCGAAUUAAUGUUUUUAGUGUAUAUUCAUUCUAGGCUUAUUUAUUUAUUUAUUUAUUUAUUUAUUUAUGAAUUUGAUUAAAAUUAUCUUGAUUGAAAUAAUCAUAAAUAUGAUAAUUUUAAUAUGCAUGUCCCAACGUGUCGGAAUUCUCUAGUUUUUGAAAAAUGAUGUGUCGACGUGUCGUGUCGUGUGGUAUCGUGUUGCGUGUCGAUGCUACUUAGCUUGGAAGUGCCUUAAUUUGAGCUCACUUAACUUUGAAGUUCCAAAGCAAAUUUUAACAUUAUAUCAAAAAAAGCCUCUGUAAGUUAGUUUUUGCACAAUUCGGUUCAGUACAUAAUUCAGUUCAUUCAUACACCCUUCACCAUCCUAAAAGCUCGUCACGAGCCACUCAUUGUCUAGGCCUUCUAGCCCCGGCAACUACUCCCCACUCUUAUCGGAUCGAGUUGUUAUGUUUAUAAUGUAGGAUCCAUUAUCGUUAUUAUUAGAAGAUUUAAAUUUACAAAUAGAGAAGAUUGGCAUUCGCUCUGACGGAUGAUGACCACUCCCGUUCCCCUUCCCCUUCCGCAUACGCAACCAUAUGGAAAGCAAAGGACCCCCUUGAAUAGUUUGCAAGCGAUAGCAUCGAAAAAUUGGAGCCUUUACUCAGUCUAGAAUCGGCGUGAAGACCGGAAUUUUUUUUAUUUUUUUUGGCGUGUGAAGACCGGAAAUUUGAAGACCGAGCAGUAGUAUACCAGUCGUUCCGGCACGGUUGAAAUACUAAUUCCUAGAUGAACGGAUUUCAACUUCAUGCACGGUCGGAUCAUAGCAUUGACACAGGGAACGAUUAGUUUUUCUUGCCCUUUUAGAUAAACAGUCUGCAGCGUGGGCAACCAUGCUUGGUAGUACCCACUUGAAUGAAGGUCAACCUGUUGUUCAACCUCUGCCUCUUUCGCGGCUCUGAUUUAGUUUAUAGGAGAUGCAGAAAUGGAGAUGUUCAUCAAAUCUAUAGAUCAGGAAGCAUGGAAAGUCAUUGAAAAUGGACCAUGCGCUGCAUCAAACGAAGGAAGAGAUGAUAUUCAUGAGAAGGAACUAGCGCAAGCUACAAAUCUGGGCAUAGGCUCGAUUGCACUCCAACGCGGGCUGAAUAUAAUUAGAUAUCAAUGUGGAGAACAGCGAUGGAGAUUCGGGAUGGAUCGGGGGUAACCAGUGAGGAAACCAAAAGUGAAGAAGAGUUAAAUUAUCUCAGCUGAUGCGCUUAACUCGAAGGAGCAUACCAACUCUCCAAGUAAUGUUUAUACUGACUAGAAAAAUUUGAGCGUUUUCUUUAGGACUUUAGGGGCAAAAGAAAUUGUCACGGGACAAUGACGAAAGCAACGGGGACAAAACGGAGGUAAUUUGCUUUGCUUUGCUUGUAAGAAAUUAGGACAUGUCAAGUUCGAGUAUCCUGCUUGCACGAGGAGGAGGGAGGAAAUCAAAGAAAUACAGGGCAAUGGAAUCAACUUGGAGUGAUCUUGGUAUCUCUAGUGAAAAGGAGAGAAAAGGCGAACUUGUGUUUAAUGGCUAGUAGCCUAGUACCAAUGCUAUGGAAUAGGUAAACGAUUUCCUAGAUUGGUGAUGCUUUUUGAUGACGAUUUUGAUUUUGCCUUGGAAGAAAUGUAAGUUGAGUGGAAAAGGGUUUCGACAAUGAACGUUGUAUUGAAUAAGGAAAAUGGUUCUAUGCAAUACUUUCUUGAAGAAUGAAAGGGUGCUUUCAGUAGUACUUCCAAUAGGAAAGGCAGAGUUGCUUGAUAUAGCAUGGAUUAAAAAAGACAGUGGAGAUGCUAUCGAUUUCUUACAGUACAUGGCAACAUAGAUGGUGCAUUAAGCUUCGGAAACAGAAAUUCUCAACAAUAUUCACGAAGAACCAAACACACGUAUAUCAUGAUCUAUGCUAUAAGUGCUUCUGUUCUCAGUACUGCAAUAUCAAAUGUACAAGAACAGAAACAUACAGUACCAAGAUUAUUUAUGCGGUUUGCUAUCUCCUAUAUGGCGCUCGGAUAAAUUAGUUUUCACAAGCUGUGCUAGAUACAUGGUACGCAUUUUCUCACCAUGUUUCUCUAUUCUUUCUGCAUUUUGUUUAGAGGACUAUUUUCAGCCAAGGUCAGAAAAGAAAUAGGUCAUACCAUUAAAUGGCAUCAUGUCCACUUUCUGGUACUCUGAACAUUCCUACGUUCAGCCUGAUGUACUGAAUUCCGUAGGCUUCGGUUGAUCUAGAGAUACCCCUUUUCUUUGCAGCAUUGGAUGGCUCCGUCAAACAUGUCCUCGAUCCUGUACUUAUACUCAAAACCGGCGUCCAACAGUUUCCUUGACGAUAGGCGGAAAAACCUGGGGCCUUUCAAUUCCUUCAAGGACCUACAAAGAUUUGAAAAGCUUUGCUUUCAGUCCAAGAACAGCAAUUAUCUGUUACAUCAUGAAAUGGGAUAUAUCAGGACUUACUCUGGAGAGGGUAUCUGAAACUCCGGGUAUCUUUCCGAGAGAAACUCGGACAUCUCCUUGAUGGUCAUCGUGGCCGAGGUACAAAUGUACCGCCCCUUGGUGUCGGGGUGCUCGAAGAGGAAGAUGUGUGCUCUCGCCAAGUCAUCUACAUGCACCAAAGCUACUUCGAGAAGAAGAGAGUACUCAUUCUCGUUCCCUGUUAAUUUGGAACGCAGUCAAUCUAAGAUUUAAGAUUCUUUGUAUCAUCGAAAUGAAUAUAAACAUAUAGACGGACAGAUUAUAGUCUUGUCUUCCUUUGUCAUAUACUUGACAUUGAGCAGAGAAACGUUGUCAAAUUAUGGAAUUCUGGUAUCGUUCUGGUGACCAAAACAAUCAAAUUGAUCAUGAAUUUGACUGCAGUACCAAAAAUGUAUCACGAAAAGUUAUUGUAAAAUCAAUAGAUUAUGGAGAUCAAUAUUAUAUGAACUAUAGUUUCUCUGUAGAUUUCACGUGAUCAACGGUUCGGAUAGACUUGACUGACCCUAUUUAUAUUGAUCAUAUAAUAUUUUCUCGUGUAUCACAUUACCUAAUACCAAAGCCAGCAAAGUUCUGACGGAUCCAGCGAACCUGGGGCAAAUGAAAGGCCCGUGGACAAACGGGGGAGCCACCGUCACCACUUCCAGUCCGUGCUGCUCUCCGAACUCAAGAACCGCCUUCUCAGUCAAUGUCUUUGAGAUUGCGUAGGAAGCUCCAAGCCUCGUCAUUUCUCGGAUGGACUCAACAUCGCUCCAGGAGUCCUCAUCCAAUAUAUCGGCCCCAGAGUUGUUAAAUGGAAUUGCAGCCGCACUCGAAGUGUACACGACACGCUUCACCGUCUUGGAGUUCAGGCAGGCCCUCAGGAUGCCUAACGCUCCAUCGAUGGAUCGUUUGGUUACGACUGGCUCUGGCUCUCUGUCCUCGAAGUCCAGCGGGGUGGCAACGUGGAAGACUCCGACACAGCCCUUGAUGGCUGGGCUGAAACUCUCGGGGUCACUGAGGUCAGCGGUGAGGAUUUGAAGCCUUUCUGAUGCUCCUGGUAGAUUUUUCAAGAAGCUCGUGUCCCUUUUGCCAUCUGACAGGAACAAAUCGGUCAAUCGCUUUGCGAAUAAAAGCUCAAACAUCGAAUGGGAAACUGAUGUGUGAGGUUAACUGGAGAUAGCAGCCCAAAAUAAAUUAACCAACAUGACUCAUUCAGGAAACACUCCGAAUUACAGCAUUAAACUUAGAAACGAGAACUGCAAGAAAAGCUGAUUCAAGAGAGAAUGAGCGAAUUCAUAUGUAGAACAAGAGCAAGAGAUCAUCAUUAACCGAUUCAGCUGCCCCUAAUUCAAGACAUCCUUAGUUCAUCUUAUGCUUUCUCAUGCUUGAAAAGGCGGCAAAAAAGGGUUGCUUUUCUUAUGGUUCCAUGCCCAAUGACAAUUCCGAUCAGAAUCGAACCUCAAACGCCCAAAUCCGACAAAAUACAUAUAAAUUUCUCCAUCUGUCGACACCCCAACUUUCUGCAUAAACAUUUCACAUACACAGACCGUUCGAAACACAUGAGCAAACACUUAAUCUAUACGAUCAAACUUCAAUCAAGAAAGCUAACCUUAGUAUUGCCAAUAAAUUUGCAGACACAGACAGAUCAGAUCACGUUGGACCGUCGUGUGGACAUAUACAGUACAAAACAUCAAUCUGAGACUAUACACUUGAUCAGAACUCAUGGCAAGAACGAAUCUCCAUGUUCAAGCAGGAAGAAAGAAGAAGGGAGACUUACCCGGGUCGGGUCUGACGGUGGUCCGGACGGAGUAACCAUGUUCAAGGAGCCUCAUGAUGAGCCAUGAAGCUAUGAAGCCAGUACCGCCUGUCACGCACACCGUGCCUCUGUUGCCCUCCAUGGCUUGGAGAAGUGAGACGCUUCAAUUUUCGGGAAGCAUCAAACUUUUUUGAGUGACCUCGAUGUUUUGGUCAGCAGAGUGGGCGCGCUUCUCCACUUAAACGCGGAUGCAAAGCCACUUACUUCACUUUGAUUUUCAUUUUCAAAAGGGGCAAAAAAAAAUGAGUGGUGACAGGUGCAUCUUCCCCGCUGAAAGUCGUCUGUCGGUUUGAACCAUAAGCACUCGAUCUACUUUUUUCAAUCAUCCGUCGUAUUUCAAAUGUAAGUCUCGAUUCACACACAAGAGAGGAUGUUAAAUAAUAUGGUAUAUGUAUAAUGUUGGCAACCAAUUGCCAAACUCCCGUGGAAAUAAAUAGCCAUUGCGACACUCCUCUGCUUCCAAUUGCCAUUGCGACAUUCCUCUGCAAAUAAAUAGCCAGGUAUUUCCAUACAACGGAUAAACAGGUAAAGGGUGAAUGAGAUCGCCUUGCUUUAAUCCCUACACGGCGAGAAGGGAUAGAGCAUCCCACCGUUCAUAAAUGAUAGUGGUAGAAGCAGUAGUGAUGCAAAUCCACCUGUAAUUCAAGAUCGUUCAAGAUCGAUUUUAACAGCAGAGGAACCGGUCCUUCACUUCCGUAUGUUGCAUCAUAGAACAUCAUCAUGCGUUCCCCUCCCGCGGGGAUGAAGCUAGCCCAGCAAGGACUCUAAUGAGAUCAUCAAGAAAAAGGCCUUAAGCGCUCGAUAAAUGAGCAAAGCGUUCCUAAUUUUUCCAGUUCAUCCCUUUUAUGGGGGCAAAACAUAAAUUUUAUAUUUUGGAUCCUCUUUUCUUUUUUCUUUUUUCUUUUUUCUGUGUAGCAUGGCCCAGGGUGGCAUGUAACAAAUGAAAUGAACUAAGUUUUCAUGGAUUGAAGUUCAGUGAGGUCAAACAAAAGAAUUUUUGGGAGUCAUAUUAGCUACUUAACUCUCUUUUAGCAUGACCUAAGAUUAUAAACAUCUCUAUUAAAUUUGCGCAAUUUGUGUAGUCUGAAAUAAACAAGGAGAAAAAUUCUUCUCGCCCCAUUUUUUUGUCUAUCCUCUAACCGAUUAUUGCAGCUUACCCAUUGCCCCAUGCUUCCUCCACGACCCCCCAAGACCAUCUCGACAGCUACCGUUUCCGAUAGCUUCCUCCGCCUCGAUAAAAUAUUCGAUGGUUCCAUAGCGUUUACAUCAACUGCUGGUCAUGUUGCGAGUAUUUUUUACUCACGUCCGCUUAUAAAUUGACUCGUGUUUGUUGAUGUGGAUGGGAAAAGACAAUUAAAAUAUGUUUCUACUUCCACCGACCAUGAAAGUCGGACGAGCCGCCUCGCGUUUGUUUUUUCUUUUCGCCUUUUGAGGUCAUGGAUGAGCAAGGCAUGUGGUCAUGAUUGGGAGCGUCACCGGCCAGCCAUGAUAGCAGCAACAUCAAUAUGGACGAGCAAGGCUAGAGAGUAAUGUCCAUGCUCGACCAUUUUGUUUGGCCAGAUCCGGUCAGCUCUGUCAUCCCGGACCUUGGACAAGUCGCCGUCGCCAAGGUCGCAGAUCCGGACCAUCAACAAGUUCCAUCCUUCUACCUUGGUUGGGAAGACGGAACCAAGGGGCGAGUUCCUCCUUCUCCAUGGCGAUGGAGCUCUUAAUGGGCCUUCGAGAUCACUAGCCCUUCGAGUUGGAUGGCACCAUCCCGUCGCACCAUCUGCGCCCCUUAGCGGGCGUCGCUCGUGAUCAGCCUAAGCCACUCGCCCCGCCGUGUUGCUUGUCCAGAUAUGGCUUCGCCCAUGGCCACAAACCUUGCUCAGCAUAGCUCACGAGGCGGCUCAUCCACAGACUGCAGCUCGUCCAUGGCUACGAACCCUUGAUGACGAACUCGGAAUUCCAGCGGCCGUGAUCAGUAAACAAGCGCAAGCCUGGAUGGCCGGACAGCGCUCUGUGGAUGGAGGAGGAAGAGAGGAGUCAACGUCCACAUGUCAACCUAAAAUCGGACCCGUCAGCAGCUAUUGUGGCGCUACGAAAUCACUUCUUAGUUUCUCCACCUUUGUCCAACAUGCGAUAGAUCUCUCUCUCUCUCUCUCUCUCUCUCUCUCUCUCUCUCUCUCUCUCUCUCUCUCUCUCUCUCUCUCUCUCUCUCUCUCUCUCUCUCUCUCUCUCUCUCUUCAUGCAUGCGCGGGCCAGAGUGCACAGAGGCUUGAUUACCAUUGACAGUCCUUGUCCAUGAUCACGGCUCCUUCAAAUCUCCGCCUCCUUCAAAUCUCCGCAUCAGGCAGGCUUGGAGGGCGACCAAAAUUUACAUAGACGCCUCCACGGCAAGAGGGUUCUCGUAGGGUGAUCGGUUUCCGGUAAGGUUUGAUUUCCUAAAACAGAACCGAACCAGGGACCGGACUGAGAAUCGGACCACAUCAUCCGAUUCAAUAGAAUCAAUUACUUAUUUUUUCCUAUUACUUAGAAUUGGAUCAAGAUAAUAUUUAGUUUACAUUUUAUUUAUUUUUUAAGAUAAUAUAAUAAAAAAGUAUAUUUAGUUAGUCAUGUUCGUUUGAUCCAGUUUUCCCUUGGAAUUAGAAACCAAACCGCCACUCCUAGAAAUUGAACCAAAUCAGUCAAUCUAGAUGAUUCCCAAUUAGGGCGGUCCAUUUUGCACACCUCUAUCUCACACCGUCGAGAUCUAGAUGAGAGCAAUGUCCAUUUGUCUUGUUGGCAAAAUCUAAUGCCUCCAUCCCUUGGACGAGUGACAAUGCGCACAGAGAGAGAGAGAGAGAGAGAGAGAGAGAGAGAGAGAGAGAGAGAGAGAGAGACUGUUGCGUGGAGAGGGAGAGAAGGGCAUCGACAGUUGCUCAAAGAAGAGGGGAGGGAGAAAGGCAAAGUCAGCUAAAGUUUGGCGAAACCAGCGGCGAAAUAAUACUGUUAAUCCAUCAAUUUUGACCAAGUUAUCGCUUUUAAUUUGUUUAUUAUGAUUCUUCAAUUACUUUUCAUGUUCAAUAUAAUUUCUUAAACUUUUGAAUUUUUAAUCUAAUUUCUCAACUUCCUUAUAAAGUCAAAUCAAUCAUUUAGUACGAUUCAGAAGUUUUUGUAAGCGAGUUUUUUUUAAUAUCUUUUCAUUUCAGUAGUUUUUCUCCAAAAAAAAUUAAUAAUAUUACAUUACUUUGUGCCUUUUUGGUUUUUAUGAAUAUCACGAUAACUCAAUCAAAAUCUUUAUAAUUGUGAAGUGUAGCUAAUAAUCUCUAAAAUAGUAAAAUUAGAAUCCCAUUUGAAGCUGUGUUACAUUGGUAUUCCUAUUAUGUUAUUUAUAUAUGCUUUCAUAUUGACAUCUAUAAAUGAAAUUGAUUUAUCUGUAGAUAUAUGUAUUUGUAUUAAUCUAAAUCGUGUUCUUUAAUAAACAAAUAAGGAACAAGAUAUAAGACACUGAAAAUUUUAUUAAUUUGAAAAAUGAGGAACCUUGUUCUUAAAAGUGAUUGACUACGAAGUAGCGAUACCAUCCGGGAACCUUUGUAUCAUGUGGACACUUUGACACAUGUCUAACAUUUGGUCAACAGGUAUCAAAAUCAAUUUUCCCGAUACUCUUUGACACGUGAGAGGGAAUUCUAACAUCUGUGUUCCAAAUUAUAAUACGCAAUUCUAACAAGCAUGUGAUCAAUUUUUUAAAUUUUUAAUAAAUGAUGGGUCAAAAUAUAAAUAUGUAAAAAAAAUUUAAAAAAAAAAAGAGGAAAAAAGAAAAACAUAAUCUCUCCUUUUUUCUCUUUUUUUCUAAGUCUCACUUCCCGUGACAUGCAAUUCAUCCUUAAUGUGUAUUUUUUCUUUUCUCUUCCAACACGCUCUGACACACAAGUCCCGGACGUGAAUUGCUAUUUUUUUCCCUCCAAUUUUAUGCAUUAUUAGAAUAUAAUUGAAUUUGUCAGAUUGAAAUAAUGAAUGAUAUUAACAAAAUAUGGAUUAACGUUAUUGGUGUAAAUUCAUUCUACACUCUUUUUUAUUAUAUAUUUAGUUUUGAAUUUAAUUAAAAUAAUCAUAAAAAUAAUAAUUUAUCAUUUAUAUCUAUUAACAUAUACAUUUAAUAUACACCGUGUUUCAAUGGGUUCGAAUUCUUUAUUUUUGGAGAAUUAAUGUGUCAGCGUGUCAGGUCGCACGUGACUUGUUAGUAUCAAUACUUUCUUGAAGAAUGAAAGUGUGUUUUCAGUAGUACUCCCAAUAGGAGAGGCAGAGUUGCCUGAUAUAGCAUGGAUUAAAAAAGACAGUGGAGAUGUUAUCGAUUUCUUAAGGUACAUGGCAACAUAGAUGGUGCAUUAAGCUUCGGAAACAGAAAUCCUCAGCAAUAUUCAAGAAGAACAGAAGGCACAUAUAUCAUGAUCUAUGCUAUAAGUGCUUCUGUUCUCAGUACUGCAAUAUCAAAUGCAUAAGAACAGAAACAUACAGUACCAAGAUUAUUUACACGGUUUGCUAUCUCCUAUAUGGCGCUCGGAUAAAUUAGUUUUCACAAGCUGUGCUAGAUACAAGGUANNNNNNNNNNNNNNNNNNNNNNNNNNNNNNNNNNNNNNNNNNNNNNNNNNNNNNNNNNNNNNNNNNNNNNNNNNNNNNNNNNNNNNNNNNNNNNNNNNNNUUCUGCAUUUGUUUAGAGGACUAUUCAGCAGGUCAGAAAAGAAAUAGGUCAUACAUAAAUGGCAUCAUGUCCACUUUCUGGUACUCUGAACAUUCCUACGUUCAGCCUGAUGUACUGAAUUCCGUAGGCUUCCGCUCGCAUCUAGAGAUACCCCUUUUCUUUGCAGCAUUGGAUGGCUCCGUCAAACAUGUCCUCGAUCCUGUACUUAUACUCAAAACCGGCGUCCAACAGUUUCCUUGACGAUAGGCGGAAAAACCUGGGGCCUUUCAAUUCCUUCAAGGACCUACAAAGAUUUGAAAAGCUUUGCUUUCAGUCCAAGAACAGCAAUUAUCUGUUACAUCAUGAAAUGGGAUAUAUCAGGACUUACUCUGGAGAGGGUAUCUGAAACUCCGGGUAUCUUUCCGAGAGAAACUCGGACAUCUCCUUGAUGGUCAUCGUGGCCGAGGUACAAAUGUACCGCCCCUUGGUGUCGGGGUGCUCGAAGAGGAAGAUGUGUGCUCUCGCCAAGUCAUCUACAUGCACCAAAGCUACUUCGAGAAGAAGAGAGUACUCAUUCUCGUUCCCUGUUAAUUUGGAACGCAGUCAAUCUAAGAUUUAAGAUUCUUUGUAUCAUCGAAAUGAAUAUAAACAUAUAGACGGACAGAUUAUAGUCUUGUCUUCCUUUGUCAUAUACUUGACAUUGAGCAGAGAAACGUUGUCAAAUUAUGGAAUUCUGGUAUCGUUCUGGUGACCAAAACAAUCAAAUUAAUCAUCAAUUUGACUGCAGUACCAAAGGUGUAUCACAAAAAGUUAUUGUAAAAUCAAUAGAUCAUGGAGAUCAAUAUUAUAUGAACCAGAGUUUCUCUGUGAAUUUCACAUGAUCAACAGUUCAGAUAGACUUGACUGACCCUAUUUAUAUUCAUCAUAUGAUAUUUUCUCGUGUAUCGCAUUACCUAAUACCAAAGCCAGCGAAAUUCGGACGGAUCCAGCGAACUUGGGGCAAAUGAAGGGCCCGUGGACAAACGUGGGAACCACCGUCACCACUUCCAGUCCGUGCUGCUCUCCGAACUCAAGAACCGCCUUCUCAGUCAAUGUCUUUGAGAUUGCGUAGGAAGCUCCAAUCCUCGUCAUUUCUCGGAUGGACUCAACAUUGCUCCAGGAGUCCUCAUCCAAUAUAUCGGCCCCAGAGUUGUUAUAUUGAAUUGCAGCCGCACUCGAAGUGUACACGACCCGCUUCACCGUCUUGGAGUUCAGGCAGGCCCUUAGGAUGCCCAACGCUCCAUCGAUGGAUCUUUUGGUGACGACCGGCUCUGGCUCUCUGUCCUCGAAGUCCACCGGGGUGGCAACAUGGAAGACUCCGACACAGCCCUCGAUGGCUGGGCUGAAACUCUCGGGGUCACUGAGGUCAGCGGUUAGGAUUUGGAGCCUUUCUGAUGCUCCUGGUAGAUUUUUCAAGAAGCUCGUGUCCCUUUUGUCAUCUGACCGGAACAAAUCGGUCAAUGGCUUUGCGAAUAAAAGCUCAAACAUCUAAUGGGAAACUGAUGUGUGAGGUUAACUGGAGAUAGCAGUCCAAAAUAAAUUAACCAACGUGACUCAUUCAGGAAACACUCCGAAUUACAGCAUUAAACUUAGAAACGAGAACUGCAAGAAAAGCUGAUUCAAGAGAGAAUGAGCGAAUUCAUAUGUAGAACAAGAGCAAGAGAUCAUCAUUAACC
rnacentral:lncRNA from 1 species